rnacentral:lncRNA from 1 species
AGCUCUACGAAUGAAAACAAAUGCUUCUUUUUCUUGUCAUCAGUAGUCUCUUCAAGGGCUUCUGCUCCUUGGGUUGCUCCUUUAUGGACCAAAAGAUAUCGCAAGAAGACCAUGUGAAUACAUGCAAUUACUAGGGCUGCAAGUACGUACACCUACCAACUACCAUCCCUACCUUUGCUUUUGAGCAUCUUCCGACAAAAUGCAGAAGAAAAUCAGGCCAUACUUGCAAAGAUUUCAUGUUCCAACGCAUGCACUGAAAUUUCAUCAACACAUCACUGCCUCGGUAAAUUCAUAAUUGAGGUACUAUCCUCUUGCAUUCCUUUUUCCCAAGAGACGGGCAACAUACACUCGGACAAUAAAACUCUACGUCAACCAUGUAACCAACACCUUGGCCCAAACGGCCAACUAUAGAAACGACGGAAGUCCUAAAAUCCUUGACUCAUUGUACCAUAUCCAACUAAGCUAAAAUAUGUGACCGCACCAAUCUCUACGGGCCACAGGGGGUAAAAUAAUAACAAGAAAUAAAGGGGAUUUACAUUGCACAACAACAUAGGAUAAUUAACAGUACCCCUUCUAGAAUCAAAGAAAUCGGUCUAGAACGAGUCAUGGACCCAGAUCGGGUAGUUGUAGAACUCCGUGUUUCUAUGGAUCGAGUACCCUUUACGGCGGCGUAGAAGUGGAGUGAACCAUAAGAGCCCUCUGGUGUACUCGUUGGCCAGGGGCUCCAGCGUGUUGUCCAGAAGCGACACGACCAUGAGCGCCACCGUUGUGCCGGAGCCAAAAACUGUGCUUAUGAUGUCAUUGAACUCCGACACCAAAGAGCAUAGAGAUUAAAUUAGAAAUAAAAAUCUCACACCAGGAACUCAAGACUCGAACUAACAAAAUCACUCUCAAAUCAAAUGCUCCACUGACCAAAUACUCAAACCAGCUAACCAGAUCAAAGUACUCAAAUUAAGGAAUGAGCUCAUCAAGUUUGGUGUCAAUCCAAACACGUUUGAGCCUCCAAUCACCAGGUUUAACAUUGUCUAGUGAGAUGCAGCAAAUCUGGACAAAACCUCCCUCCUUCCUCUCUCUCUCAAAGGUUAUGUUCUUGUUGUGCUCUCUCUCUCUCUCUCUCUCUCUCAUAAUGGCAGCCACCACCAUCUGGUGGAGUGGCUAGAUUUUUUUUCUUCCUUCACUACACUAUGAAGAACUCACAACUGUUGUAGACAACAAAGAUCAACUUCAUGCAUGUUGAACUUAUGGGUUGAUGUUGUGCUACCAAUACACCUCCAUGUGGAGAGACCUAGCCCAACAACAUAGUCGCGACAGGGCGUCUAACUCGAUACCAUGUCCUGAUUGCUUGAUCCAUGACAGAAGGUGUCCCCACGCUCAGCGGCGGGAAUGACGAAGCUAUGUCCCACCAUGGAUGCGAAUGCCGAUUCACACUCUACCACCAACUUGGCCCCCAAGGCUCCAAUGGAUGGAGGUCGACCUUGGUGAUCUCCUAGUGUAGUCCAUCAUUGCUUCUGCACUAGCCCUGACCGGCCAUCACGAGCGUGCUCUCGGCCUGUUGUUGGCUAAGAGGUUGUCCUUGGAGAGGAGGCGGGCGUCGAGGUGCGCGAGGUGUUGUCCCACAUAUGACCACAAUGAUGUUGCUUGUGCCAAUGAUGAUGACCUGCAUGUCCCUAAAACCAAGCACCACGUCCUUCCCCUUCCCUUGGAUUUGAGGCUAUCGUCGAGGACAGAGGCUUAAUAAAAGAUGCAAAAACAAGCAGUAUGGCAGCAUGACUUGAAGAAAAGAAAGCCGGCCAUCAAGACUUGUAGCCUGUAUUGGAGAACUAAGAAACAAACCUCCCUUUAAUAUUAAAAAUAAUAUAUAUAGGGAUAUAAGGUAGAAAUUUAUUCGAAAAUUCUUGAACCGCGUGCUUCCAAAAAUCAUGUGCUACAGUGCAUGUCAAUGGGCCGACCAAGGCUGGCUUCGCCGUAUGCGUCACACCCUCUAUUGGAUGCAAUGAGCCUCCAAUAGGAGCUCGCAUGUCAAGUUGUCAACAACCUCUCCCCCAGCAAGCCGCCAAAUACACGACGCGGAGAGAAAGGGAAGCAGGCCCAACCACAAGUUCACGAGCCCUAGUGGGUUACAAAAUCAAACAUAUUCAUGAGUACAAGAGGAGAGGCUCAACCACUGGCUACUUAGGUUAAGUCACAUCCGCCCCUUUAAAAAAAAGUUAAGUCGCAUGUGGUUGGGCCUCCUCCGCAUUUUCCUCCUCCGCGUUUUGACGGUGUAAACACUACCCUCUAAGAUGGCCCAUCUACCGGAAAAACGACCCAGAACGAGAAAACAGGCCCCCGCAUCGCUAAUCUAGGCGACACGAGCGGCGGCCCAAUCUUCAACACCCAUGAAUCAUGUUGCCUGCUCCUUCCCCUUGUCGCCGUCGGAGGCCACAGCCUGGCGAAGCCUGUGCGGUGGCGGCGGCGGCGGGGCCUUUCUUCCUUGUUUUUUUGGUGGUGUGGUGGUGGAUGGCAGCUCCUGUUUUCGGAGGCUGGCGGUAUGUAAAACCCACGUGGCGGGCGACAAGCGAUGGCCGUCAGAUCCUCGGACAUCGGCUAUUGUGGUGUGCUCUCCCUAGACCUAAAUCGGCACAUUGAGUCGUCUGGUCAUCCAUUACCUGAUCUGGGUGAUUGGCGUCAUCUCCAUGUGCGCGUGCAUGCUUAGAAGGAUGCGUCUAGCCGCUCCCGGACAUGCACAAGGCCACACUAGAUGUAUUGCACCCUUGGAUCUGCUGGCUGCUUUCUUUCCUGAUCCGCUACGGUUUGACUACCAGGACACCUAGGCGGUGGUCAGCUAUAGUGGUUGCCGAUGAAGGGCUGCGCUGGUUGGCGGAGGAUUGCGGAUCAUCUGAUGGUUUGGUUGGCGGCAACAACAACACAACGGCAACAACGAUAACUUGUUUGAAGAGGUGUGGCUACGAGCAGGAUCAGUACGACCUUUUUUUUUAAAUGGAGGCAUGCCCCUGGCCUCUGCAUCAUGAUGAUGCAUGCAGCCAUCUUAUUAACAAUCCAUAAAGUAUCCUCAUAAAAGUCUUACAGCUCGCAAACGGAGCAGAACAAAGUAAAAUAAGGAAAAUUACGCGGGCAAGGACAACCGAUACCGUAAUAAGAAGGAUAAGCUCCCUAGAUUCAUAUCCUAUUAUGCGAGUGCCAUCUGAACCGGUUGAAUAUAACCCGAGCUACCAUCUCCCAUUGGUUGCACCCAGUAACCAAAGGCUCCCUGGAGUCCAUAGGAGUAAGUAAAGACCACGUACGGAUCUAAGCUGUAGCUCUGAAGAUAACCUGCAAAAAAGUUAAAGUGUGUUGUCUGUUAAAAAUCAUAUCAUUCUUGCAGAGUAAGUAAAGACCACGUACGGAUCUAAGCUGUAGCUCUGAAGAUAACCUGCAAAAAAGUUAAAGUGUGUUGUCUGUUAAAAAUCAUAUCAUUCUUGCAGUUCCAUAUAGCCCAUAGUAGCGCACAUAUUCCAAUCCGAAUACGAGCCGCAGUAAUCUGUUCAACCCCAGCUAACCACGUCCCAAACAAAGACGCAAUAUCUACUGGAGGAUUAAUAUUAAAAGCUAUAUGAAUCAUUCUUCAAAGUAACUUGGCAAGUGGGCAUUCAAGAAAUAAGUGUUGUAUUGUUUCAUCAUGAUCACAAAAAAACACCGCGAACUACCUACCCAUUGCCUCUUAAUUAAGUUGUCCUUUGUGAGUAUCACUUGCUUGUGGACAAACCACAUGAAGAUUUUAAUACGCAAAGGAAUCUUAACCUUCCAAAUAUGCAGCGACCUUGAGAGGGGGCCAGAGUUAAUCAGAUCCAUAUAGAAUGAUUUGACCGUAAACAUCUCAUUCGUAGUUAACUUCCGUUGUGUUGAAUCCGGUUGGUCGGUGAGUUGAACUUCUAUCAAUCUCCCGAACCAAGUGCAUCCAGGCGGUCCAUCUCUCACCAACUAACACACGUCUGAACUAGAAGUUCAAGGGAAUUGUUUGAAGGACGGUGCCUACGUAAUCCUCCUUACGUUGCACAGUAUUAUAGAGGGUAGGAUAUUGGACGGCCAGGGGCGUCUCUCCUAACCACGUAUCCUCCCAAAAUCUUGUUGACAUCCCAUUGCCAACCAAGAAUUUGACCCUACGAAAGAACAGGUCCUUCGUUCGCAUAAGUCCCUUCCAGAACGGCGAGUCAGUUGGUCUCAUGGUAACCUGGGCUAGUGUUUUCGAGUGCAAAUACUUAUUGCGCGGGAUUUGAGACCACAUGCCCUCCGGCUCUGUCUCUAAUCUGUAUAACCAUUUGCUCACAAGACAUUUAUUCUUAAUUUCUAAGUUCUCAAUACCGAGACCCCCUUGGUCUUUAGGUCGGCAAACGAUAUCCCAUCGCGCGAGACGAUAUUUCCUCUUGACCUCGUCAGACUGCCAAAAGAAACGAGAUCUAAAGAAAUGAAGUCGCUUUCGAACCCCUUUCGAAGUUUCGAAGAACGAAAGUAGAAACAUCGGCAUACUAGUCAGUACUGAGUUGAUCAGAAUUAGCCGACCUCCAUAUGACAUAAGCUUGCCCUUCCAGCAGCUAAGUUUUUUUCACUCGGUACGACCAUUUGAAGGGCAUGAUUUUCCAGAUCCGGCUUCUCCAUCUCCGGCUGUUGUACCGGCAAUGGUGGCUGCACCAAAUUAUGCCGGUCGACCCGUUGCAGAUUGUAGUGGCGAGAUCUUCGUGAGAGUUCCUCUCUCCAGAUUUGGUGGUUGUCUUUGGCGGUAUGAUGCAACUACAGACGACGGCUUGACACAGAGGGGUAUGGUAGUGCCAUAGCAGGGGACGGUUUUGUAGCCCAACGCACGUAGCUGCUGGGUUUGUGAAAAAGUGAUGGCGACAACACAUAUUGACUUCGACGAGCUCCGGGGUGAAAACCUAGGUCCGACUCAAGUUGGUUAACUCGCAGUGGUGAUGUUUUUGCGUCGUUACCUUGUUGAAAGCAUUGCUCGGAUAUGCUCAUGAUUGUUCUCCAGGGUGAAAAUCUAGAAUCUAGCAUUUAAUGGUUGGAUCCAAUAACGGCGGCACUUGAACGACGCUCCCUUCCUAAAGGCGUUGUUGUUGAAAAACCUCAUUGUCCUUUGUAGUGUCAUGAGAUGAUUGAUGCGGAUAUGGCCAUAGCUAUAGUUGUCGAUGGCGGUUUUGGUUAGUUCAUUUUCUUUUCUCGCUUGCGCAUGACUUUGGUCUUCUAUGACUUUGCUAUUUGCCGGCCUGUUUUCUAUGCGUGUGCGUUAGUGUUGACCGUGUGCAUCCUAACUAUGCAGAUGCCAAGUGCGUGCUCAUUGUAUUUGUAUCCUCUUGAUGCUUCAUUUUGAGUCAAUAAAAUCCACUCUCUACCAAAAAAUACUACCAUUAGGAUCCCGACAACUACUGGUUGAGAAAUGGAUAUAGAGAGCGGUCCUAAGUCCUAACAAGUAUGAUCAUCAAGACUAGCUCUACGGUAAUAGUAGCGGAGUUGUGGGACGCCAGCAGACAGCCGUCUGGCCAAGCAUUUCAGUUUUGGGUUAAUUAUCCUUUUGCCCUCAGUGGUGUCCAUGUGCUCAGUUUUGCCCUCAGAUGCGAAUUGUGCUCAGUUUUGCCCCUAGUCCAUGCACAGCUACUAUGACGAGGCCAAACGGCCAUAUUUGAGUCCAUACCGUCCGCCGGCGUUAGUGGUUGUGGGUCCGGAGCUUACACGUGGGACCGCGUGGACGUGGGUCCGGAGCUGACAUGUAGGCCCGUGCAACUAAAUCCCCAAAUCAUUAGGUUCGUAGGAUUCUAGCUCACUCUGCCCAUCCGCCGGCCAGCCGUCUUGUGCCGUCGCCGCCACCUGCACCGCAGCCAGCACCUGCCCCACCACCAGCUGCACGGCCUGCUCCGCCGCUACCAUCCCGCGCCGACGCUCCACCGCUACCUGCGACGCCCGCCACCUUCCUGCGACACCACGGGUGGGGCGCCCGCCACUUGCUCGACCCGCGGUGCGGCCUCCUUCCGUGCGCCCGACCGGAGCGCUCAAAGGAGGGUGGCUGCUGGAGCUGUUUGAACUAGGAGGAAGAACCCUAGGGCGAAAUGGCGAGCAGCGGCGACCCCGGAGUAUUUGGCGAGGCAGACAUCGGGCUGGAGAUCCACCGCAUCCACGACUAGGUUCCCCAAGGGUAAGUCACGCAUCCUUUUUAGAUUGAGCUUAGUUGUGCAUUUGAAAAGUCGAUUCGAGUAGGUUUGCCCAAUUAGUGUGCUGAUUGCGUCUCUGUUUUUCGCCGGUUAGGAUGGAGUUGCGGUUUGCUUUCUUGGUGCACAUUAGAAGGGACCGGUACAUGUUCGAUGCAAAGGAUAAGAAGAAAUACCAAGGAGGUUUCGAUUAUCGUUUGCCAAUGGCUACUAAUUGGAGUUUCAGACAAUUUGGGCAGGUAAUUUGUAGCCAAUAUCCUUGGGGUUUGCUUGAUGAAGUGGUAUACAAUUACUAUGAUGGGGAAAAGAAAUGGGUGAUAGUUAGUAAUGAUGAAGAGCUGGCUACCAUGUUUGCUAGGCAUAAAGAGAAAGACAAUUUUCAUGUGAGGCUCCAAAUUGAUGUGCUUGAGCAGGCAUUUGGACCUAGGAUGACGGGUGCAACAUCUCGGGAAGAACCAAGUCAUCGUAAUGGCAUCUCUAGCCAGAACAGUUCAGUUGGUGCACGGCGACGUGGUGGCUCGACAAGUGUGGGCAACGGCAGUAGGGUCCCCCUUGAAGUGGAGCCUGAUGACUACAAUUCUGGGGUUGAUGAAGAGAAGCUAUAUUCUGAUGUUAUUCGGAAUUUACGACGGGCACCUCGGGCUGAAAACCAAGAUGAGGCUCACAAUGAAGUCCGUGUGGAUGAUGACGCCGUGGGUGAGGACGAAGACCUUGCAACUGUUGAAUGGGACCCUUUGAACCCUCAUAUGGAAGAAGGUACCGUUUUUGCAUCCAUGACUGAGUGUAGAAAUGCACUUGUGACAUACUACAUCAAGGUUGAACGUACUUUCAAAGUUGACAAGAGCGAUCAAGUAGGUUACAGAGUGCACUGUCCGACUGAGGGUUGUCCAUGGAGGCUGCUCGCAUCUAAAAUGCGAAAUAGCACUAAUGUUCAGGUCAAAGUGAACCCUUUUAAGCACACAUGCCAGGAAUCAACCCUUAGGAAGGAUACAAUCAGUAGAGCCAAGUCAAGAUGGGUGGCAGAAGAAGUAAAGAAGUGGGUGAAAGAAAACCAGCAAGUGGGUCCAAAGGAAUUGCAGAAGAACAUCAAAGAUAAUUUCAAGAUAGAUUUACCAUACAUGAGGUUGUUCAAUGGUAAACAACAUGCUAUGGAUUCUAUUUAUGGUAACUGACAGGAAAGUUUUCAAUUGUUGUAUUCAUUCAAAGGUGAAGUGGAGAGGACAAGCCCAAGUAGUAUUGUAGAUAUUGAUCACCACACCGUGGAGUACACAUUCAGGGGAGUGACAAAGACCAAGGAAUGCUUUAGGAGGGUUUUUGUCUGCUUUGAGGCUUGUCGCCGGGGUUUUUUGGCAGGCUGCAGGCCUUAUUUGGCUAUUGAUGCCACUUUUCUCACAGGGAGGUUUAAAGGAGAGUUAGUAGCAGCUUGUGCAGUUGAUGCACAUAGUUUUGUAUUUCCAGCUGCCUACGGUGUGCUGGAGACAGAGUCUGAGGAGAGCUAGACUUGGUUUUUGCAUAAUCUGCGUCGGGCUAUUGCACAUCCCAAUGGGUUGGUCAUUCAUACAGAUGCCUGAGUGGCCGUGGACAAUGUGUUCCCUGGAGUAGAGCAUAGGGAAUGCAUGCGUCACCUUGCUGCAAAUUUCAUGAAGAAAUUCAAAGGAAAGGUGUAUACCGACAAUUUAUGGCCAGCAUCUUUGACUUGCAGUGUGAAGAAGCACAACUACCAUUUGAGGCAGUUAUACAUGAAUCCCAAAGUGAAAGAAUACUUGAAAACACACCACUCCAAGUUAUGAGCCAGAAGCCAAUUCAGUGAACUGGGCAAAGUUGACUAUGUGCACAAUAAUCUAGAAAAGUCUUUCAACUCAACGAUCCAGAAACUAAAGGGUCAUUAUGUGGUGGAUUUGCUGGACAUGAUAAGGAUAGAACACAUGCAGAAAUUUCAUUAUCGUGCAGGAAUAGCCAAGGCAAAAUUCAUGGGCCACAUUAUCAUCCCUGCCGUGAUGAAUGAACUGAAGCAGAAAACAACAGGCUUGGAAAUGAACAUGACUCUUUGCUCGGGUACCACAGCAGAGAUAUCAUAUUUGGAUAAAGAGAAGAGGGAUGGAGAUAUCCAGUGGAUUUAGAAGCUAGAACUUGCAGUUGUAGGCAAUGGCAGAUAACUGGGUUGCCAUGCAUUCAUGCCUUGUUUUUCAUCACUUCUCUCCCAGGUCCAGCAGGGAACAUACAGUAGUAUGUGCAUGAUUACUACUCUGUUGCAAGGUACAAAGCCACAUAUGCUUAUGCCUUGCCUGCUAUGGAGGGAAAACAACAAUGGGACAUGGUGGACCCUGGAUUCAAGCUUUGCGCUCCAGUUCUGAAGAGAGCAGCAGGUAGACCAAGGAAGAGUCGAAUCAGACCUCGCUGCGAAGGAUCUGGACUUGGAGCGAGGAAGCUUAAGUGCACAAGGUGUGGUGGGUCUGGUCAUUUUGGUGAGUACUGUGAUAACACAGUAGAUCCAGUGUUCGGAGUGUUGGAAAUAUGCCCUAGAGGCAAUAAUAAAAUGGUUAUUAUUAUAUUUCCUUGUUCAUGAUAAUUGUCUAUUGUUCAUGCUAUAAUUGUGUUAUCCGGAAAUCGUAAUACAUGUGUGAAUACAUAGACCACAACAUGUCCCUAGUGAGCCUCUAGUUGACUAGCUCGUUGAUCAACAGAUAGUCGUGGUUUCCUGACUAUGGACAUUGGAUGUCAUUGAUAACGGGAUCACAUCAUUAGGAGAAUGAUGUGAUGGACAAGACCCAAUCCUAAGCAUAGCACAAGAUCGUGUAGUUCGUUUGCUAGAGCUUUUCCAAAUGUCAAGUGUCAUUUCCUUAGACCAUGAGAUUGUGCAACUCCCGGAUACCAUAGGAGUGCUUUGGGUGUGCCAAACGUCACAACGUAACUGGGUGGCUAUAAAGGUGCACUACGGGUAUCUCCGAAAGUGUCUGUUGGGUUGGCACGAAUCGAUACUGGGAUUUGUCACUCCGUAUGACGGAGAGGUAUCUCUGGGCCCACUCGGUAAUGCAUCAUCAUAAUGAGCUCAAUGUGACCAAGUGUUUGGUCACGGGAUCAUGCAUUACGGUACGAGUAAAGUGACUUGCCGGUAACGAGAUUGAACAAGGUAUUGGGAUACCGACGAUCGAAUCUCGGGCAAGUAACGUACCGAUUGACAAAGGGAAUUGUAUACGGGAUUGAUUGAAUCCUCGACAUCGUGGUUCAUCCGAUGAGAUCAUCGUGGAACAUGUGGGAGCCAACAUGGGUAUCCAGAUCCCGCUGUUGGUUAUUGACCGAAGAGUUGUCUCGGUCAUGUCUGCAUGUCUCCCGAACCCGUAGGGUCUACACACUUAAGGUUCGGUGACGCUAGAGUUGUAGAGAUAUUAGUAUGCGGUUAACCGAAAGUUGUUCGGAGUCCCGGAUGAGAUCCCAGACGUCACGAGGAGUUCCGGAAUGGUCCGGAGGUAAAGAUUUAUAUAUGGGAAGUCCUAUUUUGGCCACCGGAAAAUGUUCGGGAUUUUUCGGUAUUGUACCGGGAAGGUUCUAGAAGGUUCUGAAGUGGGGCCCACCUGCAUGGGGGGGACCCACAUGAACGUGGGUAGUGAGGGCAAGGCCCCACACCCCUGCUCAAGGCGCACCAAGAUCCCACCUUAGAAGGAAUAAGAUCAUAUCCCGAAGGGAUAAGAUCAAGAUCCCUAAAAAAGGGGCAUAACAAUCGGUGGGGAAGGGAAAUGAUGGGAUUUAUUUCCCCCACCUUUGCCAACGCCCCAAUGGACUUGGAGGGCAAGAAACCAGCCCCCUCCACCCCUAUAUAUAGUGGGGAGGCACAUGGGAGCAGCACCCCAAGCCCUGGCGCCUCCCUCCCUCCCGUGACACCUCUUCCUCCCCGCUUGCGCUUGGCGAAGCCCUGCCGGGAACCCACUACUUCCACCACCACGCCGUCGUGCUGCUGGAUCUCCAUCAACUUCUCCUUCCCCCUUGCUGGAUCAAGAAGGAGGAGAUGUCCCCGCUCCAUACGUGUGUUGAACGCGGAGGUGCCGUCCGUUCGGCGCUAGGAUCAUCGGUGGUUUGGAUCACGACGAGUACGACUCCAUCAACCCCGUUCUCUUGAACGCUUUCGCUCGCAAUCUACAAGGGUAUGUAGAUCCACUCUUUUCCCUCUCGUUGCUAGAAGACUCCAUAGAUUGUUCUUGGUGAUGCGUAGAAAAGUUUUAAUUUCUGCAACGAUCUCCAACACGGAGAGAGUUCCGAUGGAGGCUUCGAUGAAAAUGUUGGUCAGCACUCGGUUGCCUCAACAGAUGAUGUUUCCUCCAUACAUCGAUAGCCAAUCCAUUCCCAAAAUCACAUCCGAACCUUGCGACUCCAAAACUAUUAGGUCUGAGGGGAAAACGUGCCUACCUAUGGUCAAUGGCAUCUGAAAACAUCCUUGGCUUGCCAUAUACUCUGCUCCUGGCGAGGUUACUAACAUAGGUGUUCUGAGAACUUUGGUGGGCAACUUAAACUUAUCCACAAAUCCCCUUGAUAUGUAUGAAUGCGAUUGCGCCAGUAAGAUGAUUUUGCUUACCACCCCAGAAGGAAGAAGGAUUAAGUAUGUAUCCCGGCAUAUGCCGAAGAGGACUCAGGUGAAUUCCUUAUCAGGAGUUGUACAGGAGGAAGUACCAGUGGUGAAGGAUUACCCGGAUGUAUUUCCAGAAGAGUUGCCAGGCAUGCCACCAGAUAGAGACGUCGAGUUUUUGAUUGAACUUUUGCCAGGCACAGGGCCAAUAUCUAAGAGACCGUACAAGAUGCCCGCAAAAGAUUUGGAGGAGAUUAAGAAGCAGAUUAAGGAGUUACUGGAUAAAGGCUAUAUUCGCCCAAGUUCGUCACCUUGGGGAUCACCAGUACUACUAGUGGAGAAGAAAGAUGGAUUGUUGAGGAUGGUUGUUGAUUAUCAUGGAUUGAAUGAAGUGACCAUCAAGAACAAGUACCCACUGUCGAUGAUCAAUGAUCUGUUUGACCGAUUACAAGGAGCUAAGGUAUUUUCCAAGAUCGAUCUACGAUCAGGAUACCAUCAGUUAAGGAUUCGAGCAGGAUAUACCUAAGACGGCUUUUACCACUAGGUAUGGGCUGUAUGAGUAUACCAUUAUGUCAUUUGGUCUCACUAACGCACCUGCCUAUUUCAUGAACCUGAAGAACAAAGUGUUUAUGGAGUUUUUGGAUAAGUUCGUCGUGGUGUUCAUUGCUGACAUUUUGGUCUACUCAAAGAACAAAGAGGAACAUAAGGAGCAUUUGCGUUUGGUACUUGAGAAGCUCAGAGAACACCAGUUAUACGCCAAGUUCAGCAAAUGUGAGUUUUGGCUGAAGGAAGUUGGAUUCCUCGGACAUGUUAUAUCCGGAGAGGGAAUAGCAGUAGACCCCACCAAAGUUGACACAGUAACAAACUGGGAAUCACCCACGUCAGUUGGAGAGAUCCGGAGUUUUCUUGGACUUGCAGGAUACUACCGGAGGUUCAUUGAGAAUUUCUCGAAGAUUGCUAAGCCCAUGACAGAGCUGUUAAAGAAGGACAUCAAAUUCAAUUGGACUGAGGAAUGUGAAGCUAGUUUCCAAAAGUUGAAGAAACGUUUGGUUACAUCACCAGUGUUGAUUCUGCCAGAUCAACGCAAGGAUUAUGAAGUAUAUUGCGACGCUUCACGUCGAGGACUUGGAGCAGUACUAAUGCAGGAGGGAAGAGUUGUUUCAUACGCUUCACGACAACUUAAACCCCAUGAGAAGAAUUAUGCCACGCAUGAUUUGGAGUUAGUAGCCGUAGUGCAUGCGUUGAAGACAUGGAGACAUUUUCUCAUCGGAAACCAUUGUGAGGUGUACACGAAUCACAAGAGUUUGAAGUACAUUUUCACGCAGAAGGAGUUGAAUCUCAGGCAAAGAAGAUGGUUGGAGCUCAUUAAGGAUUAUGAUAUGAGAUUGCAUUAUCACCCAGGGAAGGCUAACGUAGUAGCUGAUGUGUUGAGCCGCAAGAGCCAUGUUAACACACUCAUGACCGGAGAGUUACCGAAAUUACUAGCCGAGGAUCUUCGCGAGCUAUGUUUGGAGAUAGUUCCAAGAGGCUAUUUAGCAACGUUGGAGAUUCAGUCUACCAUGAUGAAAAAGAUCAGAGAAGCUCAGAAGACAGACAAGAAGAUUGACGAGAUAAAGGAAAGGAUGAGCAAAGGAAAAGCCAAGGGAUUUCGUGAGGAUGAGCACGAUACCUUAUGGUUUGAGGACCGCGUUUAUGUGCCCAAUGAUCCGGAGAUCAGGAAGUUGAUCUUGCAAGAGGCCCAUGAUUCACCGUACUCGAUUCACCCAGGAAAUACCAAGAUGUAUUUGGAUUUGAAGGAUACUUUCUGGUGGACCGGAAUGAAGAAGGAUAUUGCGGAGUAUGUAGCAGUUUGUGAUGUAUGUCAGAGAGUGAAGGCAGAGCAUCAGAAGCCAGCAGGAUUGCUACAGCCAUUGCCGAUACCCGAAUGGAAGUGGGAUAAACUAGGCAUGGAUUUUAUCACGGGAUUGCCCAGGACUCGCUCAGGCUAUGACUCAAUAUGGUUUGUAGUCGAUCAUUUGACGAAAGUAGCUCAUUUCAUCCCAGUGAAGACCACUUACACCAGUGCUAAGUUGGCAAAGAUAUACAUGACCAGGAUCGUACGUUUGCAUGGAAUUCCGAGGACCAUUGUAUCAGACAGAGGAACCUAGUUUACCUCGAAGUUCUGGAAUCAGUUACAUGAAACUUUGGGUACCAGGCUAGAGUUCAGUACAGCCUUUCAUCCAUAGACAGAUGGACAGACCGAGAGAGUCAAUCAGAUUUUGGAAGAUAUGCUGAGAGCUUGUGCGCUAGAUUAUGGAUCUAGUUGGGACGACAAUUUGCCAUAUGCAGAGUUUUCUUACAACAACAGUUAUCAAACCAGUUUGAAGAUGGCCCCUUUCGAAGCUUUGUACGGAAGGAGGUGUAGAACACCAUUGUUAUAGGACGCAGUUGGAGACCGUCAGUUGUUUGGACCAGAUUUGAUUAAGGAAUCAGAACAGAAAGUGAAGUUGAUUCGCGAUAGGCUCAAGGUAGCCCAGUCCAGGCAGAAGAGUUAUGCGGAUUCUAAACAUAAGGAGACAGUUCAUAAAGUUGGAGACAGAGUUUAUCUUCGAGUAUCACCACUUCGAGGAGUGAAGCGCUUUGGAGUUAAAGGAAAGUUAGCGCCCCGUUUUAUCGGACCAUACAAAGUUUUGGAGCGUAUGGGAGAAGUUGCUUACAAGUUGGAAUUGCCUGAAGGAUUGUCAGGAGUUCAUGAUGUAUUUCACGUUUCCCAGUUGAAGAAGUGCCACGCAGAGAUGGCUGAGAUACCACUGAGAGAUACCGUGCCGCUGGAAGCGAUUCAGUUGGAAAGUGAUUUGACCUAUGAGGAGAAACCAGUUAAGAUUCUUGAGUAUGCCAGCCGAGUCACCCGCAGCAAGGUUAUCAAGUUCUGCAAGGUUCAGUGGAGUCACCAUACUGAGGAUGAAGCCACCUGGGAACGAGAGGAAGAUCUACGGAAGAACCACUCUCACCUAUUUUCUAGCCAACCCGAAUCUCGAGGGCGAGAUUCAUCUUAAGGGGGUAGGUUUGUAACAUCCCAAAUUUUCAAUUUGGAAUGUUAUACAUUAGAUCAUCAUUGCAUAGCAUAUUUUAUUGCAUUUUGGCAAAUCCUCGAAAAUCCUAAGCAACUCAAGGACCCUCGGAGAGAGUUGGGGAUUUUCGUGGUGUUCAUAUUUGAUUUUUAUCAAAUAAUGAAACGAGAAUUUUGGUUUUAAUUAUUUUUCUCUUCGAAAGAUAUUUCAUAUUAAAAUUAAAUGAGAGGAGAAAAUAUGACUUCUCCAAAAAAAAUUGAAAUAUUGGAGGAAAAAUAUUAAAUUCAAAUAUUUGAUUUUAUUCGGAUUUUAUUUGCUUUUUUAAUUGCAUUAAAAAAAUUGCACGUUUUCAAAACUGCAUUUUUGGGCCAAGAAAAUGUUCAUCUUGUUCUAAUUAUUUUAAUUAGACGGUGAAAAUUUGUUUUGGCAAUUUUGGAUUUUUAUUUAUUUUUCUAUGAUUUUUUUAGAUUCGGCGAAAUUAUUAAAAAAACGCCGAGCGCGCCGACUGGGCCGAAGCCCAGCCGACGGCCCAGCCAGCCCCGCGCCUCGUCUCCCUCCUGGAGUCGGACGCCGCCGCUACCGUGUCCCGCUAGGACACCGCCGCCGCCUUGCCCCCUCCCCCACGCCAGCCCCCCUCCCCUCCUAUAAGUACCCCGACCCCGCCCCCUCUCCCUCACCCCGUUCCCCACCCCGAGAAGCCGCCGACGCCGGAGCCGAAGCCCGACGCCGGAGCCGAGCCGCCGCCACCGCGGGANNNNNNNNNNNNNNNNNNNNNNNNNNNNNNNNNNNNNNNNNNNNNNNNNNNNNNNNNNNNNNNNNNNNNNNNNNNNNNNNNNNNNNNNNNNNNNNNNNNNNNNNNNNNNNNNNNNNNNNNNNNNNNNNNNNNNNNNNNNNNNNNNNNNNNNNNNNNNNNNNNNNNNNNNNNNNNNNNNNNNNNNNNNNNNNNNNNNNNNNNNNNNNNNNNNNNNNNNNNNNNNNNNNNNNNNNNNNNNNNNNCCAGAGCCCGCCGGAGUUCCGCCGGACCAAGGUAGCCAUGCCGGUUUUUUUUAAAUAAAUAAAACCAUUAGUUUUUUUUUGAAACCCUAGUUUUUUUAUAGAUCGGUUUAUUUUUUUGUUUAAUUAAUUAGUGAACGUUCACCGAUCCGUUCGUUUUAACGAACGUGUUCGUCGGUUAGUCGCUGUUAACGAACGUCCGUUCGUUUAACUGUUCGUCAGUUUUCUUUUUCGUCGGAUUCUCCGCGAUUAUUCUAGAUCGCGAUUUCCGAUUAGAUUUUCGUUUUAGUUUAUCUUUUCGCUCGUUUAUCGGAAUCGGGCGAUUCAAGCGCCUAGAGUUUCGUCUCGAAAUUCUCUUUCCGUUUAACCUACUCAAACAAGUUUUUGCUACUGUAAAAUUUGACCUAGAUCCAGAUUAGUAAACGAAGCUUGUUUCUUUCGCCGUUUGACUUUCGUUGCUUCGUUUGAUUUGAUUCUUUUUGCAAACCGGAGUUCUUAAGUUGAACUUUCUGGUUAGAUCUUUCAUUUGAGUUUUACCUGUGCAUUUGAUGAGUGCUUAUUGUAUGCUUGUUUGUUUGCGAUAGAGUACCCGGAAUGCGCCGCUUGCUACUUCGAAUCUCUAAGUUUCACGGAUCAUCAGCAAGGCAAGUAACACGUUGAUCAUACCUCUUUUACUACCCAGUUUUAUUGCAUUAGACCAACCCUCAAACAUUGCAUGGUUAGGAUCUAAUUAAAUUGUGGGUAUUGGGAAGUAGUUGAGGUAGUACCUAUUGCCCUGUUUAUUAUCAAACCCUUGGGAGUUACUUCUAUGUUUGCUUAUAUUGCUAUGCUAUGUUAGUAGACGUGGAUUGGGUUUGAGAGAUAUUCACGACAGAUGUGAGAUUGUUAAUUAAUGGUUUACUUAAGGUGGCAAUUAAAACUCACAUCUGGGUGGAUUGAGGCACCUCGAGAACCCAGUGUUGCCUGUUUUUCUAAGGACCGCCACCCAGGCUCAAAGGGAUCAUAAGAUUAUUCAUGCUAGAAACUUCCAUGUGCAGCCACAAGCUAUUAUGGGCUCUAGCAUAGUUGAGUAGGUUACAUGAUCUCUUGAAGAGGUGGGCUAGCAGAUGUAGGGGAAAGUAGGUGUAACUGUCCACCCGGAGUAAAGAGUUAUUGUUUCUGAAAGACUGUGUCUCGGUCAUCCGUUUCUCAAACAUCAUGCAGUGCGAGAAUCAAGCGGAGGCGAUCGAGUCUUGUGGGGAAAAGUGCCCAAACCUCUGCAGAGUGUACAAACUAAUCAUGGUUAGCCGUAUCCCCGGUUAUGGACGUCUUGAGUAUCUAGUACUUGGAUUAUCAUGUGAAUCUCAUCACCAUGUUACUUAAAUAAAUUUUGUUGGGUUAAUGAUGAUACAUAAUUGGGAUUGAGAUGCUGUCAACCAUCUCAAUGUUUAACAACCACCAUGAUAGUUAAAUAAAAUUUAUUCCUUUGUAGUAGGGAAAAAUUGGCUUUUCGCAAAACUGUAACCAUAGAGCCUUCUACCAGCCAUAUAUGCAUGUAGUAUAGCUUUACUAUGUUCAUUACUCUCUAUGUGUUACAUUGCCAGCAUAUUCCAUGUGCUGACCCGUUUUUGGGCUGCAACGUUUUAUGUUGCAGACUUUUCAGACGACGAGUAAGGUGCUUUAGGUCGUGGUCUUAUACUCAGUGAUGCCAUUGGAGUUGAUGGACUCACUUAUCUUCCAAGUCUUCCGCUGUUAUCGUAUUAGAUGGCCUUCAGCCAUAUUUAUCAUACUUAUUUCUCUUUUCAGAUACUCGAUGUAAUAAGUGUGUGAUUGUUACUCUGUUAUAAAUCCUCCAUUUGUACUGUGUGUGUCAGCAUUACUGAUCCAGGGAUGACACUAAAGCACAGAGCACAGACUGUUUGAGGUCUGGUCGCUACAUGAUGAAAAUGAUGGUCAACAGCCGGUUGCAUCAGAUGAGGAUUUUGACGAGGUUCCAAAUGAUGAUGGUCAAUAGCUGCAUGAUUUUGACGAUGAUCCAAAAUAUCCUCCAAAUAAUGAUUCAAGUGAGGCUCCAAAUGGUGAUCCAAGUGAGGCUCCAAAUAGUGAUCAUGGUGAUCCAAGUGAGGCUCCAAAUGGUGAUCAUGGUGAUCCAAGUGAGGCUCUAAAUGAUGAUCCAAGUGCGGCUCCAAAUGGUGACCAACCUUCUGUUGUUGUGAGUUCUGCUAGGUAUGUAAAUCUUGCAAGGGUCAAAUACUACUGUACAUUUAUCACUUGACAUGAUCUCAUUACCUUUUAUGUUUUGCACAGCUCUAUGGUAGCUUUGAAGAAGACGCGCAAGGUACCGACAACCAAGAGGAGAAGAGAAGAAGCAAUGAGCACAAGGUGCACGAGGAGCAAAGUGAUGGCAAGAAGCUCAAGGAACAGACAGAAGCCCCAACGUUAUUAAUGAAUAAUUAUGAAACAUUAUGAAUAAUGUUGUAUUUCUGUUGGAUGAUGUUGGACCUAUGUUAGAACUAUGUUUGACAUGAUGUUUAAAUCUGUUGGAUGAUGUUUGAAUGAGCACAUGGUUUUUCCUUUUUUUUGAUUUUUUUGAAUUUUGUUUUGCUCAUUUGAAUUCUGGACAAACCUAACUUUGACCAAGAUUUAAACAAGUCUAAAACAUCAAAAUGAAAAACUAAGCCUCGAUCCUUCUUAGUUAAUCCAAAAUGAAGCUGUGGUGAGGUUUUUGAAAUUUUCAUGAAAAAUGUGCUAAAAAGAGGGGUCCAAAGGUAGGGUAAACUGCCUCAUUUCUAAGAAAGGUUUUUUUCGACCUUGUGUAAAUUAGCCAAAUAACUUUCCUACACAUAUAUUCUAUAUACACAGACUAUGUGCGCUGGUUUUUCCAUUUUUUGAUUUUUUUAAUUUGUUUUGCUCAUUUGAAUUCUGGUGAAACUUAACUUUGACCAAGAUUUACACAAGUCUAAAACAUCAAAAUGAAAAACUAAGCCUGGAUCCUUCUUAGUCACUCCAAAAUGAAGCUGUGGUGAGUUUUUUGAAAUUUUCAUGUUCAUUUCCCCAAAACACUUCUCUUCACUUCAUACAAGAGAGUUUGAGAUACUCGAGAUAUCACAUAAUACACAUGAACUUAUCGUUUAAAUGUAUGUAAACCUUGUUUAUCAACUUAAAUCGUUAGUAUAUGACAUAAGAAGACUAUGUGCGCAGGUUUUUCAUUUUUCUGAUUUUUAUUUAAUUUAUUAUGCUCAUUUGAAAUCUGGUCAAACAUAGCUUUGACUGCUCCAAACCCCGCUAACCCUAGUGCUGAACAAGGACCAUCCAUCUAACCCUAGUAGGGAUCAAGGGCCGUCGAUCUAACCCUUCUAGAAGGAAUCUGCGGGGAGGAGGGGGCGAUCCGCGAGAUGCAAUCUGAUUGGCUGGGAGAUUGUUUUUUUUAACAAAUACCGGGCAUGUUGGAUGGACCAUUGGUCGUCUCGUUGUCUGGGCCUGAGACCGCAGUAAAUAGCCCGUCUCGGCCUUUCCAGGCCUUGCAUGCAUGGGAAGGGCGGCGACGUGGGUUUGCAUGCGCGGGAGGCGGACGUGCAUGCAUGCGAGCGAGGCGAGCGAGGCGCGUAGGCUAGCGAGGCGAGCUAGGCUAGCGAGGCGAGCUAGGUGGCCAUGCACAUAUUGAUUCAGAGUUAGGCAUUAUGGCAGUGGUUCAGGGUAGCGAGUUAGAUGCACGGGCCCGGUCAAAGAGCUAUGCAGCGAUUCAGAUGCACGCACGCGCCCCACGCAUCGUUCUCGUGCAAAAAUUAAAGAGUGCAAAACGUAACGGAUACACACACGCGUCCGGAUUCACACACGCACCAUUCUCAUCCUUUCUCUCUUCCUCUCCCACCCACAGGCCUAUAAAUGGGGUGCCUCUCAUCCUCUCCCACCCACAAGCCAGAUCCGAUCCAUUUUCUCCAACUUCAAACACCCAAGCGACCGAGCCCUCCCCAAGCGAGACCAAGUGAAGAUGCAGUUCAACAGGCCGACCUUCAACCGUCCGCCUGUCAUGCCGAAGCUGCGCUACCCACUGGGCGUUCUCAUGGAGAGGGAGCUCCGUGUGUGGGCUAUUUCAAGGUGGAGGGGUUCCGUCGAACUCACCCGCGCCUUCCUCAGAGCCGGCUAUGCCCACCUCCCACGGGGCUCACCUAGGAUGUUCACCCUCAAUGAGGUUCGUGACCGCGGCGGCAUGCUCCUACUGCUCACGGUCACCUUCACCAACCCGUUUGAUGCACGCGAGCUCCUCGGCCAAGUCUUUUGGUGCGGCUGCGAGGCCAUCUUCUUCACCGUGUACAACAUCUACACCAACUACGAGAGCAUCUUCCCUACUCCAGGCCAGAUGCACUCCCUACCCUACGACGAUGAGGAGGAGGUUUGAAGUUGAAGACGGUGUUGAAGGGGUGCACGGCCAAGGUGGAAGAAGGAGGUCAAGAUGAAGAUGUUCAAGCCCGGAGUCAAGCUCGUCAUGUUUCAUUUUUAUUUUAUUUUGUUGCUUUUCUAUGUUGUGUCGUGUCGUGUCAUGUUUCGUCAUGUGUCCGUGAACUUAUUAUUAUUGCUUAAUGGGAUAAUUAGAUUUAUGCCCCUAGUUGUGUCCUACUCGUCUGUUUUACCCCUAAUUUCCAAAAGUCACCGGUUCUGCCCAAGUCACUUUGCUCCUCUUAUGCUUUUGCCCUUUGACUGUUUGACCGCCAGUUUAUAAACAUCAUAACUAAUUCAUACUAAAUCAAAAAAAUGCAAAUAAGAUACCAAAAUAUUCAGAAAACAUUACCUAUAUGUCAGUGUCAUUUGCAUUCAUGAAGAAAGUGUUGGAAAGUGCACAUCCGAGUUUUAGCUCUUUUGGUACCACCAUGAAUAGUAAAAUCUAAAAAAAAUAAAAAAAAAUCAAAAAAAUAUGGUGGCAAAGAACGACAAAUGUUCUAAGUGCUUGCCAAGUUUCAUCAGGGGACGACAUUCGUGGAAGUCGUGGAAAAAAAUUAAUCUAUUUUGGAGUGCUGAUUGUUUUUUUUGCUGGGGCACCCACGAAUGUCAUUCCCUGAUGAAACUUGGCAAGCACUUAAAACAUUUGUCGUUCUUUACCACCAAUAUUUUUUUGAAUUUUUUGAUUUUUUUUAGAUUUUACUAUUCAUGGUGGUAGCAUAAGAGCUAAAACUCGGAUGGGCACUUUCAAACAUAUUUUUCAUGAAUGCAAAUGACACUGACAUAUAGGUGAUGUUUUUCUGAACAUUUUGAUAUCUUAUUUGCAUUUUUCUGAUUUAGUAUGAAUUAGUUAUGAAGUUUUCAAACUGACGGUCAAACGGUCAAAGGGCAAAAGCAUAAGAGGAGCGAAGUGACUUGGACAGAAGCGGUGACUUUUGGAAAUUAGGGGUAAAACAGCCGAGUGGGACACAACUAGGGGCAUAAAUAUAAUUAUCCCUUGCUUAAUGUAAGGGUACAGUGUGUUGCAUCUUAUCUAAGUUAUUAGGGUUUAUUAUGUGUGUUAAAAAAUAUCCGUGCCCAAACAUAUCAUUUCUUCCCUAAACCAAGUCAUGAAGUUCGAGAACUUGUGGUUUUCAUUAAUGAAAAUUGGAGGGGGUGAGAAGCCCUCUCUUUCAUUCAAAAAAAAAACAAAUCAUGAACUAACAUGCAAAUUUAUUCCCUUUAAAUCCUAAACCAAGUGCCACUCUAACCCUAAACCAAGUGCCACUCUAACCAAAAUCAUGUGGCAGUGCAAACAUACGUUUCCAACCCUCCAAAAUUUGAGUGCAAAACAAAGGAAAACCACUCUCACGCGUGUGCAAACAUUCACGGUCUCACUAUGUAUACCUUCCUUCCUACCCAUGUCAAAGUCUUUAUAUCUGUCCUAGCGGUUACCAGCACAGCCCUAAACGCCACAAACCCACGCGGUCCUGGGUUCGAGUCCCCAGCCGCACCAAUUUUUUGAGCAUUUUCCACCCUUCAUUUUUUUAGACAAAUUAUUUUUUUCUCAAUGUAAUGCCCUUAAAAAAUGUUCAUUUAUUUUGGCACCAGGUGUAAACCUCUACUAGAGCUGAGGCACAUUUUCCGUGACAUUUUGGUCUUUGAUUUAAAUCACGGUGUAUUUGAAUUGGAGUAAUUAAAUUGCUAUUAAAUAUUCAACAGCUCCAAAAAAAUUCUAACCUUAAUUGUUUGGCUCUGGAAUAAUUCAAUUAGCUUCCACAAAAAGUUUCAGCAUUAUGAUUUACCGCCUAAAUUAAAUCACAACAGAAAACAAAAAAGCACGCAAGAGAACCCCCGAAUGGGCCUAAUUGGAUGCAGUUGGCCCAUUAGUCUAGCCUGCACUUGGCUCUACGCUCUGAAUUUGGCCCACAGAGGAACCUUUUUUUUGACAGGAAGUUAGAGCAGAGAGCUGCAUUUCAUUGAUCAAAAGUUUCUGAAUUCCUCAUUUCUUCUCCUUUUUUCAACAUAUUUAAAUGUUGGUCACUUCUUUUUUUUUCAACAUUUAAACAACUUUGACUAAAACUAGGUUACAAAUUCAAGCUUACAAAUUACUCCAUAAUUCAUGCCUUUCCAUACAUUUUCAACAUUACAACCAGCGCGAUUACCAUACCUACAAAUGCCCAAAAGUAUUUGCAAAUGGGUAUUGGUAGUGCUUGAUCUUCAAGCUUCCUAACCUUCUUCUUCAACGUCCUAAGUUCAACAGCUAGCUCUCUGUCAGUGCAUGCUUCGCCCUCCAUCUCUUCUUCCGGAGCUCGUGCUGCGGCCACUGUCAUUCGUGGCAGCAUGCACAACCAUUCUUCAUGCUCUUCUUGCAUUUCAUUCAUCAGAGUCUUGGCCAGAGCAUCGACCCAAAGAAAGAAGCAUGUCACCUGCAUGAACACCAAACAGAUCAACCCAUUGCUGAAAGAUCUCGACCACGAAAAUGGUGCAAUUGCCCCGAUUCUUACCCCAUUCUCGCUGCACACGUAGAACGGAUGAUUCUGGUUCCUCGGUGUGUGAGAAACCCUCCGGACAACGCCCGCCCGGCACCGCGGACAAACGAAGACAGGCAUGUCCACACGCGCCCGGCUCUGCAUCCGCGAGGUGGCGCGGGAGCUUGAGGAAGACAUGGAGCUCGGAGCCGAAGGGGAUCUCAACGCCGCCGCGCCCUCCACAGCUAGCUUCCCACCGCCGUGCUCUCCCUCUCUCUCGCCGUGGUCACCGCCGUGCUCUCUGUCGCCGUGGUCACCGCCGUUGUGUGUCGCCCGCUUAUAUAGCACUCCCGCAACGGCUCUCUGCUCAACGGCUCUCUGCUGGGUCCCACAAGCCACGCGUGCAACGGUCUGAAUAGAAUUGGCCGUCUCUGCCACCUGGUCCCACCUAUAUGGGCCGAGUCAAAAGGUUGACCUGACGGAGACGGCAGAGUUCACGGAACGAGUCGGUGCGCACGGACUAGGGGCAAAACUGAGCACAAUUCGCAUCUGAGGGCAAAACUGAGCACAUGGACACCACUGAGGGCAAAAGGAUAAUUAACCCUUCAGUUUUUAGGACAUGUCUUGAACAGUUCGACAUCCUCAACCAUAGCAGCAAAGCAUAGAGAGUAUCUGGUGAUAUGGGAGGCUAGGUGCUCCCAUGAUACGAGAUGACGCGAGCCGUUGGAUAUGAAAUCCAAAGGUUAGAGGAUAGGCUACUGAAACUUUUUAAGAAAGACCUCUAGAGAUAUGAUAUUCAGGCACAAGUCCAGGAACUCAUCCAGUGGCCCUUGGAUUCCAGAUACAAAGACCCACCUUGUCUCAUAUCAUGGGAGCACCUAACCUUCGGUAUCACUUAAUACUUUCUCCAGCAAAGCAAUGCUUGGUCCUCCGAAGUACUCCGUACUAUGGGAGGGGCAACAGGAGAGCUCCAUAUUCCCGAUGCCUCAUAAGCUCACAAUACUCCCAUGCAGGCCUUUGCAUUGCCCUCCAUGAAUGAAAGUCGUGUCUCAUUUCCCAAUAAUCUGUUGCAGCGCUUCCUCUGCUUGGACUGCUCUUUUAUAGACGACGGACUGCAAAGCCCACUUCAGUAUGUACACCUACCAACUGACAACUAUCAUAGCUUCCUAUCCUUUUGAGCAUUUUGCAGUAAUAAAAUCCAGAAGAAAAACAAAACAUUUACGUGCAAAGAUUUUCAUUGGGAAUUCAUCAACACAUCACAGCCUCAGUGACAGAUAAUUGAGGUAUUAUCCUUUUGCAUUCAUUUUCCCCAAAAGACAACAUACAUCCGGACAAUAAAACACUACGGCAAGUCAGCAACCAUGUAACCAACUCCUCAGCCCAAAAGGCCAACCACGAGAAGUCCUAGCAUCCUUGUACCAUAUCCCACUAAAGUUGAAACCCGUAACCGCACUAAUCGCUACGGGCCAUGGGGGUAAAAGGCUAACACGAACAAAGGGGAUUUACAUUGCAGAGCAUUAACAGCACCCCUUCUAGAAUCAGAUAAAUCGGUUCGGAAUCAAGUCAUGGACCCGGGUUGGGUAGCUGUAAAACUCCUCAUUUCUAGGAUCCGAGUACCCAUUACGGUGGCACGGAAAUGGUGUGAACCAUGAGAGCCCUCGGUGCGACUCGUUCGCCCGAGGCUCCAGCGUGUUGUCCAAAAGCGACGCGACCAUCAGCACUAAUGUUGGGCCAGAGCCAAAAACUGUGUUGAAAUUUGUAAGCAUUUUUUUGAAAUUUGAUAACAAUUGGAAAUUUGCAAACAUUUUUUGCAAUUGGGAUUUUUUUUCAAAUUUUUUAAACAUUUUUUUAAAAUUGAGAAACAUUUCUUGAAUUUGUGAAUACUUUUUGGAUCGGCGAUCAUUUUAGAAAUUCGUAAACUUUUUUUUUUGAACCGACAAACAUCUAUCGAAUUUGUUAACACUUUACAAAUUUAUAUACAUUUUUAAAAUUCAAGAUUAUUUUUCUAAAUCCGAGUACACAUUUGAAACACAUUGAUGUUUCUGAAAUUUAAAACAUUUCCUGAAAUCCAAAAAUAUUUUCAAAUUUCAAAACAUUUUCUGGGAAUUUAGAAUAUUUUUGAAAUUCCUGAAUAGUUUUUGAAAUUCAAAAAUCCCGGAUACUUUUUAAAGAAGAAAAACAAAAACAAAAGCAGUGUUGCCCUGCCCCACACAUGGUCCGUCUCUAAAGUAAGGGGGGGGAGCGGAGGGUACGUUGGCUCGCUUUCCACCGCAUGGGUCGAGGAAUAGGAAUCCUGCCGACACUAGCAAUCUGGUCAUGGCCGCAUGCAUUUUGGGCAUAUGGUGCUUAACGUAUCCCGCGCCGUAUGCGACGUGCGCAUAUACGUAGAGCCGAGCGAAAAGAAAGACCCAUGACCUAGCGGCGAUCACGCGGCCCAUUCCAACGUCGCCCUGCUCGGUCGAUCGCCGCCCUUCCCCGCCGAUCGCCGACCAUCUCAGUUUUCUUCCCGUCUUCACCCGGGAUCUGGCCGCCGUGGACGUUGUUGGAGUCGCCGUCAGUUUUCUCACAACCUAGCCGCGAUCACGCUGACCAUUCCAACGUCUCCCCGUCCAGCCGAUCGCCGCCCUUCCCCACUGAUCGCCAACCACCCGGGAUCUGGCCGCCGUGGACGUUGUUGGAGUCGCCGCCGUACGCGAUCUGGCCUCCGUGCAGGUCGUCGCGGUGACGUGGCCUACGCGGACGCCGUUGUCAUCCGCAACGGCGUGAUCAACCUCUCCUUGAACGUCCUCGCCGUCCGCAGGCAGGCCGGAGUGCGCGUACCUGAACGCCGGACAUUGGGACCUGCCAGCGUCUAGUUUUGCCAUGUAAGUGAUAAUCCCCAAGUGCAGGGAAUCAUCGUAGCAAUUUCCAAAGGUGGAAGUGAUAAGUAUGGAGUGUCGAACCCACAAGGAGCUAAAGGUAAGAUCAAUAUUCUAUCAAGUCCUAUCUACCACUGAUACGACUCUACGUACACCGAACGUUUGCUUCCAACUAGAAACGAGAAAUAAAACUAUGUUGUGGGUAUGAAGAGGAUAACUUUGCAUGAUAUCGGAGAACUAAAAUAUAAAAGUAGGUGUUGUUAUCAUAAAGUUAGAAUAUAUUACUAAAUAUUAUAAAUAGCGAGUGUGGAAUAAUGAUGGGUCGGUGUGCGGAAUUAUCCUAGGCGAUUGUUAACAAGACCGGUAAUCACUAUUGCAAUUUCAUAUGAGGGAGAGGCAUAAGCUAACAUAUUUUCUCUUCUUGGAUCAUAUGCACUUAUGAUUGGAACUCUAGCAAGCAUCCGCAAGUACUAAAGAUCAUUAAGGUAAAACCCAACCAUAGCAUUAAAGGAUCAAGUCCCCUUUAUCCCAUACGCAACAACCCCCUUACUCGGAUUUAUGCUUUUGUCACUCAAGCAACCCACUAUAAGCGAAUCAUAAACGUAUUGCAACACCCUACAGCGGGAAUCCCUCACGCUUGCGCGACACGGGGGGCACAAUAGGACAACACCAAAAUAAAGCAUACAUCUCAUACCAAUCUAGAUCAUCAAUUAACCCAAAGACAAAGGAUAUCUACUCAAAACAUCAUAGGAUGGCAACACAUCAUUGGAUCAUAAUAUGUGGCAUAAAGCACCAUGUUCAAGUAGGGAUUACAGCGGGGUGCGGGAGAGUGGACCACGUAAAAGAGAUGAUGAUGGUGAUGUUGAUGAAGACGAUCACCGUGACGAUGAUUCCCCUCCCGAUGGCACUCCGGCGCCACCGAGAGAGAGGAGGAGAGGUUCUCCCCCUUGUGCUUCCUCCUCCAUGGCCUCCUCCGUGGAUGGGGAGAGGUUCUCCCUCUGGUCCUUGGCCUUCAUGGCGAUGAUGGUCCCUCCGGGAUCCUCCUCCAUGGCCUCCUGUGAUGAUGGCCCCUCCGGCAGGGUGCCAGAGAGGGCCUUGAUUGAUUUAUCAUGGCUACAGAGGCUUGCGGCGGCGAAACUUCCGAUCUAGGUUAAUUUCUGGAGGUUUCUGUAUUUAUAGGAGAGAAUGGCAUCGAGAACAAGUCAGGGAGGCUCUCGAGGCGACCACGAGAUAGCAGGGCGUGUUGGGGAUCGUUGCAGAAUUUUAAAAUUUUCUACGCAUCACCAAGAUCCAUCUAUGGAGUUUACUAGCAACGAGAGGGAAGGAGUGCAUCUACAUACCCUUGUAGAUCGCGAGCGGAAGCGUUCUAAUGAACAGGGUUGAUGGAGUCGUACUCGCCGUGAUCCAAAUCACCGAUGACCGAGUGCCGAACGGACGGCACCUCCGCGUUCAACACAUGUACGGAGCAGCGACGUCUCCUCCUUCUUGAUCCAGCAAGGGGAAGGAGAGGUUGAUGGAGAUCCAGCAGCACGACAGCGUGGUGGUGGAAGUAGCGGGAUCCCGGCAGGGCUUCGCCAAGCGCAAGCGGGAGGGAGAGGUGUUGCAGGGGGAGAGGGAGGCGCCAGNNNNNNNNNNNNNNNNNNNNNNNNNNNNNNNNNNNNNNNNNNNNNNNNNNNNNNNNNNNNNNNNNNNNNNNNNNNNNNNNNNNNNNNNNNNNNNNNNNNNNNNNNNNNNNNNNNNNNNNNNNNNNNNNNNNNNNNNNNNNNNNNNNNNNNNNNNNNNNNNNNNNNNNNNNNNNNNNNNNNNNNNNNNNNNNNNNNNNNNNNNNNNNNNNNNNNNNNNNNNNNNNNNNNGCCGGCCCUGGAACCCAUCUACAAGGGGGGGCGGCGGCCAGGGGGGAAACUUCCCCCCCAAGUCAAGUGGGGCGCCCCCACCCCUAGGGUUUCCAACCCUAGGCGCAGGGGGAGGCCCAUGGGGGGCGCCCCAGCCCACUAAGGGCUGGUUCCCUUCCCACUUCAGCCCAUGGGGCCCUCCGGGAUAGGUGGCCCCACCCGGUGGACCCCCGGGACCCUUCCGGUGGUCCCGGUACAAUACUGAUAACCCCCGAAACUUUCCCGGUGGCCGAAACUGGACUUCCUAUAUAUAAUUCUUCACCUCCGGACCAUUCCGGAACUCCUCGUGACGUACGGGAUCUCAUCCGAGACUUCGAACAACUGUCGGGUUUCCGCAUACUAAUAUCUCUACAACCCUAGAGUCACCGAACCUUAAGUGUGUAGACCCUACGGGUUCGGGAGACAUGCAGACAUGACCGAGACGCCUCUCCGGUCAAUAACCAACAGCGGGAUCUGGAUACCCAUGUUGGCUCCCACAUGUUCCACGAUGAUCUCAUCGGAUGAACCACGAUGUCGAGGAUUCAAUCAAUCCUGUAUACAAUUCCCUUUGUCAAUCGGUAUGUUACUUGCCCGAGAUUCGAUCGUCGGUAUCCCAAUACCUUGUUCAAUCUCGUUACCGGCAAGUCUCUUUACUCGUACCGUAAUGCAUGAUCCCGUGGCUAACUCCUUAGUCACAUUGAGCGCAUUAUGAUGAUGCAUUACCGAGUGGGCCCAGAGAUACCUCUCCGUCACACGGAGUGACAAAUCCCAGUCUCGAUCCAUGUCAACCCAACAGACACUUUCAGAGAUACCUGUAGUGUACCUUUAUAGUCACCCAGUUACGUUGUGACGUUUGUCACACCCAAAGCACUCCUACGGCAUCCGGGAGUUACACGAUCUCAUGGUCUAAGGAAAAGAUACUUGACAUUGGAAAAGCUCUAGCAAAUGAACUACACGAUCUUUGAGCUAUGCUUAGGAUUGGGUCUUGUCCAUCACAUCAUUCUCCUAAUGAUGUGAUCCCAUUAUCAAUGACAUCCAAUGUCCAUAGUCAGGAAACCAUGACUAUCUGUUGAUCAACGAGCUAGUCAACUAGAGGCUUACUAGGGACACGUUGUGGUCUAUGUAUUCACACAUGUAUUACGAUUUCCGAAUAACACAGUUAUAGCAUGAACAACAGACAAUCAUCAUGAACAAAGAAAUAUAAUAAUAACCAUUUAUUAUUGCCUCUAGGGCAUAUUUCCAACAGUCUCCCACUUGCACUAGAGUCAAUAAUCUAGUUACAUUGUGAUGAAUCGAACACCCAUAGCGUUCUGGUGUUGAUCAUGUUUUGCUCUAGGGAGAGGUUUAGUCAACGGAUCUGCUACAUUCAGGUCCAUAUGUACUUUACAAAUAUCUAUGUCUCCAUUUUGAACACUUUCACGAAUGGAGUUGAAGCGACGCUUGAUAUGCCUGGUCUUCCUGUGAAACCUGGGUUCCUUGGCAAGGGCAAUAGCUCCAGUGUUGUCACAGAAGAGAGUCAUCGGGCCCGACGCAUUGGGAAUCACCCCUAGGUCGGUAAUGAACUCCUUCAUCCAGAUUGCUUCUUGUGCUGCCUCUGAGGCUGCCAUGUACUCUGCUUCACAUGUAGAUCCCGCCACGACGCUUUGCUUGCAACUGCACCAGCUUACUGCCCCUCCAUUCAAAAUAUACACGUAUCCGGUUUGUGACUUCGAGUCAUCCAGAUCUGUGUCGAAGCUAGCGUCGACGUAACCCUUUACGACGAGUUCUUUGUCACCUCCAUAAACGAGAAACAUAUCCUUAGUCCUCUUCAGGUACUUCAGGAUAUUCUUGACCGCUGUCCAGUGUUCCAUGCCGGGAUUACUUUGGUACCUUCCUACCAAACUUACGGCAAGGUUUACGUCGGAUAAUUCCAUUGAUUCUGCAUGCUGAAUGAAACAUCUAUCGUUCUUCACAACUCUUGGGUUUUCGUAACCUCCUAGGAAAUGUUUGCUGAUGGAAUCAUAUCCAAUUUUCUUCCUUCAUCAAAGUUACGUCUGUUCCUUUUCAAAUCCUGGGCCUGUGGGUUAUGGCCCACUUCAACACUUGUACAACUCAUCCUUGGAGUUACAAUUGUUCCAUAUUCCAACAUUACACCUCCUUAAAUUCCAAUAUUGCUUCAUUCCUUCAUAUUCUUGGGGUAACCAACAUAUCGAAACAAAACUCAUACCUAUUUUGUCCAAACUUCACUCCUUGAAAUAUCAUUAUCCUUUCCAUGGGUCAAGUGUUCUUCACAGGGUACUACCACCCUUAAAUGAAAUUCACAAAUCCAUCCAUAGACCAUAUUUCUCAUAUCCUCGAAACUGGUCCAAAAUCUUUGUUCAUAGAGUAAAAACUCACAUAAUACAACAUAUGAAAUCAUAACACAUUAACUUUAUUGAUUUCAUGAAUUCAUUACAAUCUCUGAGCACCCAUAACAUAACUCAACUCAUCGAACUUAUGAAAAUAAGAUUGCUUUCUACCACUCUUAUUAUCCAUAUCAAAAUCUCAACUACUCAACUCCAGCUUUCUUCUGAUUUGAACAUUCCCUAGAAAAAUGUCAUGCUUCCUUGCAGUGCAAACAAAUGUCUCGGGGCUUCUUUGUGAUUAUGUAGGCUCCUUGGAUUCUAGGCUUCUUCUCUGGACAUUUCUAGGGUCACGUCCUACAGUCAACAUGUGCUCUGAUACCAUAUAUGUAGUGACCCGACCUCAGACGGUCAAGUCCCUGGAUCAGUAUGCUGGCACACACAGUACAUCAAUGUAUAUAUCAAAGUGCAAUCACAUGUAUAAAUAACGUAAAACUGAUAUAUACCUCAUAAUACUCAGCGGAAACAAUUAAACGGGGGUGGAGUCCCAUCAACGCCAUCGGCAAGUUGAGUGUAGACCGUAACCCUGUAUCGUAACUCUUACUCGUCGAAGAAAAUCCUGCAACAUGAUACGUUGCAGCCGUGUAGGUCAGUACAUUGAAUGUACCGGCAAGAUCACUGUAAGAAAACAGAUGAUAAAAUAUACUAUAUGCAAUAUGGCUUUGUGGCUCUGUAUCUGAGUUUUGUUUUGCAUAAAAGCUGGUUUUAUUUUCCCUACAUCAGAGAAAUACUGGAGUCUAUACUACGGAGUUUCCUAUCAUGACAUGGUUCCGCCAACCGAUGUCUCAUGGCCCAAAUCAUCAUAAGUUGCCCACAAUUAUGUUAUCAGUCCGGUGUUGAGAGUUCCGAGAUAGAUCCAAGUCCAGAGGCUCAAGUUGUCCGUAACCGGGGACACGGCUAAUCGAUUAGGUUUUAACCCUCUGCAGAGGUUUGUACACUUUACCCGCAAGAUUCGAUCCCUCUUUUUACGUUCUCGCACUUCAGGGUGUUUGAGAACAAGAUGACCGAAACAUGGUCUUCCAAAGAGUUCCUCUGACCACUGUCCGGUGCUCAUCCAAUCCUACCGUAGUUCUACAUCUGCUAGCACCGUCCCAGCCAGAGUCACAACUAAGGUCAACCAAGCCAGAGCCCAUAGUGACUUGCGGUUGCACAGGUAAGCUUCCGGGCAUGAAGUAUUCUUCCGUCUCUUUGAGUCUGGGUGAAGCUUUCCGCAAGAUGUCAUGGCGCUUCUCCAUGCGUCCCGGCCAUCCACUGGUUUCUCCAGGGUGCCCGUCAACCGUCCUUCACCCAGUAGUGUGUAUUGAAUUCUUGUCUCGAGUCUUGAAGUCUUGAGGCCUUGAAGAUGUAGUCCUCGCAUAUGCCAUCAUGGAGUUGUCGUCAUUGACGUAGAGUCCUUCUUAACACCACUCUCGUGCACUCAUACCAAACCCCAUCUACUAUAGCGUAGCAUUAAAAUAAAUAACGUCCCAGGCUUGGUAACAUGGUGAUAGGUUCCUACCUCAUGCAUACUACUCAACUACAAGAAUUCAAUAUCACUACUGGAGGGACUGUUGCAAAGAUGACACUAAAUGCAAUAAAAACAUAGGUAUGAAAAACAUGGUCAAAGUGAACUUGCCUGGUAUUACUUGAUGAAGAUAACAAAGCUCUCAGAAUAAUGACUUGGUAGAACUAUUCGUCACUCCGUUGAAAAUCUAUACAGUCAAACAUAGCAUUCAUAUAAGCAAACAUACUAGCAAACAAUUCUAACACUCAUAAUGAAACCAACAAAUAAAUUGCAAAACAACAAGGGACACCGAAUAAGAACAAAGGACAACUACACAACACAACUAAUAAAGAAAACUCUAAGACAUAACACAAAAUAGUUUUGUCCUAAGUAAAAACUUAACAACAAUUAAAACACUAAACUUAUAAAUUAACAGAAAAUACAAAGUAAAACAACUAAGUUAACAGAAGGUAUUUUUCAUAAAAUUUUAUUUGCAAAAAGAAACAAAUAAAAAGCUUUUAUGAAACAGUAACUAUGACCUAAACAAGUUUUCAUACAAAACUAAAUAAAAAAAAUUUGAAAUAAAAAUAAAAUUUUCUUUGGUUGACAAACAGAAACAAAACUAAAUUUGUCAAAAGUGACAAAAAGAAGUAAUUUAAAACUAAUAAAAACAAUAAAGAAAAGACUAAAACAACACUAUAACUAAAACAUUGCUGUUUUGCUAAAAACCUAAUUUAAAAUAAACUAAAAAUAAAUCACUAUAUGACUCUGGAUAGACAAAACAAUAACAAAACCGUAGCAAAAAGAAUCAAUCAAAAAUAUUUUAUAAAACUCAAGAUACGACCAAAUUAGUGAUUUGAACAAAUUUCAUCAAACUCAAGUUUAAACUACUCAAAUUUGAAACCUAAGUACAAAAACAGAAACUUAAACAAAUUUGUGACACAGCGCAAAAAGAAUCACUCAAUUUGGAUAUGAAACAUAAAAGUUAUAAGCAAUCUAAAAUUGAAACUAUUUCUGUUUCUAAAACAGAAACGAAAAUAAACUGAAAAAAAAACUAACGGGCAGGAGCUAUGCGUCGGCUGCAAUUGGGCCUAAGCAGUGGGCGCUCUGAACUAAACAACGCUCGGUCGUUCUUUAACAGACUAACGCGCGUGCACAGAAAAGAAAAACCGGCUAAACCGAUUAGAUCUAAACCGUAAAUAAACCGAAGCUAAACCGAUCUAGUAAAAAUAACCUAACCGUUCGUUUGCAUCUAAUCUAGGCCGUAUAAUGAAGAUCUAACGGCGGGGAGAGUCGUCGGAGCUUACAGCGGUGGUGGUCGCCGGCGAUGCGGCUCGGACGUCGUCGGUGGCGGCGCUCCGGUCGUCGGAGAGCUCCGGCGAGGACACGGGCGGACGAGGCGUUCGACGGCGAGUCCAGCGGUGGUCGAGGCGGUGUCGUAGGUUGACGGAGGAGGUCGGCGGCGAGGUCGAGGUGGCGGUGGCGUUCGGGCGUCGGCGGUGGCGNNNNNNNNNNNNNNNNNNNNNNNNNNNNNNNNNNNNNNNNNNNNNNNNNNNNNNNNNNNNNNNNNNNNNUCGGACGACGAUGAGGUGGUCGUAGUGGAGAGCUAGCAGCAGCAAUGGCGGGCGGCGGAGCUCGGGCUCCGGCGAGAAAUGGCGGCGAGCGGAGAGGGGUUCGGGGGUCGGGAAGGGGCGGAACCGGGUGAGGGGAGGGGUAUUUAUAGGGGCGGGGUCGACUUGGAGGAGGGGGAAGAUCGGGGAGAGGAUCCCGAGGAUCGCGGGAUUCGGCGGUGGCGGCGGCGCGGUUUGGCGUGGAGAGGAAGAAGAAGCAGCGGGCGAGGGCGAUCGGGCAGUGGGGCCCAGCGGUCAGUGGCACAAGGGCGAGAGAGAGAGGAGCGGGCGACCGAAGGAGAGGGGCUUCGGGCGACGGCGCUGGCUGGGCCGCGGCUCGAGUGGCUGGCUGGCUGGGCCGGCUGGCUCCUGGGCCGCCUGGCUAGCGCUAGCGCUAGGUUUUUUUUUGUUUGUAACAGACAAACAAAAGUAAAAAGAACCAAAAUAAUAAAAACUAUAUAUAGGCAUAAUAUAUAUAUAAAUGUUCAGAAAAACAUUUCCUAAAACAUGAACUAUUUAUAUAGUUCAAAUAAAAUCCACGAAAAAUCAAAUAAAGCAAACAGUGCUACUGUUGCAUUAAAAUCCAACAAAAAUCAUUUUUAAAAUACCAAAAUUAUUUCAAAAUUAUUUUCUCCUAAUUUUCCAUUGAAGGGAAUCAUUUUACCCUUAUUUACAUUUAUUUAUUUUUAGGAGAAAAUUAAUUUGAAUAAAAUCCAAAUAAUUCCAAAUUUGAAAAGGAGUUUCAAAAUACUUUCAAAUGACUUUCAAUUUGAUUCUUUUUUUUAACUUCCAACUCAUAUUUCAUAUAAUUGAAGAAGUCAUUUUAUCUUCUCUCCUGAAAAUCAUUGAGUUGCAUAAAGUUUUCGAAUUUGAAAUAUUUCCAAAUGGAAUUCAAAUCUUUUCAAAACUUUUUUUUUCAUUUAUUUAAAUGGAAGAAGUCAUAUCAUCUUCACUCUAGGGUUUUGUGAUGAAAUAAUUUGAAUUCAUGGAGAUCAUAAAUGCAAUGGUGAAAGUUUGGGAAAGUCAUUUCAUUCCCUCUCAUUCAACUUUCAAAAUUUUCAAAUUUCACUCAAUUUCACACAAUCAGUCACACAACAAUCAAACAAACAAGCAUAAAUAUUUAUUUAAUAUAACAUUCCAAAAUUUAGAAUUUUGGGAUGUUACAUUUACAUCAGGUCUGGUACACAGCAUGGCAUACAUAAUAGACCCUAUGGCCGAGGCAUAGGGGAUGACACUCAUCUUUUCUCUAUCUUCUGCAGUGGUCGAGCAUUGAGCCGUGCUCCAUUGCACACCUUGCAAUACAGGCAAGAACCCCUUCUUGGACUGAUCCAUAUUGAACUUCUUCAAUAUCUUGUCAAGGUACGUACGCUGUGAAAGACCAAUGAGGCGUCUUGAUCUAUCUCUAUAGAUCUUGAUGCCUAAUAUAUAAGCAGCUUCUCCAAGGUCCUUCAUUGAAAAACACUUAUUCAAAUAGGCCUUUAUACUUUCCAAGAAUUCUAUAUCAUUUCCCAUCAAUAGUAUGUCAUCCACAUAUAAUAAGAGAAAUGCUACAGAGCUCCCACUCACUUUCUUGUAAACACAUGCUUCUCCAUAAGUCUGUGUAAACCCAAACGCUUUGAUCAUCUCAUCAAAACGAAUGUUCCAACUCCGAGAUGCUUGCACCAGCCCAUAGAUGGAGCGCUGGAGCUUGCAUACCUUGUUAGCAUUCUUAGGAUCGACAAAACCUUCCGGCUGCAUCAUAUACAAUUCUUCCUUAAGAAAGCCGUUAAGGAAUGCCGUUUUGACGUCCAUCUGCCAUAUCUCAUAAUCAUAGUAUGCGGCAAUUGCUAACAUGAUUCGGAUGGACUUCAGCUUCGCUACGGGUGAGAAAGUCUCAUCGUAGUCAACCCCUUGAACUUGUCGAUAACCCUUAGUGACAAGUCGAGCCUUAUAGAUGGUCACAUUACCAUCCGCGUCUGUCUUCUUCUUAAAGAUCCAUUUAUUUUCUAUGGCUCGCCGAUCAUCGGGCAAGUUAGUCAAAGUCCAUACUUCGUUUUCAUACAUGGAUCCUAUAUCGGAUUGCAUGGCUUCAAGCCAUUUGUUGGAAUCCGGGCCCGCCAUCGCUUCUUCAUAGUUCGAAGGUUCACCGUUGUCUAACAACAUGAUUUCCAGGACAGGGUUGCCGUACCACUCUGGUGCGGAACGUGUCCUUGUGGACCUACGAAGUUCAGCAGUAACUUGAUCCGAAGCUUCAUGACCAUCAUCAUUAACUUCCUCCCCAGUCGGUGUAGGCACCACAGGAACAUCUUCCCGCGCUGCGCUACUUUCCGGUUCGGAAGGGGUGACUAUCACCUCAUCAAGUUCCACUUUCCUCCCACUCAAUUCUUUCGAGAGAAAAUCUUUCUCCAGAAAGGACCCGUUCUUGGCAACAAAGAUCUUGCCUUCGGAUCUGAGGUAGAAGGUAUACCCAAUGGUUUCCUUAGGGUAUCCUAUGAAGACACAUUUUUCCGACUUGGGUUCAAGCUUUUCAAGUUGAAGUUUCUUGACAUAAGCAUCGCAUCCCCAAACUUUUAGAAAUGACAGCUUAGGUUUCUUCCCAAACCAUAAUUCAUACGGUGUCGUCUCAACGGAUUUCGACGGAGCCCUAUUUAAAGUGAAUGCGGCAGUCUCUAAAGCAUAGCCCCAAAAUGAGAGCGGUAGAUCAGUAAGAGACAUCAUAGAUUGCACCAUAUCCAAUAGAGUGCGAUUACGACGUUAGGACACACCAUUUCGCUGAGGUGUUCCAGGCGGCGUGAGUUGUGAAACGAUUCCACAUUUCUUUAAGUGCGUACCAAAUUCGUGACUUAAAUAUUCUCCACCACGAUCUGAUCGUAAGAACUUUAUUUUCCUGUCACGUUGAUUCUCAACCUCACUCUGAAAUUCCUUGAACUUUUCAAAGGUUUCAGACUUGUGUUUCAUUAGGUAGACAUACCCAUAUCUACUUAAGUCGUCAGUGAGAGUGAGAACAUAACGAUAUCCUCCGUGAGCCUCAACACUCAUUGGACCGCACACAUCGGUAUGUAUGAUUUCCAAUAAAUUGGUUGCUCGCUCCAUUGUUUCGGAGAACGGAGUCUUGGUCAUCUUACCCAUGAGGCAUGGUUCGCACGUGUCAAAUGAUUCGUAAUCAAGAGACUCCAAAAGUCCAUCUGCAUGGAGCUUCUUUAUGCGCUUGACUCCAAUGUGACCAAGGCGGCAGUGCCACAAGUAUGUGGGACUAUCGUUAUCAACUUUACAUCUUUUGGUAUUCACACUAUGAAUAUGUGUAACAUCACGUUCGAGAUUCAUCAAGAAUAAACCAUUGACCAGCGGGGCAUGACCAUAAAACAUAUCUCUCAUAUAAAUAGAACAACCAUUAUUCUCGGAUUUAAAUGAGUAGCCAUCUCGAAUUAAAUGAGAUCCAGAUACAAUGUUCAUGCUCAAAGCUGGCACUAAAUAACAAUUAUUGAGGUUUAAAACUAAUCCCGUAGGUAAAUGUAGAGGCAGCGUGCCGAUGGCGAUCACAUCGACCUUGGAACCAUUCCCGACGCGCAUCGUCACCUCGUCCUUUGCCAGUCUCCACUUAUUCCACAGUUCCUGUUUUGAGUUACAAAUAUGAGCAACCGCACCGGUAUCAAAUACCCAGGAGCUACUACGAGUACUGGUAAGGUACACAUCAAUUACAUGUAUAUCACAUAUACCUUUGGUGUUGCUGGCCUUCUUGUCCGCUAAGUAUUUGGGGCAGUUCUGCUUCAAGUGACCACUGCCCUUGCAAUAAAAGCACUCAGUCUCAGGCUUGGGUCCAUUCUUCGACUUCUUCCCGGCAACUGGCUUACCGGGCGCGGCAACUCCCUUGCCGUCCUUCUUGAAGUUCUUCUUACCCUUGCCUUUCUUGAACUUAGUGGUUUUAUUCACCAUCAACACUUGAUGUUCCUUUCUGAUCUCCACCUCCGCUGAUUUCAGCAUUGAAUAUACCUCAGGAAUGGUCUUUUCCAUCCCCUGCAUAUUGAAGUUCAUCACAAAGCUCUUGUAGCUCGGUGGAAGCGACUGAAGGAUUCUGUCAAUGACCGCGUCAUCCGGGAGAUUAACUCCCAGCUGACACAAGCGGUUGUGUAACCCAGACAUUCUGAGUAUGUGCUCACUAACAGAACUAUUUUCCUCCAUUUUACAGCUGAAGAACUUGUCGGAGACUUCAUAUCCGACCCGGGCAUGAGCUUGGAAAACCAUUUUCAGCUCUUCGAACAUCUCAUAUGCUCCAUGCUUCUCAAAACGCUUUUGGAGCCCCGAUUCUAAGUUGUAAAGCAUGCCGCACUGAACGAGGGAGUAAUCAUCAGCACGUGAUUGCCAAGCGUUCAUAACGUCUUGGUUCUCUGGGAUGGGUGCUUCACCUAGCGGUGCUUCUAGGACAUAAUCUUUCUUGGCAGCUAUGAGGAUGAUCCUCAGGUUCCGGACCCAGUCCGUAUAGUUGCUGCCAUCAUCUUUCAGCUUGGUUUUCUCUAGGAACGCGUUGAAGUUGAGGACAACGUGGGCCAUUUGAUCUACAAGACAUAUUGUAAAGAUUUUAGACUAAGUUCAUGAUAAUUAAGUUCAUCUAAUCAAAUUAUUCAAUGAACUCCCACUCAGAUAGACAUCCCUCUAGUCAUCUAAGUGAAACAUGAUCCGAGUUAACUAGGCCAUGUCCGAUCAUCACGUGAGACGGACUAGUCAAGAUCGGUGAGCAUCUCCAUGUUGAUCGUAUCUUCUAUACGACUCAUGCUCGACCUUUCGGUCUUCCGUGUUCCGAGGCCAUGUCUGUACAUGCUAGGCUCGUCAACUCAACCUAAGUGUAUUGCGUGUGUUCCGAGGCCAUGUCUGUACAUGCUAGGCUCGUCAACACCCGUUGUAUGCGAACGUUAGAAUCUAUCACACCCGAUCAUCACGUGGUGCUUCGAAACAACGAACCUUCGCAACGGUGCAAAGUUAGGGGAACACUUUCUUGAAAUUAUUAUAAGGGAUCAUCUUACUUACUACCGUUGUUCUAAGCAAAUAAGAUGCAAAACAUGAUAAACAUCACAUGCAAUCAAAUAGUGACAUGAUAUGGCCAAUAUCAUUUUGCUCCUUUGAUCUCCAUCUUCGGGGCACCAUGAUCAUCUUCGUCACCGGCAUGACACCAUGAUCUCCAUCAUUGUGUCUUUAUGAAGUUGUCACGCCAACGAUUACUUCUACUUCUAUGGCUAACGCAUUUAGCAAUAAAGUAAAGUAAUUUACAUGGCGUUAUUCAAUGACACGUAGGUCAUACAAAAAAUAAAGACAACUCCUAUGGCUCCUGCCGGUUGUCAUACUCAUCGACAUGCAAGUCGUGAUUCCUAUUACAAGAAUAUGAUCAAUCUCAUACAUCACAUAUAUCAUUCAUCACAUCUUCUGGCCAUAUCACAUCACAAGGCACAUGCUGCAAAAACAAGUUAGACGUCCUCUAAUUGUUGUUGCAAGUUUUUAUGUGGCUUGUAUAGGUUUCUAGCAAGAACGUUUCUUACCUACGUAGAACCACAACGUGAUAUGCCAAUUUCUAUUUACCCUUCAUAAGGACCCUUUUCAUCGAAUCCGUUCCGACUAAAGUGGGAGAGACAGACACCCGCUAGCCACCUUUUGCAACUAGUGCAUGUCAGUCGGUGGAACCUGUCUCACGUAAGCGUACGUGUAAGGUCGGUCCGGGCCGCUUCAUCCCACAAUACCGCCGAAACAAGAUAAGACUAGUAGUGGCAAGAAAAAUUGACAACAUCUACGCCCACAACUGCUUUGUGUUCUACUCGUGCAUAGUAACUACGCAUAGGCCUGGCUCUGAUGCCACUGUUGGGGAUCGUUGCAGAAUUUUAAAAUUUUCUACGCAUCACCAAGAUCCAUCUAUGGAGUUUACUAGCAACGAGAGGGAAGGAGUGCAUCUACAUACCCUUGUAGAUCGCGAGCGGAAGUGUUCUAAUGAACGGGGUUGAUGGAGGCGUACUCGCCGUGAUCCAAAUCACCGAUGACCGAGUGCCGAACGGACGGCACCUCCGCGUUCAACACACGUACGGAGCAGCGACGUCUCCUCCUUCUUGAUCCAGCAAGGGGGAAGGAGAGGUUGAUGGAGAUCCAGCAGCACGACGGCGUGGUGGUGGAAGUAGCGGGAUCCCGGCAGGGCUUCGCCAAGCGCAAGCGGGAGGGAGAGGUGUUGCAGGGGGAGAGGGAGGCGCCAGGGGCUGUGGUGCUGCUGCCCUCCCUCCCCCCCACUAUAUAUAGGCCCCUUGGAAGGGGGGCCGCCGGCCCUAGAACCCAUAUACAAGGGGGGCGGCGGCCAGGGGGGAAACUCCCCCCCCCCAAGUCAAGUGGGGCGCCCCCCACCCCCAGGGUUUCCAACCCUAGGCGCAGGGGAGGCCCAUGGGGGGCGCCCCAGCCCACUAAGGGCUGGUUCCCUUCCCACUUCAGCCCAUGGGGCCCUACGGGAUAGGUGGCCCCACCCGGUGGACCCCUGGGACCCUUCCGGUGGCCCCGAUACAAUACCGAUAACCCCCGAAACUUUCCCGGUGGCCGAAACUGGACUUCCUAUAUAUAAUUCUUCACCUUCGGACCAUUCCGGAACUCCUCGUGACGUCCGGGAUCUCAUCCGGGACUCCGAAAAACUUUCGGGUUUCCGCAUACUAAUAUCUCUACAACCCUAGAGUCACCGAACCUUAAGUGUGUAGACCCUACGGGUUCGGGAGACAUGCAGACAUGACCGAGACGCCUCUCCGGUCAAUAACCAACAGCGGGAUCUGGAUACCCAUGUUGGCUCCCACAUGUUCCACGAUGAUCUCAUCGGAUGAACCACGAUGUCGAGGAUUCAAUCAAUCCCGUAUACAAUUCCCUUUGUCAAUCGGUAUGUUACUUGCCCGAGAUUCGAUCGUCGGUAUCCCAAUACCUUGUUCAAUCUCGUUACCGGCAAGUCUCUUUACCCGUACCGUAAUGCAUGAUCCCGUGGCUAACUCCUUAGUCACAUUGAGCUCAUUAUGAUGAUGCAUUACCGAGUGGGCCCAGAGAUACCUCUCCGUCACACGGAGUGACAAAUCCCAGUCUCGAUCCAUGUCAACCAACAGACACUUUCAGAGAUACCUGUAGUGUACCUUUAUAGUCACCCAGUUACGUUGUGACGUUUGGCACACCCAAAGCACUCCUACGGCAUCCGGGAGUUACACGAUCUCAUGGUCUAAGGAAAAGAUACUUGACAUUGGAAAAGCUCUAGCAAAUGAACUACACGAUCUUUGAGCUAUGCUUAGGAUUGGGUCUUGUCCAUCACAUCAUUCUCCUAAUGAUGUGAUCCCGUUAUCAAUGACAUCCAAUGUCGAUAGUCAGGAAACCAUGACUAUCCAUUGAUCAACGAGCUAGUCAACUAGAGGCUUACUAGGGACACGUUGUGGUCUAUGUAUUCACACAUGUAUUACGAUUUCCGAAUAACACAGUUAUAGCAUGAACAACAGACAAUCAUCAUGAACAAAGAAAUAUAAUAAUAACCAAUUAUUAUUGCCUCUAGGGCAUAUUUCCAACAGGGCGCGCCCCAGGGGGGUGGGCGCGCCACCCACCCUCGUGGGGCCCACGGGACUCCCCUCCGGUAGAUUUUUGUUCCAGUAUUUUUUAUAUUUUCUAGAAAAAUUCUCCGUUGAUUUUCAUCGCAUUCCGAGAACUUUUAUUUCUGCACAAAAACAACACCACGGUAGUUCUGCUGAAAACAACGUCAGUCCGGGUUAGUUCUAAUCAAAUCAUACCAAAAUCAUAUAAAACUAUUGUAACUUGCCAUGAAUACUUCAUAAACUAUAGAUACGUUGGAGACGUAUCAGCAUCCCCAAGCUUAAUUCCUGCCCGUCCUCGAGUAGGUAAAUGAUAAAAGAAAUAAUUUAUGAAGUGUGAAUGCUAGCAAGUGCACAAGUUUAAUCAAUGAUAAUUUCAAUCACCUUUUCUAGCAUCAUUAUAUGUCAUAACAGUAGCUCAUCUCAUAAAACUUUUCAUGAUCAAGUAACAAGCUAUUCACAUGUUAAAGUAUAGAUCAUAAACUUUCUUGAAACUAACAAACUAUAUUCUCAGUCAUCAAACAAUUGCAAUUCAUCUUAUUUUCAGGAAGGGUCUAUGUCAGAGCUUUGAUUUAGCAAACUCCACAUACUCAACUAUCAUUUAAUCUUUCACAAUUGCAAGCAAUCACGUGAUGUUUGUGGGUUCAAAGUUGUAAUCGAACACAGAGAAAGAUAGGGGCUUAUAGUUUCGCCUCCCAACCUUUUACCUCAAGGGUAAAGUCAACAAUAAUAGUUCAUGAUAACUUACAUCCAAUUAGAUAUAUAUAUAUAUAUAUAUAUACAUAUCAGGAUCUUUCCAACACAAUGCGCUUGCCAAAGGAUAAAAUGUAAAAAGGAAAGGUGAAGAUCACCAUGACUCUUGUAUAAGGUCUAAGACAAGAAUAAAAGAUAGGCCCUUCGCAGAGGGAAGCAGAGGUUGUCAUGUGCUUUUAAGGUUGGAUGCACAAAAUCUUAAUGCAAAAGAACGUCACUUUAUAUUGCCUCUUGUGAUAGAGACCUUUAUUAUGCAGUCCGUCACAUUUAUUUCUUCCCUAUCACAAGUUUGUAUAAAGCUUAUUUUCUUCGCACUAAUAGAUCAUACAUAUUUAUAGAGCAAUUUUUAUUGCAUGCACCGAUGACAACUUACUUGAAGGAUCUUACUCAAUCCAUAGGUAGGUAUGGUGGACUCUCAUGGCAAAACUGGUUUAAGGGAUGUUUGGAAGCACAAGUAGUAUUUCUACUUGGUGCAAAGAAUUUGGCUAGCAUGAGGGGGGAGGCAAGCUCAGCAUGUUGGAUGAUCCAUGACAAUCUACUUUAUUUCGGAUAUAAGAAAACAUAACCCAUUACGUUGUCUUCCAUGUCCAACAUCAACCUUUUAGAAUGUCAUAUUUUAAUGAGUGCUCACAAUUACAAAAGAUGUCCAAGAUAGCAUAUUUAUAUGAGAAAUCUCUCUUCCUUCAAUAUUCUUUCAUGAAUUGUUCAAGUGACCAAUUCUGCGUUUGCUAACUUUCAAUAAGUUUACUACCUAUACUUAUUCUGUGUGAAGUCAUUACUCCCCAUGGUAUAAGCAUAUGAAACAUAUAUAAAUUCAGAUUUAUGAUAUUCAAUUCAUUCAACCAUUUACUCAUAGGAUAUACAUGAAGCACGUGAGUAAAUGACAAACUACUCCAAAAAGAUAUAAGUGAAGAACAUUGAGUAGUCAAAAAAAUUAACUAGCCAUGGGAGGAUUCUUUUUCAUUCAAGAUUUCAGAUCCAAUAAUUUUAUUCAAACAGCAAGUAAAAUUGAAAAUACGCUCCAAGCAAAACACAUAUCAUGUGACGAAUAAAAAUAUAGCUCCGAGUAAGGUAUACCGAUAGUUUUGAAGACGAAAGAGGGGAUGCCUUCCGGGGCAUCCCCAAGCUUAGGCGCUUGAGUCUUCCUUGAAUAUUACCUUGGGGUGCCUUGGUCAUCCCCAAGCUUAGGGUCUUUCCACUCCUUAUUCUCCUCAUAUCGAUAUCUCACUCAAAGCUUGAAAACUUCAAUCACACAAAACUUACGGAACUUCGUGAGAUAGGUUAGUAUGAUAAAGAGUAAACCAUUCACUUUGGUACUGUCAAAGACAAGGUUCAUAAUUGUUCUCACACAAUGGCUACUGUACCAUAUCAUUUCUACAAUUUAUAUUGAGAAAUAUAAGCCAUAGAAACUAGAAAACAAGCAAACAUGCAAUGAAAACAGAAUCUGUCGGAAACAGAACAGUCUGUAAUGAUCUGAACAGAAACCAUACUUAUGCUACUCCAAAAAUUAUGAAAUAAAUUGGUGGAGGUGAGGAAUUUGUCUAUUAAUAUUCUUAAAAAAGAAUCAACUCAAAAGCACUCUUAUGUAAAAAAUGGAAGCUGAUCUCGUGAGCGCAAAGUUUCUGUUUUUUUACAGCAAGAUCACAUUAACUUUCACCCAAGUCUUCCCAAAGGUCUUACUUGGCACUUUAUUGAAACAAAAGCUAUAAAACAUGAUUAAUACAGUAGAUUAAUCAUGUAAACACACAAAAACAGUAAGGGUAAAUAUUGGAUUGUCUCCCAACAAGCGCUUUUCUUUAAUGCCUUUUAGCUAGGCAUGAUGAUUUCAAUGAUGCUCACAUAAAAGAAAAGAAUUGAAACAUAAAGAGAGCAUCAUGAAGAAUAUGACUAGCACAAUUGAAUAUAACCCACUUCCUAUGCCUAGGGAUUUGUGAGCACAUAAUUUAUAGGAACAAGAAUCAACUAGCAUAGGAAGGCAAAACAAGUAUAACUUCAAAACUUUAAGCACAUAGAGAGGAAACUUGAUAUUAUUGCAACUCCUACAAGCAUAUAUUCUUCACUCAUAAUAAUUUUCAGUAGCAUCAUGAAUGAAUUCAACAAUAUAACCAUCACAUAAAGCAUUCUUUUCAUGAUCUAUGAGCAUAGAAAUUUUUCUACUCUCCACAUAAGCAAAAUUCUUCUCAUUCGGAAUAGUGGGAUCACUAAUUCCUAAAGUUGACACUUUUCCAAACCCGCUUUAGGUGAUAGUAUUAUUCAUACUCUAAAAGAUAUAAGUGAAUUUCAUGGAUCAUUCUAUAAUUAAUAUAGACUAACCAAUAUCCAAGCUCAAAAUAUGUAAGUGAAGCACAUGAAGCAUUCUAUAAAACCAUACUCAAAAGAUUUAAGUGAAGCACAAAGAGCAAUUCUAUAAAAUUAUACUUAAAAGAUAUAAGUGAAGCACAUGAAGUAUUCUAUAAAUCAAUGAAGGGCUAUCUCAUGCUAGCAUGGUUCUUAAAGGAAAAACAAAAACACAAAGGACACAAAUCAUGUGAACAAAACAAAAACCGAGGUAUACCGAUAUUUGUUGAAGAAGAAAGAUGGGAUGCCAACCGGGGCAUCCGCAAGCUUAGAUGCUUGAGUAUCCUUUGAAAUAUUUACUUGGGGUGCCUUGGGAAUCCCCAAGCUUAAACUCUUGCCUCUCUUUAUUCUUCUCAUAUUGAUAGCUCCUCGAUCUUCGAACACUUCAUCCACACAAAACUUCAACAAAAACUUUGUGAGAUCCGUUAGUGUAAUAAAGCAAACUACCACUUUAAGGUACUGUAAUGAACUCAUCCUUUAUUUAUAUUGGUGUUAAACCUACUGUGUUCCAACNNNNNNNNNNNNNNNNNNNNNNNNNNNNNNNNNNNNNNNNNNNNNNNNNNNNNNNNNNNNNNNNNNNNNNNNNNNNNNNNNNNNNNNNNNNNNNNNNNNNNNNNNNNNNNNNNNNNNNNNNNNNNNNNNNNNNNNNNNNNNNNNNNNNNNNNNNNNNNNNNNNNNNNNNNNNNNNNNNNNNNNNNNNNNNNNNNNNNNNNNNNNNNNNNNNNNNNNNNNNNNNNNNNNNNNNNNNNNNNNNNNNNNNNNNNNNNNNNNNNNNNNNNNNNNNNNNNNNNNNNNNNNNNNNNNNNNNNNNNNNNNNNNNNNNNNNNNNNNNNNNNNNNNNNNNNNNNNNNNNNNNNNNNNNNNNNNNNNNNNNNNNNNNNNNNNNNNNNNNNNNNNNNNNNNNNNNNNNNNNNNNNNNNNNNCGCGAAAAACAGAAUAUGUCAAAAACAGGAUAGUCUGUAGUAAUCUGGAAGUUUAGUAAAGUUCUGUAACUCCAAAAAUAAUGAAAUAAAUUUGAAAAUUUGAAAAUUUUGUACAGAAGUAAUGUGCAAAAAGUGUCAGGCCCAUUUGACCUUCCAGUAAAAAUGUAAAAUCAUGCGCUACAGCCAAAGUUUUUGUUAUUGUUCUGCACAUAGUAAACAAGCAAUCUAAUCAUCCUAAAACCAAAGCUUGGCACAUUAUUUUUAUAAUACAGUGGAUAUACACAAGGGGAUAAUUAUUUACAGAGAAACUUCCAUGAAAAAUUCUACAUUGUUUCCAUGAGCAUGAACACAAGUGUUCAAGGUCGACCCUCACUUCUUCAAUGCAUAACUUUCCAAUCACUUCUCUUAUUGAAAAACUUUUUAGGCAUGAGAGGCAAGUAAUUUUUUUUGUAUUUUCAUUAUUUUAAAUUGUUUGUGUGUUUCUCCCACAACUAAGAAAAACUAAAAAGGAAAAACAAAAUCUACUUAGUGAAGAAAGCAAACAAGCACACACGAGAAUAUCAACCCCACGCUAUUGCUCCCCGGCAACGGCGCUAAAAAAGAGCUUGAUAAUCCCCAAGUGCAGGGAAUCGUCGUAGCAAUUCCCAAAGGUGGAAGUGAUAAGUAUGGAGUGUCGAACCCACAAGGAGCUAAAGGUAAGAUCAGUAUUCUCUCAAGUCCUAUCUGCCACUGAUACGACUCUACGUACACCGAACGUUUGCUUCCAACUAGAAACGAGAAAUAAAACUACGUUGUGGGUAUGAAGAGGAUAACUUUGCAUGAUAUCGGAGAGCUAAAAUAUAAAAGUAGGUGCUGUUAUCAUAAAGUUAGAAUAUACUACUAAAUAUUAUAAAUAGCAAGUGUGGAAUAAUGAUGGGUCGGUGUGCGGAAUUAUCCUAGGCGAUUGUUAACAAGACCGGUAAUCACUAUUGCAAUUUCAUAUGAGGGAGAGGCAUAAGCUAACAUACUUUCUCUUCUUGGAUCAUAUGCGCUUAUGAUUGGAACUCUAGCAAGCAUCUGCAAGUACUAAAGAUCAUUAAGGUAAAACCCAACCAUAGCAUUAAAGCAUCAAGUCCCCUUUAUCCCAUACGCAGCAACCCCCUUACUCGGGUUAAUGCUUUUGUCACUCAAGCUACCCACUAUAAGCGAAUCAUAAACGUAUUGCAACACCCUACAGCGGGAAUCCCUCAUGCUUGUGCGACACGGAGGGCACAAUAGGACAGCACCAAAAUAAAACAUACAACUCAUACCAAUCUAGAUCAUCAAUCAACCCAAAGACAAAGGAUAUCUACUCAAAACAUCAUAGGAUGGCAACACAUCAUCGGAUCAUAAUAUGUGGCAUAAAGCACCGUGUUCAAGUAGGGAUUACAGCAGGGUGCGGGAAAGUGGACCGCGUAAAAGAGAUGAUAAUGGUGAUGAUGAUGUUGAUGAAGACGAUCACCACGGCAAUGAUUCCCCUCCCGAUGGCACUCCGGCGCCGCCGAGAGAGAGGAGGAGAGGUUCUCCCCCUUGUGCUUCAUCCUCCAUGGCCUCCCCCCUGGAUGGGGAGAGGUUCUCCCUCUGGUCCUUAGCCUUCAUGGCGAUGAUGACCCCUCCGGGAUCCUCCUCCAUGGCCUCCGGUGAUGAUGGCCCCCUCCGGCAGGGUGCCAGAGAGGGCCUAGAUUGAUUUCUCAAGGCUACAGAGGCUUGCGGCGGCGGAACUUCCGAUCUAGGUUAAUUUCUGGAGGUGUCUGUAUUUAUAGGAGAGGAUGGCGUCGAGAACAAGUCAUGGGGGUUCCCGAGGCGGCCACGAGAUAGGGGGCGCGUCCCAGGGGGGUGGGCGCGGCCCCCACCCUCAUGGGGCCCACGGGACUCCCCUCCGGUAGAUUUUUGUUCCAGUAUUUUUUAUAUUUUCCAGAAAAAUUCUUCGUUGAUUUUCAUCGCAUUUCGAGAACUUUUAUUUUUGCACAAAACAACACCACAGUAGUUCUGCUGAAAAUAGUGUCAGUCCGGGUUAGUUCUAAUCAAAUCAUACCAAAAUCAUAUAAAACUAUUGUAAACUUGGCAUGAAUACUUCAUAAAUUAUAGAUACGUUGGAGACGUAUCAGUAAGCCGUCUAGAUUGUCAAAAAAAUUGGUAGCUGCAAAUAAUUAUCUGCAAUCAUUUGUUUGUUAUGAACUAUUCAUCGGUAUGACCGUAGUACAUCUAGUUUGAUUUUGAAUCGAUAGAUCAAUUUUUAUCUUAAAUGUUGAAGUGUCUGUAGUGACAUCAUUCAAUGGAGAAAGAAACUGGAUUUACAGAUGUGUUCUUGGAGACGAGUGAGUGGUAUGGUAGCGAUAGUGUUGAUCGUACGAAUGUUAAUGGAAGUAAAGAUGAUGAUGAUAGCAGCGACAAUGAAUCCUGGUCAUCAUACGAUAAUUUACCUGAGGAGGAUUUUCAAAAGAAGGAGGAUGGUGCUUGUAGUGAAAACGUAAGUGACGUGUACAUUCAUUUCGUCGGACGAAGAACCAUAUGGGUACUUACAUGUGCAUAUGAUUUUUUUUAUGUGCAGGAGGAUAUUGACGUCCAAAACAAGGAAAAUCAUGGUGUUGAAUCUUUCAUAGAUAACAUAAGCCAGGAUCGGUCCAAACUUUUAGAUGUCAUACAAUAAUAAAAACUUAUUAAUGACAACUUACACUUGCUUAUGUGUAAUAUUGUAGGCUAACUUCGAUGGUUGGAGUGGUGAUGAUGGCUAUGAGCAUGAGGAUGCAGCUAAUAUGGACAUUGAGGAGGCUGAAAUCCAGCAACGGGCGCUGGAGACACAGUUGAAGGUUAUGGGUAUGACCUUUGCAUCACAAUGGGAGGCUUACACGUUCUACAAUAACUACGCCAAAGACCAUGGAUUCAGUAUCAGAAAACAUAAGGUGAAACAAGGAAAAGGUCUUUCAACCACUAUUCGGUAUAGGCGGUACAUUUGCUCGAGGGCAGGAAAACGACUGAGUAAAUUUUUAAACCCGGAGGGCCGUACCUGAAGGAAAUAUGCCCUAGAGGCAAUAAUAAAGUUGUUAUUUAUAUUUCCUUAGAUCAUGAUAAAUGUUUAUUAUUCAUGCUAGAAUUGUAUUAACUGGAAACUUAGUACAUGUGUGAAUACAUAGACAAACAGAGUGUCCCUAGUAUGCCUCUACUUGACUAGCUCGUUAAUCAAAUAUGGUUAAGUUUGCUAGCCAUAGACAUGUGUUCUCAUUUGAUGAACGGGAUGACAUCAUUAGAGAAUGAUGUGAUGGACAAGGCCCAUCCGUUAGCUUAGCACUAUGAUUGUUUAGUUUAUUGCAAUUGCUUUCUUCAUGACUUAUACAUGUUCCUAUGACUAUGAGAUUAUGCAACUCCCGAAUACUGGAGGAACACUUAUUGUGCUAUCAAACGUCACAAUGUAACUGGGUGAUUAUAAAGAUGCUCUACAGGUGUCUCUGAUGGUGUUUGUUGGGUUGGCAUAGAUCGAGAUUAGGAUUUUUCACUCCGUGUUUCGGAGAGAUAUCUCUGGGCCCUCUCAGUAAUGCACAUCACUAUAAGCCUUGUGAGAAAUGUGACUAAUGAGUUAGUCACGGGAUGAUGCACUACGGAACGAGUAAAGAGACUUGCCGGUAACGAGAUUGAACUAGGUAUGGAGAUACCGAUGAUCGAAUCUCGGGCAAGUAACAUACCGAUGACAAAGGGAACAACGUAUGUUGUUAUGCGGUUUGACCGAUAAAGAUCUUCGUAGAAUAUGUAGGAACCAAUGUGAGCAUCCAGGUUCCGCUAUUGGUUAUUGACCGGAGAUGAGUCUUGGUCAUGUCUACAUAGUUCUCGAACUCGUAGGGUCCGCACGCUUAACGUUCGAUGACGAUCGGUAUUACGAGUUUAUGUGUUUUGAUGUACUGAAGGUAGUUUGGAGUCCCGGAUGUGAUCACGGACAUGACGAGGAGUCUCGAAAUGGUCGAGACAUAAAGAAUGAUAUAUUGGACGAUGUUAUUCGGACACCGGAUGAGUUCCGGGGGUCACCGGAUAAAUAUCGGAGUGCCGGAAGGGUUAUCGGAACCACCGGAGAAGUAAUGGGCCUUAUUGGGCCUAGGGGAGAGAGAGAGAGAGAGGGGCAUCCAAGGGUUGGCCGCACCCCCCCCCCAUGGGCCUAGUCCGAAUUGGACUAGGGGGACGGGGCCUUCCUUCUCUUUCCCCCCUCCUUCCUUCUUCUCCUAGUUGGACUAGGAAAGGGGGAAACCUACUCCUAGUAGGAGUAGGAUUCCACCCCUUGGGCGCACCCUAUGAGGGACGGCCGGCGUCCCCCUUGCUCCUUUAUAUACGGGGGCAGGGGGCACCCCAUAGACACACAAGUUGAUCUUUAGCCGUGUGUGGUGCCCCCUCCACCAUAUUCCACCUCGGUCAUAUCGUCGUAGUGCUUACCCGAAGCCCUGCACCGGUAACUUCAUCAUCACCGUCACCACGCCGUCGUGCUGACGGAACUCUCCCUCGGCCUCAGCUGGAUCAAGAGUACGAGGGACGUCAUCGAUCUGAACGUAUGCUGAACACGGAGGUGCCGUACGUUUGGUGCUGAGAUCGGCAGGAUCGUGAAGACGUACGACUACAUCAACCGCGUUAAUAUAACGCUUCCGCUUUCGGUCUACGAGGGUACAUGGACACACUCUCCCUGCCCGUUGCUAUGCUUCUCCUAGAUAGAUCUUGCGUGAUCGUAGGAUUUUUUUUUGAAAUUACUGCGUUCCCCAACAGUACCCGCAGGCUAAGACCUGAGACUCAUUGCGAGUGUGGUGCACAUUUGGUCGUGAAGUUGGACAAAGGACGUGGAGUUUGGUUCGUGGCAGCUUUUAUGGAUGAUCACAACCAUUUGUUGGCUAGAGCAGAUGAGGUGGUAUUUCUGCGGUCACAUAGAGUGAUGGGAGAUCACCAGAUAGCUGAGAUCUUGGCGAUGGAAGGAGCUGGGAUCAGAAAGCAUAUCAUCAUGGACAACUUCAUUAGUAGGUAUGGUUUGUACGAUAAGUGUGGGUUUCUGAGACGAGAUGUCUACAACCUAUGUUGCCGAGAAAAAAUGAAGUUGAUUGCGAAGGGUGAUGCUAACACGGCAAUCAGGAUUAUGAGGAGCAGAAAGGAGAAGAAUCCAGACUUCUUCUUUGAGUACGUGCUCGAUAAGGAGGGUUGUUUAAAGAGCAUGUUCUGGUGUGAUGCACAGUCGCGGCAGGACUAUCAGUUGUAUGGAGAUGUGACUGUGUUUGACAGCACGUAUAAGAUGAACAGAUAUGGUAUGCCGUUCGUCCCCUUUGUUGGUGUAAAUAAUCACCGUUGCACCACAGUGUUUGGUUGUGCCAUUGUGUCCGACGAGACCGAAGCGACGUACGUGUGGCUGCUCCAGACAUUCUUGAAGGCCAAUUGUCAGAAGAAGCCAAGGUCAAUCAUCACAGAUGGAGACGCUGCAAUGAUAUGAGCUAUUCGGUUGGUUUUGGCUGAUGUGUUGCACCGUCUCUGCUCAUGGCACGUGGAAAAAAUAUGCAGAAGCACCUUAAUUACAAAUCACUAAAUGAGUUCAGGGCACACUUGUACUACUCCACCUCUCCUGCCAACUUUGAGGCAAGAUGGCACGCUUUUGUCCUUAAAUGGAAGAUUGAUAAAACAGAAGAGUGGCUGCGUAGGAUGUACAGGAAGAGGAGUCUGUGGGCAGCAUCAUAUCUAUCAGAUGGUUUUUUCUAGGUACGCGCAGUAAUCAGAGGAGUGAAAGCAUUAACUCUUGUCUUCACCUUCACCUGGACGGCGGUAUGACUAUUGUUGAUCUAGUUGUGCAUUAUCAUAAUUGCAUAGUUCGACUACGUGAGAACAAGGCGCAUGAUGACUGUGUUUCUAAUCAAUCAUCGCCACCAGCAGUCACUGAAUAUAAGGACAUUGAGAAGCAUGCUGCCAAAGUAUUCACUCAUGCCAAUUUUUAUAUUCUUCAACAAGAUCUGAAGAAGAUGGGAGAGCUUGAGAUUUUUGAGACGCUAGUUGGAGUUGACUGUCACACCUUCAUCGUGACAUGGAGAAAUAACCGCAAAUUUCAGUUCAGCGUGAAUUGUCGAGCUGAAAACUCUGAGAAUACUAUAGACUGCAUUUGUGGACGAAUGCUUCAAAAAGGGUUGCCUUGCAAACACAUUCUGUAUGUGUUGGUUCAUCUGAAAAUAUCUGAAAUACCUAAGUGUUGCAUCCUUAAGAGCAUGUCGAAAGUUGCGAGAGGUGGGCUGCCAGCACAGCGGAAGAGUGACAUGUUUGGCUGGGGUUGGAUAGGGGCAGAGCAGCGUGCUCGCUAUAGUCAACUCAGUAUAACAGGAGCAGAAGCUUUCCAUGUUGCACGAAAUGAUCCAUUCGUCUUUGAUGAGUUGAUGCAGUGUCUGCAGAAUAUAAUAGCUAAGAAAAAGUUCCCUGAUGAUGAUGUUGUUGGUAGUAGAAGGAAUGUGCAUGAGGAGCCACGUGAGUCGGAACAACAUGUUGAUGUCAUAGGUGAUCCCGUGAAAGUUUCCACGAAGGGCGCCCCUAAACAGAGCAAGACAGAGCGGGUAAAGAAAGAUAUAAAUGUUACAAAAAAUGGAAGACCAAAAUCAUUUUCUGAGAUAAAACCCAGUCCUCUUUGUGGCUUAUGUCGCAAAGAGGGCCAUAGACGGCAAACGUGCCCCCAGAAUAAAAAGUAAGUUUUACAUUGUUUUAAUUAUCUUUUGUUCCUCUCUUUACAAUUGUCUGAUGAGUUGUUUAAAAUUUGUUAUGUAGGAACCGGGCAUAAAGAUGAAGUAUUAUUAAUCAAUGGAAGGCACUGGGCAGAGUUCAAUUCGCAUGUCGUUGUGUUGCUAGACGUACUAUAUUUUCAGACAAUUUUUUUACGUUUUAUUGUCGCUUUCGUGUGAGACUAAACAUUUAAAUGCGUGUCCAACUAUCAUUGGUACUAUUUUGUGAGACGGAAUGUUAUAAGUGUGCGCAACUAGUGUUAUUUGUACUGUGAAAGUAAUAUUUUUACUGUGUUAAAAUGUAUUACUUUGUGGCUGUGAUGUUUGCAAUGUUUUUGAUACGUACUGUUGUUGUUUGUAUUCGCGGCAGUCAUAUUUUUUAUAUAAAAAAUACCCCCGCCUUCCAGAGUUGGCGCUAACAAGGCACAGUGGCGCGGCGGCAACGACGAGCGAACCCAAGGCAUCAGGACAGCUUUGAAGCUUAUGAGGGAACGACGAGGCGGCUAUUUAAGCCGGUCCGUGCGUCCCUCCGCAGGUGAGAUGGGACUAAACUACAGAAGCUGCACUCGCGGCUGCGCGGGCCUCUUGGUGCACCGCGUUGGUCGCCCUACUCAAUGCGGACUACAUGGCUAGUCCAGAUCACGGAGGCGAGUUAAAUAGUGUUGAUCAUGUGACUGACUCCCCACAAAAAGAAAGUUCUAAUUUUGAUGCUAAGUGUGCAGAUUUAGGGCAUCAUUUUAUGCAACCAGCUGUGGACAAAACGUGCACAGGAUCCCAGAAUGAUUCUGGUGGCAGCGGCGGCGCUGGAUCCGAUGGAGAUCGGCCUAGCAGCAUGAUUGGCGCGCGAUCCCACAAAGAUUCCAGCCCAGCCCGUGCACUGGCCGACAGCCCAGGCAGUGGCGGGCCCACCAGUCCAGCUAGUGCGGUCCGGCGCGAUUCGCCGUGCGCCACGCGCGCGUCUGGUGGCCCAGCCGCCGACUGAGCGACAGCCGUGGGCCCGGUCGUAGAUGUCUCGUCCCGCCCGACCGAGCGGGCACCAACCGAGGAUGCCACGUGGCCUUCGCCUGCUGGUGCAACGAUCCCGAGGGUGAUUUCUGGCGAUCUGUUUCCCUUGGAUCGGGGGACUGAUGAUGCAGCGGUUCCCUUGGGAUCUUCUGUGGACAGCGAUGGGGGAGAUGGCACUGUUUGUACGUCGUCCCAUUAACGACGCGCGUCGGGCGCGUGGGCCGGCCCUUUAAGGUCCUCUCGUGUGCGGCUGGGGACGCUGGCGCGUUGCGCCGACUAGAUUUAUUCACACCUUGCCCGCCGAGCGACGCCAUGACCGGUUUAUAUACCUGCGUCGUCGCCCUUCCCACAAGCUCACUACAAAAAACUACCAUGGUUGCCCUGUUGUACACCGUCGCUGGGCCGCUCGGUGGGCGAAAGGCCGUCCCUUUCGCCUUUGGGCUCGAUCGAGACGGUUCUAGUAAAGUCUCCAUGUGCGCGCCCGGCCACGACUGGGCCUCUUUUUUGAAAUACGUUUUAUUCACAUAGAUUAAUUUUUUUGAUAUAUUACAAACAAUCAACUAAAGUCAUGACAACAGUAACACAUUAAUACAAAUAUACCAUAUUUCACGCAUAACAACUAAAAUGCCAUGUCGCAUAUCCUUUAACAAAGUAGCAUAACGAAUAAACUGAAAGUGACAUGUCUCGUGUCCUUUAACAAAGUACCAUAACGAAUAAACUGAAAGUGCCAUGUUACAUUACAAUCCAACAAAGUGAUAAGUACCCAACAACGACAGGGAAACCUUCUGCGGGACUAAAACCCUACCGAUGCUAAUACCUAUUUCUUCUCCAUGAUUUUAACAAUUUUCAUCUUGAGCUUCUCUAAUGUGUUCACCUCGGAAAAAAAUAAUUUCCGUGACAAUACGUGGCCUUGACGCAUUAAUCUCUUCCUGGUCAAAUUCAUAUGUCCAGCGAUCUUCGUCCCAGUGUUCUAUGCACCACAUCACAAAAAGUCCACAUGACACUCUGCAAUAAACACGUGUGAUCAGCUUAGGAUGUAACAUGCACUUGCUUGUACUAGUGGUAUGGAGUAUGAACUUACCCAUCUUUUUGUCUCGGCAUUUCGUACUCAUUUAUUGGCCAUGAUGACACAUCUGGAUAUUUUUUUUGCUUGAAGAGUUGACUUGGCCUCCAUAACAUCCUUAGAAAUUUCAGCUCUCUGAAACAAAUUAACGAAACGAGAAUAUAUUUUUGUUCCGAUAUAAACCAGAAUAAUGUAUGUCCCAAUAUAAAGCAGAAUAAUGUAUGUCCCAAUAUUUUCUUUCAUGUGAGUGCGAAAAUUAUAGUGUACCAGUGUGGCAAUCUUAUUGCGAAUUCGUUGGCUAAUUGUGCCAUUAGAAUUUGAGUCAAGAACUUGAAACUCCUCCUUGACGGUGUGCAUCAGUAUGGUUAUCCAAUGAUUCUCGUUAACGUGCAUAGGAAAAUACGCCUACAUAACAACAAAAUGAUGUUAGUGUAAUUAAUCACUAUUGAAUAAGAAAAACUAAUAAAUAUGAAAGCAAUACCUUGUCCCGUGCGAAAUACUCAUCCAUCACUCUCGUGAGGACUUUCGUUUUCUUUGUAUGCUUCUUUGAGUUUAUAUUAUUUACUGACUUGUUCUUUCAACUUGCCCUAUUCAACAUAAAUUUGGGAAACCACGUUGUUGAUAUGUGACGAUCAGCAAAACCACAGGCUUGUAGGUGUUUACAAUAUGCAUUGAUGACCUGCAUACAUUAGUAUAAAAUUUCUAUCAACUUCUGCAGUACAAAUGAUAGUUUUAUUAAAAACAAACUCAUACUUAGAGUGCCAUUCAACCAUUUAAACGCGAGGACAUCAUGAAGCAUAGCUGGCGUGCAUAUGUCCCCAUCUGGUGGCGGCACGUUUACCAUAGUUCGGUGCGCAUGCUUCUUUGACGAUGCAAGAGUCUCAACAAAAACUUUGGCUGCCUCUAUGUGAUCCGGAGUCAUAUUAAGUGAACUUGCUAGAAUUGAAUGUGGUGAAGCAAACAAAUCUAAAGCAAUGCAGUUACGGUCAGUUAAUUAAUAAUAAAAAUUACAUAACGCAUGAAUGCAUAGUAAAGUAGUAUUUGACUUACUUUUUUUAACGUGUUUCUUGCGGGUAAUCAAACGGUCGUAGGGGGAUUGAUAAUAUUUUGACAGAUUUCGUUUGCGUUUACCUUCAUUCUCCUUACUGCCAUCACCAUUAGCUAUGUUGCUCAUUGUCGGGAAACUCUCAAACGUUUCUUCAGACUUUGUUGGUGACAAACCACCCAUAGACUCACCAUAAAUAUCAGCAUUCUGCGGGGUUCGGGAGAUAGACGGAAAGUCUUUUGUCCGUAUAAUUGAUGCCGAAGACGGAGAGUUUCCAGUAUCCUCUAUAAUGAAAGGAUGAGUAGCUUCACCUUUACCCGGUGUUGUGGCCGGAGCACCCGUGUCAUCAACGGGCACUGAGGUAGCAUUCAUACCCGUGAAAGAUGUUCCUAUCUUUACGUCGGUAGGUGAUUCAACUUCUGGCCAAUAUUUUGACUUGUACUUGCCAUUCUCCAUCCCAACUCCUUCACCUACAUCAUCAAAUUCUUCAACGUUGUCCCGCUUAUUGGGCUUGUACAUCACACCUUCCGUGUUCAACCUUUCCAUUACCAUCUACAAACACAAAUGAAACAUGAUAAGUAGUUGAAUAAUUAAAGCACAUUCAAUACAACUUCUAAAUUACCUGUGCACAUCUUUCAGGAAUAUUGAGAACCUCCUUGUGAAGCAGUUUUAUGUAUGUGAUCACACGGUCCAUACUAUAAUUCGUGUUCGAUGAAACCGCCAACGUACUUGGCUUUCUACUCCUGCCACCACCUUCCCAUUUAGCUUUCUUCGUUUCUUCCUCUGGGACAGUCCCUUCAUGUGCAACCUUAGUGCAUCUGUACUCUUCGCUAAUGCAGUUUUCAAUCUUUACAACAAACAAUAAAAUGAAUUAAAUAACGAAUAUACUUAAUUACUAUGUGGAACAAAUAAGGACUAUACUUAUUGACUUACAUUGCCGGUACCCCGCCCGUGUAUGUUGUCAUAGUCGUCUCGCUUUUUUCCUUCUGUUUCUGGCCAGUUAAGCAUUAGUGGGUAUUCACGAGACAAAGGAUCAAAUGCAUCCAGACCAAUUGGCUCAAGUUUUUCCCAGUAUAUGUAUUGCAUGAUAGUAAACACAAUUAGUCAGACACAUAUAUCACAUAUAAAAUAUAUGUACAUACAACUAUUACGAAAUGAGUUGUACCUGAAGAAGCGCCAAGUUCCCGAUAGGCCAAUGAAAAAUUUCAAGAUCUUCGACCACUUUUUUAAUAGCAUCCAUGCACACCCCCAACGUGAAGUCGUUCCAAUUGUAUGACUUGAUAGCGUUGACGUCCUCCACCAUUUUGUAAUAAUGAUAAGGAACAAACUUGGUGGAUUGUGAUACUAAGACUGUACCCAUAAGAACCAGUAUGACCCUUCUCAUAAAAUCAUCAUCAUAUGACUGACUAUCAACAAUAUUUUUAAUCAAGUCAUCUAUCAGGAUUAGGCCUGUUCUUUUAUCUAGAAACCGAUUCGGAACAAUUUUUUUGGUGUCUAGUUGUACUGUUGCUAUCAUGCUAAUCACAUCAUCACCCUCGUUACGUAGCCAGAAUAUGUCAUAAACAUCUUCAUUAAGCAAAGUGAUGCCAUCACUAUUUGGCCGAAUAAUAAAUCGCUUUCUGCUACUAUCAUACGUUGUAAUCAUAAAUUCCAAUAAAUUUUUCCUCAUUUUCACCGAAGGAAUUCUCAACAUACUGUCCAAAUUGGUGCCACGUAGCCUCAUGCGCUGUCUAGGUGUGAAUUUUCCCACCAAUUCACACCACUUCUCAAUUGAACAGUACACGUCUCCGUAUUCUUGCAUUCUAAAUAAGAUGAAUGUUAUUUGACUAGUUACGAGAUUUAAAAAACAUUACAUGUUGUUUAGUACCAUACCUUUCGGCGACGCGACGUGCACCGGCAGCCCCCGUUGGCUAUGCCCACCCGGUGUGGGUUAAUCGUGGCAGCCGCCCACUGCCAACACCACCGCGGUGGCCGACGGCCCGCCCUAGGGUUCUGGGUGCGGGCGACUUUGCCGAGACGGCCCGGCCGGGCCGAGAUCCGGGCCGCGUGUGUAUAUGCCGGAGUGUAUGGCCGUCGGGAGGGCGGCAGGGAAGGGAGUUGGGACGGCGACGGCGGUGCGACCGUGGGAUCGGGGUGAGGUCGUGCAUGGAGGCGGCGGGGUUAGGCGGUCGUGGGGUGAGGUAAUGGCGGCGUCAUUUCCCAUGCCCAUGCACGCACGUACGGCGUCAUACACGUGGUUACGCCAUACUGGGCCCGUAGGCCUGUCCCGUAAAACUUUCGCCGGCAGGCCCAUGAUGCUUUUUUUCAAAACACAUAACACUAUGCAUUGUACUUUAACAUCUCCUGGUUUAAUACCACAUCGCUAAGCCGGCGCGCUGUUGACUCCUUUAUAUACUUUUGUUUUUUGACAUGAACAAACAUCUAUGUUUGUGGGACUCUGUUUGGAGGAUAUGCAGGAUCGAUGUGAGUCCUCAGAGCUUGUGUAGGUUCACAAGGAUCAUGCAUAUUCUUCAAAAAAAGAGCCAUUAUCUCUGAUGUUUUUUAACGACAGAAAAUAUUAAUGCAUUUUUUUACUCAGCCAGUUGACCCCAAACUUUUUGCACACGCCCGCAUCACCAGGGGCAUCAUGCGUGCAAGUUUUCAUCAUUUUUCAAGACCGUACGAAUUUCGUAGGGUUUUCUCGGUGAAACGCACCUAAAACACUGACCGGGUCUGACGCAACGUGCGUUUGGUGCCCAAAUUCGUUCUAAUCUUGCGUGGGGUCCUACGAUGGGCAUGCCCACUGCCUGCCAAAAUAGGGUGACAUUUCAUGCAUGCCACCUCGUACCACCUAUGCAACCAGCACUGAUCGGAUCAGAAGGAGGUCAGCUCCGAAGUGCGUUUUUUUCUGACCCAACCAGUUGACCCCAAACUNNNNNNNNNNNNNNNNNNNNNNNNNNNNNNNNNNNNNNNNNNNNNNNNNNNNNNNNNNNNNNNNNNNNNNNNNNNNNNNNNNNNNNNNNNNNNNNNNNNNNNNNNNNNNNNNNNNNNNNNNNNNNNNNNNNNNNNNNNNNNNNNNNNNNNNNNNNNNNNNNNNNNNNNNNNNNNNNNNNNNNNNNNNNNNNNNNNNNNNNNNNNNNNNNNNNNNNNNNNNNNNNNNNNNNNNNNNNNNNNNNNNNNNNNNNNNNNNNNNNNNNNNNNNNNNNNNNNNNNNNNNNNNNNNNNNNNNNNNNNNNNNNNNNNNNNNNNNNNNNNNNNNNNNNNNNNNNNNNNNNNNNNNNNNNNNNNNNNNNNNNNNNNNNNNNNNNNNNNNNNNNNNNNNNNNNNNNNNNNNNNNNNNNNNNNNNNNNNNNNNNNNNNNNNNNNNNNNNNNNNNNNNNNNNNNNNNNNNNNNNNNNNNNNNNNNNNNNNNNNNNNNNNNNNNNNNNNNNNNNNNNNNNNNNNNNNNNNNNNNNNNNNNNNNNNNNNNNNNNNNNNNNNNNNNNNNNNNNNNNNNNNNNNNNNNNNNNNNNNNNNNNNNNNNNNNNNNNNNNNNNNNNNNNNNNNNNNNNNNNNNNNNNNNNNNNNNNNNNNNNNNNNNNNNNNNNNNNNNNNNNNNNNNNNNNNNNNNNNNNNNNNNNNNNNNNNNNNNNNNNNNNNNNNNNNNNNNNNNNNNNNNNNNNNNNNNNNNNNNNNNNNNNNNNNNNNNNNNNNNNNNNNNNNNNNNNNNNNNNNNNNNNNNNNNNNNNNNNNNNNNNNNNNNNNNNNNNNNNNNNNNNNNNNNNNNNNNNNNNNNNNNNNNNNNNNNNNNNNNNNNNNNNNNNNNNNNNNNNNNNNNNNNNNNNNNNNNNNNNNNNNNNNNNNNNNNNNNNNNNNNNNNNNNNNNNNNNNNNNNNNNNNNNNNNNNNNNNNNNNNNNNNNNNNNNNNNNNNNNNNNNNNNNNNNNNNNNNNNNNNNNNNNNNNNNNNNNNNNNNNNNNNNNNNGCACCUAAAACACUGACCGGGCGUGACGCAAUGUGCGUUUGGUGCCCGAAUUCGUUCUAAUCUUGUGUGGGGUCCUACGAUGGGCAUGCCCACUGCCUGCCAAAAUUGGGUGACAUUUCAUGCAUGCCACCUCGUACCACCUAUGCAACCAGCACUGAUCGGAUCUGAAGGAGGUCAGCUCCAAAGUGCAUUUUUUUUGACUCAGCAAGUUGACCCCACACUUUUUGCACACGCGCGCAUCACCAAGGGCAUCAUGCGUGCAAGUUUUCAUCAUUUUCUGACACCGUACGAAUUUCGUAGGGUUUUCUCGGCGAAACGGAGCUAAAAAAUUAAAUAAUGAAAAUUACAUAAAUAAUAUAUAUAUAUAUGUAUAAUUUAAAUACUUAAUAAAUUCUUGAUUAAAUACUAUUUUUUAUAAUUAUGGAACAUUUUUUAGCCAAUAAAGAAAAGCACAAAAAUGUAAAUAAUGAACAUUGCAUAAAUAUAAAAAAUAGAAUUACUAAUAUAAUAUAAAUAAAUAAUAAAUUCUAGAUUAAAUAGUGUCUUUUCAUAAUUCUGGAACAUUUAUUAAACGAUAACGGAAGGUGAAAUUAACUAAAACAUUAAUACUACUUUUGACACAGAUAACUAAAAUAAAAUGUCCUGGACGGCACAUGUUGGCCGGCCCAGUGACGGUGCGCGACUGCGCGCGUGGGCCGGCCCAUUGACGGUGUCGAUGGUGCGGGGGCAGGGUCGGCGGGGGUCAGGACUAAAGUUUAGUCCUCACCCACCGAACGACGCCGCGACCAGCUUACAUAGCUGCCUCCCACCACCCAAUCGAACACAUUUGAAACUCGCCGCGUCCCGCCACUGCCCUGUUGUGACCGUCCUGCAGGCCAUACCUGGGCCGAAAGGCCGGCCCUUUCGCCGCCCGGCAUGAUCGGGCCGGACCGAUUAUGUACAGUUGCGGCCUGCAAGGAUGGUUGGGCAUUUUUUUCGCCUCUUAAGCAGUCACGACGCAGGGAGAAGUGGGAAGGGCGCUUGUUUAGUCCCACCUCGCGCGUCAAAGGAGCCGACCGGCUAAAAUAGCCGCGUUCGUGCACUAUGCCAGAAAAGAUAGCUAGUAAUAAUGAGAUUUGACCUUAUUUUUUUGUAUCAUUUUGUCACUCCAUGCAUUUUUCAACAACCUUCAAAUGAACCCAAUUGGGUGUCAUGUCAUGCAUGCCACCUCGUACCACGUGUGCAACCAGCAGUCAUCGGAUCUGAAGGAGGUCAGCUCCGAAGUGCAUUUUUUUCUGACUCCGCCAGAUGACCCCAAACUUUAUCCACACGCCCGCAUCACUAGGGGCAUCACGCGUGCAAGUUUUUAUCAUUUUUCCACACCGUACAAAUUUCGUACGGCUUUCUCGGCGAAAACCCCCUAAAACACUGACCGGGCGUGCGUUUGGUGCCCGAAUUCGUUCUAAUCUUGCGUGGGGUGUCUUUAAUAAUGAUGGAACAUUUUUAAACCGUUAUGAAAAGUAGAUUUAAAAUAUCAAAUAAUGAAAAUUACAGAAAUAAUAAAAAUAUAAUUUAAAUACUUAAUAAAUUCUACAUUAAGUAGUGUGUUUUUAAUAAUUGUGGAACAUUAAAUAUAAUUAUGGAACAUUAAAUAUAAUUGAAAUCACAUUAAAAAUAUUAAAUUAUAAAAAUUACAUAAAAAAUAAAAAAUAGAAUUAAGAANNNNNNNNNNNNNNNNNNNNNNNNNNNNNNNNNNNNNNNNNNNNNNNNNNNNNNNNNNNNNNNNNNNNNNNNNNNNNNNNNNNNNNNNNNNNNNNNNNNNNNNNNNNNNNNNNNNNNNNNNNNNNNNNNNNNNNNNNNNNNNNNNNNNNNNNNNNNNNNNNNNNNNNNNNNNNNNNNNNNNNNNNNNNNNNNNNNNNNNNNNNNNNNNNNNNNNNNNNNNNNNNNNNNNNNNNNNNNNNNNNNNNNNNNNNNNNNNNNNNNNNNNNNNNNNNNNNNNNNNNNNNUACUUAAUAAAUUCUACAUUAAAUAGUGUGUUUCUAAUAAAUUCUACAUUAAAACUAGAAAUACAUGAGUUUUUAUUUAUCAAUUAUUACAACAAACUCAUUAUUAUUUUGGCACAAAUAAAUUUUCUUUUUUUAAUCUUUUGACACAAACAAUAAAUGCUCUGGACGGCGCGCACUGGCCGGCCCAGUGACGCCACGCCUUGCGAUGGACGUCGCCGUGGGCCGCGGCCCAUUCACGGUCCUGGUGGUGCGGGGGCAAGUUCCGCAUGGGUGAGGACUAAAGUUUAGUCCCACCUCGCCCACUGAACGACGUCACGCCUCAUGUCUACUAUGCAACUUUAUUCUUGUAGACUCGUGUUGGGCCUCCAAGCGCAGAGUUUUGUAGGACAGUAGCAAUUUUCCUUCAAGUGGAUGACCUAAGUUUUAUCAAUCCGUGGGACACGUAGGAUGAAGAUGGUCCCUCUCAAACAACCCUGCAACCAAAUACAAGAAAUCUCUUAUGUCCCCAACACACCCAAUACAAUGGCAAAUUGUAUACGUACACUAGUUUGGUGAAGAGAUGGUGAUAAAAGUGUAAUAUUGAUGGUAGAAAUAUAUUUUUAUAAUCUGAAUAAAUAAAAACAUCAAGGUAGCAAAUAGUAAAUGGGCACAAAAACGGUAUUGCAAUGCUUAUAAACAAGGCCUAGGGUCCGUACUUUCGCUAGUGCAAUCUCUUAACAAUGCUAAUAUAAUCGGAUCAUAUAACCAUCCCUCAAAGUGCGAUGAAGAAUCACUCCAAAGUUCCUAUCUAGCGGAGAACAUAAGAGUAAAUUGUUUGUAGGGUACGAAACCACCUCAAAGCUAUUCUUUCCGUUCAAUCUAUUCAAGAGUUCGUAAUAAAAUAACACAAAGCUAUUAUUUCCCUUCGAUCUAUCCUAGAGUUCGUACUAAAAUAACACCAAAGCAAAUUCAGAUUCAUAAUACUCAAUCCAACACAAAGAACUUCAAAGAGUGCCCCAAGAUUUCUACCGGAGAAACAAAGAUAAGAACGUGCAUCAACACCUAUGCAUAGAUUACCCCAAUGUCAUCUCGGGAAUCCGCGAGUUGAGUGCCAAAACAUAUAUCAAGUGAAUCAAUACGAUACCCAAUUGUCACCACGAGUAUUCAAUUGCAAGACAUAUAUCAAGUGUUCUCAAUUCCAUAAAAGUAUUCAAUCCGAUAACAACGAAAUCUCCACUCAAUUCAUCACAACAAGAUAGAGAGGGGAAAACAUCAUAUGAUUCGACUAUAUUAACAAAGCUCAUGAUACAUCAAGAUCGGGACAUCUCAAGAACACGAGAGAGAGAUUAAACACAUAUCUACUGGUACAAACCCUCAGCCCCGAGGGUGGACUACUCCCUCCUCACGUGGUGGCCGCCGGGAUGAUGAAGAUGGCUACCGGAGAUGAUUCCCCCUCCGGCAGGGUGCCGGAACAGGGUCUAGAUUGGUUUUUGGUGGCUACAGAGCCUUGCGGCAGCGGAACUUCUGAUCUAGGUUAUUUCUGAUGGUUUCUGUAUUUAUAGGAUUUUUGGGCGUCGGUUUCAUGAUAAGAUGGACCUCGAGGUGAGCAAAACCCACCGGGGCACGGACGGCCCACCAGGCGCGCCCUGGUGGGUUGUGCCCUCCUCGUGGCUCUUCUGGCCCUCCCACAAAGCUUCGGGGGUCUCUUUUGUUCCAAAAAAUAUCGUCAAAAAGUUUCGUCCAAUUCCGAGAACUUUUAUUUCUCCACAAAAAACAAUGCUGAAAACAGCGUCAGUCCGGGUUAGUUCCGAUAAAUGAUAUAAAGUUGCUAUAAAAUGAUUGUAAAACAUCCAAGAAUGAUGAUAUAUUGGCAUGAAUACUUCAUAAAUUAUAGAUACGUUGGAGAUGUAUCAGCAUCCCCAAGCUUAAUUCCUACUCGUCCUCGAGUAGGUAAAUGAUAAAAGAAAUAAUUUAUGACAUGUGAAUGCUAGCAAAGUGCAUAAGUUUGAUCAAUGAUAAUUUCAAUCACUUUUCCUAGCAUCAUGACAACAACUCUUUCUUAUAAAAUUUCUCAUGUUUAAAUAGCAACCAAUUCACAUGUUAAGGUUCAAACAAUGAAUUCUCUUGAAACUCAACAACCUAUGUUCUCAGUAACUAAGCAAUUGUAAUUCAACUUAUUCAACAGAGUUUAAGUAAGAGCUCCACAUACUCAACCAUCAUAUAGUCUUCUAUGAUUGCUAAGAGCAACUCCAAUGGGGCGACCCAAACGGACGGUGAUUUCCUCCGCUUUUUGUCCGUUUGGGUCGGCCGCCCGCCCGGCGUCCGCCCCGUUUUUGAUAUGGGUCGGCAGUGCACCCAACGCGCCGACCCAUAUGUGCCAGCGUGGCCGGCUGGCCGCCCAUUUUUACAUUGAUGAUUUGCAUUCAAACAUAUUUUCAAAUAAACCGAAUAAAAAUAGUAUAGUUUUACAAGCCGAAUACAAAUAAAAAUGUUUCACAUAGUUUUGCAAACGAAUAAAAGAAGAUACAUCUAUUGGUUGCCAAUAUGAGCCCACAUAUGCUCAACCAAAUCAUUUUGCAGUUGCACGUGAGUUUCCCAAUCACGCAUGUCUUGAUAAAAUUGGGUGAACUGUUCAAACGUAUGCCAGCAUUCGGAUGGCAGCAGUGCAUUUCUGAUAAGAGGAGAAACCGAUCUUGCCGACGGCAUCCUCUUUGCACUCAAAAUAGUCAUCAUAGCCGACCACCCCCUCUCUAAUACGGUUGAAAAGAUGCCUACUCAUAUGGAAACGGCGGCAGAAUUUUUGAUGUUUGAACUACGGGUUUGUUGUAUCAAAGUAGUCCUUCCAAAGAAGGAAAUGCCCGAUCUCUUGGUUGCGAUUCAACGCUGGAAGGUGGCCCGGAAUGGAGGCACGGAACAACGGCCGCUGGCUGUUGAGGUGGUGAUGGACCAACACGGCAGCCAAUAUCUCCUCCUCCUCGUCGGACGACGAAUCGUCGGAGUCGCAAAGGAAAUUGUGGAAAAUAACUCGUUGGCGAAGUCCAUUUCAUACCUUGGCAAACUGUCGAACAGCUUGCAGGCGUCGAAAAAGGAGACGGCCGGCGAGGGGAGCCGCGGCAUGCACGGACUAGCUAGCUGCCCUGCCGGCGUCCAACGAGUGGGCCGGCGUCCGACGAGCGUGUCGGUCAGAUCUGGCCGGGGCGGCGAGGCGGCUUCUUGGUCGCGGGCAGCUGUGCGGUGGGGGGAGCGGCGGUGGGAAGCAGUUUGCUCACCGGCGGCAAGACGGCGGUGGCGGGCAACGGAGGAGUGGGUGGCGUUACCGGGCAGAUUUGGAGGCGGCGGCAGCUGGCAGAGUCACCGGCAAAAAUGGGCGGCGGCGUCGGCGACGAAGGAGGCGGGCGAGGGUUGCUGUUGGCUGGGGUGGGGGAGGCCAAUGUGCCACCGACCAGCGGGCCCGGGGGGAGGAGAAGGCGAGUGUGCGCGCGUCCGUUGCGUGUCCGCGCCGACGCAAAUCCGGCUCAAAAAUGGGUCGGGAAUGGGUCGCCCGCGGACGAAAAGCAGACGCGCGUCCGUUUGGGUCGGCGUGUUGGGCUGACUUUUCUGUCUGCGCCGACCCCAACGGACGGCGGCGGACGAAAUGGGUCGCCCCAUUGGAGUUUCUCUAACACUCACCGCAUACACAUGAGCAAAACGUUUCAACCGGACACAUAGAAAUAUAGGGCCUUAUAAUUUCGCCUCCCAACGUAUUCACCUCAAGGGUGAUGUCAACAAUAAUAACUCAUGCUACCCAUAUUCAACUGGACAUAUGUGCCUAGAUCUUUCCUCACCACAUGAUGCUUGCUAAAGGAGAAAAAUAAAAAGGAAGAGAGAAAAAAACUUUGACCCUUGCAUAAAAGUAAAUACAUAAAGUAAAAGAUAGGCCCUCGCAGAGGGUAGCAGAGGUUGCCAUGCGAUUAUUUGUUUGUAUGCUCAACCCCUUACUGCAAAAGAAUGCCACGUUAUAUUGCCACUUGUGAUGGUAACCUUUAUUAUGCAGUCUGUCGCUUUUAUUAUUUACCAUCACAAGUUCGUACAACGCUCAAUUUUCUCUUACACUAAAUGAUCUCACACUUUUAGAAGCAAUUUUUAUUGCCUUAUUGCACCGAUGACAACUUACUUGAAGGAUCUUACUCAAUCCUUAGGUAGGUAUGGUGGACACUUGAAAAUAAGAUUUGGGUUUAAGGGUUUUUGGAUGCACAAGUAGUAUCUCUACUUGGUGCGGAAUUUUUGGCUAGCAAAGAUGGGGGGCAAGCACCACAUUUUGAAGGAUCUAUGACAAUAUAACUUCUGUGUGAAUACGAACAAACAUAAAUUAUUACGUUGUCUUCCUUGUCCAACGUCAACAAUUUUGGCAUAUAAUAUUUUGAUGGGGGCUCACAAUCACAAAAAAUUUCCAAGAUAGUGUAUUUGCAUGUGAAAGUUCUCUUCCUUCUACUAAUCAUUCAUGAAUUGCUUGUAUGACCAAUAUUGUGAUUGUCAAGCUUCAAAAGAUUUCACUUUCUAAACCCAAUGUGAAGCUACUAUGAUAUGAACAUAUAAUUUCAACUUCAUUACAUUUAAUUUAUUCAACAAUUUACUCAUAGGAUAUAAGUGAAGCACAAGAGUAAAUGACAAACUACUCCAAAAAGAUAUAAGUGAAAAUCAUGCGAGUAUUUAAGUAAAUAGAUAGCUAUGUGAGGACGCUCUCUUAUUUAAAAGUUUCAGAUCUAAGUAUUUUAUUAAAACAGCAAGCAAAAAAAUGACAUUCCAAGAAUAGCACACAGCAUGUGAAGAAGUAAAAAACUUAGGUUCAACCGAUAUUAACCGAUAAUUGUUGAAGAAGAAAGGUGGGAUGCCUACCGGGGCAUCCCAAGCUUAGAUGCUUGAGACUUAUUGAAAUGUUAUCUUGGGAUGUCUUGGGCAUCCCCAAGCUUGAGAUUUUGUGUCUCCUUAAUUCCUCUCAUAUCAAGGUUUCCCUAAAUCUUCAAAAACUUCAUCCACACAAAACUCAACAAGAACUCGUGAGAUAAGUUAGUAUAAACCAAUGCAAAAACCUUAUCAUUCUCUACUGUAGCAAAUCACUAAAAUUAUUAUUCAACAUUGCACACUAAAUGCCUCUGCAUAUUUAAUACUCCUAUCCUCAAAUAGAAUCAUUAAACAAGCAAACAUAUGCAAACAAUGCAAACAUAACAGCAAUCUGCCAAAAUAGUACAGUCUGUAAAGAAUGCAAGAGUAUCAAUACUUCCCAAACUCCAAAAAUUCUGAAAAUUAACCACACUGUAGAAAAUUUAUCAGAUCUUAUUAUGCAAAAGGUUUUCAUCAUUUUAUCACAUUCUGAUUUUCUAGGGAAUUUUUGCAACAGCGAUAAAAUUUUUGUUUUGAAACAGCAACAUGUAUACUUGCAAAAUAAGCAUGGUAAAGGCUAUCCUUGACAUUUUUAUUGAAAAUAAAGAUGAAAAAUAUUAUUCUAAAUAACAAGAAGAAAAUCCUAACAAGAUGAAAUGAUGCUCCAAGUAAAACACAUAUCAUGUGACGAAUAAAAAUGUAGCUCCAAGUGAGGUUACCGAUAAUGUUGGAGACGAAAGAGGGGAUGCCUUCCGGGGAAUCCCCAAGAUUAGUUGCUUGGAUCUUCCUUGGAUAUUAACUUGGGGUGCCUUGGGCAUCCCCAAGCAUAGCGUCUUGUCACUCCUUAUACUCCUCAUAUCGACAUUUCACCCAAAACUUGAAAACUUCAAUCACACAAAACUUAACGGAACUUCGUGAGAUAGGUUAGUAUGAUAAAGAGCAAACCAUUUCACUUUGGUACUGUCAAAGAUAAGAUUCAUAAUUGUUUACACACAAUGCCUACUAUAGAAUAUAAUUUCCACAAUUUAUAUUGAGCAAUAUAAUCCAUAGAAACUAGGAAACAAGCAAACUAUGCAUUCAAAACAGAAUAUGUCAAAAACAGAACAGUCUGUAGUAAUAUGUACUCCAACCAUACUUCUGCUACUCCAAAAAUUCUGAAAAAUUAGGACAACAUAGAGAAUUUGUAUAUCUAUCACCUGUAAAAAAUUCAGAUCAAAAGCACGUUCCAGUGAAGUUUCAAAUUUCCUGGACUGAGCACAAAAGUUUAUGUUUUUGCACAGAUUCAAGUCAACUAUCAUCCACACUAUCCCAAAGGCUUUACUUGGCACUUUAUUGGAACAAAAGCAAUUAAACAUGAUUACUAUAGUAGCAUAAUCAUGUGAACACACAAAAACAGUAGGUAAAAGUGUUGGAUUGUCUCCCAACAAGCGCUUUUCUUUAAUGCCUUUUAGCUAGGCAUGAUGAUUUCAAUGAUGCUCGCAUAAAAGAUAAGAAUUGAAACAUGAAGAGAGCAUCAUGAAACACAUGUCAAGGACAUUUAAGUUUAACCCACUUCCUAUGCAUAGGGAUCUUGUGAGCAAGCAACCCAUGAAAACACGAAUCAACUAGCAUAGGAAGGCAAAACAAGUACAACUUCAAAACAAUCAACACAUAGAGAAGAAACUUGAUAUUAUUGAGAUAUGUAAGAGCAUAAGUUCCUCUCUCAUAAUAAUUUUCAGACGCAUCAUGAAUGAAUUCAACAAUAUAACUAUCACAUACAACACUCUUUUCAUGAUGCACAAUCAUAGAAAAAUUAUUAUUCUAUAUGGCAUACAUGUCAUCAUAAUAAUCAUCAUAGAUAUCAACUUUAUUGUCAUAGUCAAUUGAAUAAUCUUCCAAAAUAGUGGAUGUAUCACUAAAUAAAGUCAUGACCUCUCCAAAUCCACUUUCAUCAAUAUUGUAAUAAGAUUCAACACCCUCCAAAAUAGUGGGAUCACUACUACCUAGAGUUGACACUCUUCCAAACCCACUUUCAUCAAUGUAAUCAUCAUAAAUAGAGGCAUGCUAUCGUCAUAAUAAAUUUUAUUAUCGAAAGUAGAAGGAAUCAAAGGAUCAUAUUCAUUAAGAAAAGCAUCCCCAAGCUUAGGACAAGCAUUAUUUCCAGCAAAUAAAUCUUCAAACAUAGCAUCCCCAAGCUUGUGGUUUUGCAUAUCAUCACAAUCAUUCUUAUCAAUAGCAUGAAUGGCACCAAUAGUAUAUCAAAUAUUAUUAUCAUAUUCUUCCAAGCAAGUGCCAAAAAGAUUUCCAAGAUUAUAAGAAGUAUCAUUAUCUUCCCAAUCAUAAUCAUCACAACAAGCAUUAGGCAUAACAAAAUCAUCAUCAAUAGUGCUCUCGGACAUUGUGCCAUAAGACAUAGAAGCAAUAUCAUCAUCAAGUUCAUCAUCUUCCACAAUAAUUUUGAUUCAUUUUCAUGGGGCACAACAAUAAUAGGAGCAACAUUAUUUGGGAGAGAUACCUUUUUACCUCUAUUCUUUCUUCUUUUAUUCUUCUUCACCACAUCAUGUGUGGGUUCAAUUAAUUUUUUUCGAGCUCCUUGCUGAAGAGAUUGAUUGGAUAGGAAGUUCCUCCUUGUUACCUGAUUCAUCAUAAUAAACACUAGGAGGGUAUUGGGAAAUAUUUUUCCUUUCAUUAGUACUCUCUUGAUAUUCUAUUUGUUUUCCUGUUAUGACACCCCCGAUUCAAUCGUACACUAAUCAUGCACGCAAACGUGUACGAUCAAGAUCAGGGACUCACGAGAAGAUGUCAGAACACAACUCUAAAAAUAAAAUAAGUCAUACAAGCAUCAUAUUACAAGCCAGGGGCCUCGAGGGCUCGAAUACAAGAGCUCGAUCAUAGACGAGUCAGCGAAAGCAACAAUAUCUGAGUACAGACACAAGUUAAACAAGUUUGCCUUAAGAAGGCUAGCACAAAUUGGGAUACAGAUCGAAAGAGGCGCAGGCCUCCUGCCUGGGAUCCUCCUAUCUACUCCUCGAAGUCGAACUUCACGUAGAAUCAUCCUCGGGAUGCUCUGGCUCCUGGACUCCAACAUCUGGUUGCGACAACCGAGAAGAAUGGAAAGGGGGAAAAGAGGGAGAAAAGCAACCGUGAGUACUCAUCCAAAGUACUCGCAAGCAAGGAUCUACACUACAUAUGCAUGGGUAUCUGUGUAAAGGGGCAAUAUCGUUGGACUGAACUGCAGAAUGCCAGAAUAAGAGGGGGAUAGCUAAUCCUGUCGAAGACUACGCUUCUGGCAGCCUCCAUCUUGCAGCAUGUAGAAGAGAGUAGAUGGUAAGUUCACCAAGUAUCAUCGCAUAGAAUAAUCCUACCCAGCGAUCCCCUCCUCAUCGCCCUGUGAGAGAGUGAUCACCGUGUUGAAUCUGGCACUUGAAAGGGUGUGUUUUAUUAAGUAUCCAGUUCUAGUUGUCAUAAGGUCAAGGUACAACUCUGGGUCGUCCUUUUACCGAGGGACACGGCUAUUUGAAUAGAUAAACUUCCCUGCAGGGGUGCACCACAUUACCCAACACGGUCGAUCCCCUUUGGCCGGACACACUUUCCUGAGUCAUGCCCGGCCUCGGAAGAUCAACACGUCGCAGCCCUACCUAGGCACAACAAAGAGGUCAGCACGCCGGUCUAAAUCCUAUGCGCGCAGGGGUCUGGGCCCAUCGCCCAUUGCACACCUGCACGUUGCGAACGCGGACGGUGAGCAGACCUAGCAACCUCCAUUACAAAGGAAGUUGGGUUACGCGGUCCAACCCGGCGCGUGCCGCUCAGUCGCUGACGUCAAGAAGGCUUCGGCUGAUACCACGACGUCGAGUGCCCAUAACUGUUCCCGCGUAGUUGGUUAGUGCGUAUAGGCUAGUGGCCAGACUCAUAUCAAAUACCAAGAUCUCGUUAAGCAUGUUAAUUGAUCUAACCGCGGACGCCGACCAGGGCCAGACCCACCUCUCACCUAGGUGGUCUCAACCUGCUCUGUCGCUCCACCACAAAGUAACAGUCGGGGGCCGUCGGGAACCCAGGCCCACCUCUACCGGGAUGGAGCCACCUGUCCUUUCAGCCCCCACAUCGGAAUCACAUGCGGGUACUCUAUGAGCCGACCCAACUUUGGUCACCACCUGUAACAUAUAAUAUGUAUGUAAGUAAUAUACCCGUGAUCACCUCCCGAAGUGAUCACGGCCCGAUAGUAUAGCAUAGCAGACGGACAAGAAUGUAGGGCCACUGAUGGAAUACUAGCAUCCUAUACUAAGCAUUUAGGAUUGCAGGUAAGGGUAACAAUUGUAGCAACAAUGACAAGCUAUGCGGCAGAAUAGGAUUAACCGAAAGCAGUAACAUGCUACACUACUCUAAUGCAAGCAGUAGAGAGAAGGAAUAGGCGAUAUCUGGUGAUCAAGGGGGGGGCUUGCCUGGAAGCUCAGCCGAGAAGGAGGGGUCGUCAACACCGUAGUCGAUCACAGGGGUAUCGGCAGUGGUCUCGGGGUCUACCAGAAAGAAGUAACGGAGCGGGAACACAAAUAAAUAAUAGAGCAAUCAAAGCAACACAAAGCAUAACAUGGCAAUACGCAGUGCUAGAGAUGACCUAAUGCAGUACUAGGUGCUACCGGCGAAGGGGGGAAACAUCCGGGAAAGUGUUCCCGGUGUUUGGCAUUUUCGGUCAGAUGAACCAGAGGUGGAUUGUUGCAUGUUUGCUAUGCUAGGGAUGUGUGGCGGAUGAAUGGGCUACGUAUCCGGAUUUGUCUAGCCAUUCUGAGCAACUUUCAUGUAGAAAUUUUUUCGAUUCGAGCUACGGUUUAAUUUCUAUGAUUUUCCGAAGUUUUAAUAGUUUUCUAGAAUUCCUGAAAUUCUACUAAGUUUUAGAAUCUGUUUAUUGACUAGCCAAUUUGUGAGGGCUAUAAUUGGUUAUUCAUAGCUCUAAUGGGGAGGAUUCCUAUAGAUGAUUUAUUCUACUCCAAGAGUACUACCAAUCCAUGCCAUCUGAUGGCAUGAACAGUGCACAUAGCUAGUCCAAAUACAGCCUCAAACUAGCUUAGUUAGUAAUCCAUUUCUUCAGUUUUCUCUGUUAACAGAAGAUGCACUUUUGUAAGUAUUGUAGCAAUUAAUCCAUGCACCCUAUGGACUUGUUCCAGUGAGAUGAAAUGGAGUUGGUCAAGUGUACAAACUAUUCCCAUCAUUUUUAUUUAUUUUUGAAGUGAUUUGAUGUCUGUUGUGUUGAUGCAAAAAGGGCUAGUCAGUGAGCAGCAGCAGUACAAAGCUAGCUACUGCUACAGUAACUGAAUGUUACUGUAGCAGCGAUGCACUAGUAGCAGCAGGCAGCAAGCAACGCAGCAGCACGAGUAGCUAGCGGCAGCGGCCGCAGGCAGAAGCAGCGCAACCGCGGGCGAGCGCGUCCGGCUAUGGCGAGGCGACGCGCGCAGGCAGGGGUGGCCGACGGCAGCCAUUGCAGGCGGCCGCACAAGCGCAAGCGAGGGCGGGACGGAGCAGCGGGCGUCAGUGAGGAGGCGGCCGCGCGGCGCUGAGGUAGGCGGCACGGGGAUGCGACGAGGCACGCAGGCUCACGCGGGGCUUGGCCCGGGGCGCGCGUGCGAGGGCAUGAUACGUCUCCAACGUAUCUAUAAUUUUUUAUUGUUUCAUGCUAUAUUAUAUUCUGUUAUGGACAUUAUUGGGCUUUAUUAUACACUUCUAUAUUAUUUUUGGGACUAACCUAUUAACCGGAGGCCCAGCCUAGAAUUGCUGUGUUUUGCCUAUUUCAGAGUUUCGCAGAAAAAGAAUAUCAAACGGAGUCCAAACAGAAUGAAACCUUCGGGAACGUGAUUUUCGGAACAAACGUGAUCCAGAGGACUUGGACCCUAUGUCAAGACAUCAACCAGGAGGGCACGAGGUAGGAGGGCGCGCCUACCCCCCAGGGCGCGCCCUCCACCCUCGUGGGCCCCCUGUUGCUCCACCGACGUACUCCUUCCUCCUAUAUAUACCUACGUACCCCCAAACUACCAGAUACGGAGCCAAAAACCUAAUUCCACCGCCGCAACCUUCUGUACCCGUGAGAUCCCAUCUUGGGGCCUGUUCCGGAGCUCCUUCGGAGGGCACAUCGAUCACGGAGGGCUUCUACAUCAACACCAUAGCCUCUCCGAUGAUGUGUGAGUAGUUUACCUCAGACCUUCGGGUCCAUAGUUAUUAGCUAGAUGGCUUCUUCUCUCUUUUUGGAUCUCAAUACAAUGUUCUCCCCCUCUCUCGUGGAGAUCUAUUCGAUGUAAUCUUCUUUUGCGGUGUGUUUGUUGAGACCGAUGAACUGUGGGUUUAUGAUCAAGUUUAUCUAUGAACAAUAUUUGAAUCUUCUCUGAAUUCUUUUAUGUAUGAUUGGUUAUCUUUGCAAGUCUCUUCGGAUUAUCAGUUUGGUUUGGCCUACUAGAUUGAUCUUUCUUGCAAUGGGAGAAGUGCUUAGCUUUGGGUUCAAUCUUGCGGUGUCCUUUCCCAGUGACAGUAGGGGCAGCAAGGCACAUAUUGUAUUGUUGCCAUGAGGAUAACAAGAUGGGGUUUAUAUCAUAUUGCAUGAGUUUAUCCCUCUACAUCAUGUCAUCUUGCUUAAAGCGUUACUCUGUUCUUAUGAACUUAAUACUCUAGAUGCAUGCUGGAUAGCGGUCGAUGUGUGGAGUAAUAGUAGUAGAUGCAAGCAGAAGUCGGUCUACUUGUCUCGGACGUGAUGCCUAUAUACAUGAUCAUACCUAGAUAUUCUCAUAACUAUGCUCAAUUCUGUCAAUUGCUCAACAGUAAUUUGUUCACCCACCGUAAUAUUUAUGCUCAUGAGAGAAGCCACUAGUGAAACCUAUGGCCCCCGGGUCUAUUUUCCAUCAUAUUAAUUUCCCGACAACAAGCUAUUUCUGACGCCGUUUUUAUUUUACUUUCUCUACUUUGCAUCUUUAUCAUAAAAAUACCAAAAAUAUUAUCUUCUCAUUUCUAUUAGAUCUCACUCUCGUAAGUGACCGUGUAGGGAUUGACAACCCCUUAUCGCGUUGGUUGCGAGGAUUUAUUUGUUUGUGUAGGUGCGAGGGACUCGUGCGUGGCCUCCUACUGGAUUGAUACCUUGGUUCUCAAAAACUGAGGUAAAUACUGACGCUACUUUGCUGCAUCACCCUUUCCUCUUCAAGGGAAAACCAACACAGUGCUCAAGAGGUAGCAAGAAGGAUUUCUGGCGCCAUUGCCGGGGAGGCUUACGCAAGGUCAAGUCAAGAUUUGGACUCCCGACAACGAGCCAUUUCUGGCGCCGUUGCCGGGGAGUCUACGCAAAAGACAACAUACCAAGUACCCAUCACAAACCCUUAUCUCCCGCAUUACAUUAUUUGCCAUUUGCCUCUCGUUUUCCUCUCCCCCACUUCACCCUUGCCAUUUUAUUUGCCCUCUCUUUUCCGUUCGUCCUUUUGUUUGCUCGUGUUGCCAUGUGCCUUCUAUAUGCUUGCAUCUUCGCUUGCUGAAAAUCUAUUGAUAUGGAUCCACUUAAAGUGUUCUACUUGGAUCAUCUUCGAUCCUUAUGCGCUCGUGCUGAAACCCCAACUAGCCUGGUUGAUGGGAAAUCUUUAGAUGAGCAUGCUCAUUUUGUGCGUCAUCGUUUGUCUGAAAAAGGGAAGCUCUUAUGGUAUCAUAUAAAUAGUUUGCUAUGCUAUGCUUGGAAUCUUUGUGAAAUUUGUGAUUUUACUUGUUGCUCUAAGAACCCUAAAAAACACCUUCCCUACCUAUGUGAAUUCAAUGAUAAUAAAAUCUUAUCUUCUUAUGCAAAGGGUGUUUAUAGCUACUAUGAUAUCGAACAAAUUGAAGAAUUUGUCUUUUUAAGGGUGCUCAUGAAGUUGCUUCUUUGAUUGAAAAGUAUGAUUUUACUCUCAACAAAUCUGAAAAUUCUGUCAUACUUAAAUAUUGCAAUGAAAACUUUGCUCAUAAUGUCUAUGUCCAAGAAUUUAUUGAAAGAAUGACCGUUGCUUUGGAAGAAAAUAAUGAUAUGCAUGAAUCUAUAGAUAAUGAUGAUUCCGAUGAUUUGGUUGAAAUAUCCCUUGAUGAACAUGAUGCUUGCUAUUCUUGUGGCCAUGAUGCCAAUAUUUAUGAAGACGAAUUUGCUAUAGUUCCUUAUGUUAAAAAUGAGAUCGUUGAUAUUGCACCCAUGCUUGAUAGUUCCUUCGAUGAAAAGCAUGAUUGCAAUGCUUUUACUAUAAAUUCUCUUGAUGUCAAUUGUGCUAAUAACAUGCAAAACCCUAAGCUUGGGGAUGCUAGUUUUCCUAUGUCAACUAUUUGUUGCAAUGAUCAUGAUUGGGGUGAUUUUUCUUAUGAUCUUGAAAAUUUAUUUAAUCCCCAUGAUGAAUAUGAGAUUGAUAAUAUUGUUUGCAAUAAUAUUGAAAGUGGGUUUGGGAGAGUGUCAACUUUAGAUCCCACAUAUUUGGGGAAUAUUCAAUCUUAUGAAAUUUUUGAUAAAAGUGGGUUUGGAGAGGUCAUGACUUUAGUUAAUGUUAAUCCCACUAUUUUGGAAGAGUGUCAACUUUGCAUGCAUGUGGAUCGUGUUGAAAAUAUUUUAUAUGAUAGCUAUAUUGUUGAAAUUGCUUAUGAUCCUACAUGUAAUUAUUAUGAGAGAGGAAAAUAUGGUUGUAGAAAUUUUCAUGUUACUAAAUUACCUCUCGUCAUGUUGAGAUUGCUAUCGUUUCUUUCUUCUUCCUUCCAUACGCUAGUUUUUGCUUGCCUUGACAAUUUGUUUGCUUAUAAAAUGCCUAUGCAUAGGAAGUAUGUUAGACUUAGAUGUGUUUGUCACAAGAUAUUUGAUGCUCUCUUUGUGCUUCAAUUCUUGUCUCUCAUGUGAGCAUCAUUAAAUUUAUCAAUGCCUAGCUAGGGGCGUUAAACGAUAGCGCUUGUUGGGAGGCAACCCAAUUUUAUUUUUAGUUUUUUUACUUUUUGCUUCUGUUUAGGAAUAAAUAUUUGAUCUAGCCUCUGGUUAGAUGUGUUUUUAUGUUUUAGUUAGUGUUUGUGUCAAGUUUAACCUAUAGGAUCUUCUUGGAUGAUAGUUAUUUGAUCUUGCUGAAAAUUCCAGAAACUUUCUGUUCACAAAAAUAAUUGUUAAAUUCAUCGGAACGUGAUAAAAUAUUGAUUCCAAUAGAUUCUGAUCAAUAAACAAAUUGUCUAGGUCUUCCUAUUCUGGCUGAAUUUUUGGAGUUCCAGAAGUUUGCGUUAGUUACAGAUUACUACAGACUGUUCUGUUUUUGACAGAUUCUGUUUUUCGUGUGUUGUUUGCUUAUUUUGAUGAAUCAAUGGCUAGUAAAAUAGUUUAUAAACCAUAGAGAAGUUGGAAUACAGUAGGUUUAACACCAAUAUAAAUAAAGAAUGAGUUCAUUACAGUACCUUGAAGUGGCCUUUUGUUUUCUUUCGCUAACGGAGCUCACGAGAUUUUCUGUUAAGUUUUGUGUUGUGAAGUUUUCAAGUUUUGGGUAAAAGAUCUGAUGGAUUAUGGAACAAGGACUGGCAAGAGCCUAAUCUUGGGGAUGCCCAUGGCACCCCAAGAUAAUCUAAGGACACCUAAAAGCCAAAGCUUGGGGAUGCCCCGGAAGGCAUCCCCUCUUUCGUCUACUUCCAUCGGUAACUUUACUUGGAGCUAUAUUUUUAUUCACCACAUGAUAUGUGUUUUGCUUGGAGCGUCUUGUAUGAUUUGAGUCUUUGCUUUUUAGUUUACCACAAUCAUCCUUGCUGUACACACCUUUUGAGAGAGACACACAUGAUUCGGAAAUUAUUAGAAUACUCUAUGUGCUUCACUUAUAUCUUUUGAGUUAUAUAGUUUUUGCUCUAGUGCUUCACUUAUAUCUUUUAGAGCACCGUGGUGGAUUUGUUUUAUAGAAACUAUUGUUCUCUCAUGCUUCACUUAGAUUAUUUUGAGAGUCCUACAAAACAGCAUGGUAGUUUGCUUUAACAAUAAUAGGCAUUCAAGAUUAGUAAAGAAAAAAGAAAAAUUCUUAUGAGUGUGUUGAAUACUAUGAGAAGUUUGAUGCUUGAUAAUUGUUUUGAGAUAUGAAGAUGGUGAUAUUAGAGUCAUGCUAGUUGAGUAGUUUUGAAUUUGAGAAAUACUUGUGUUAAAGUUUGUGAUUCCCAUAGCAUGCACGUAUGGUGAACCGUUAUGUGAUGAAGUCGGAGCAUGAUUUAUUUAUUGAUUGUCUUCCUUAUGAGUGGCGGUCGGGGACGAGCGAUGGUCUUUUCCUACCAAUUUAUCCCCCUAGGAGUAUGCGCGUAAUACUUUGCUUUGAUAACUUGUAGAUUUUUGUAAUAAUUAUAUGAUUGCUUUAUGACUAAUGUUGAGUCCAUGGAUUAUACGCACUUUUCUUCCUUCCACCAUUGCUAGCCUCUCUAAUACCGCGCACUUUUCGCCGGUAUCAUACACCCACCAUAUACCUUCCUCAAAACAGCCACCAUACCUACCUAUCAUGGCAUUUCCAUAGCCAUUCCGAGAUAUAUUGCCAUGCAACUUACCACCGUUCCGUUUACUAUGACACGCUCCAUCAUUGUCAUAUUGCUUCGCAUGAUCAUGUAGUUGACAUUAAUUUGUGGCAAAGCCACCAUUCAUAAUUCUUUCAUACAUGUCACUCUUGAUUCAUUGCAUAUCCCGGUACACCGCCGGAGGCCUUCACAUAGAGUCAUAUUUUGUUCUAAGUAUUGAGUUGUAAUUGUUGAGUUGUAAGUAAAUAAAAGUGUGAUGAUCAUCAUUUUUAGAGCAUUGUCCCAAGUGAGGAAAGGAUGAUGGAGACUAUGAUUCCCCCACAAGUCGGGAUGAGACUCCGGACAAAAAAAAGAGGCCAUAAAAAAGGGAAGAAAAGGCCCAAACAAAAAAAUGAGAGAAAAAGAGAGAAGGGACAAUGUUACUAUCCUUUUACCACACUUGUGCUUCAAAGUAGCACCAUGAUCUUCAUGAUAGAGAGUCUCUUAUGAUAUCACUUUCAUAUACUAGUGGGAAUUUUUCAUUAUAGAACUUGGCUUGUAUAUUCCAAUGAUGGGCUUCCUCAAAAUGCCCUAGGUCUUCGUGAGCAAGCGAGUUGGAUGCACACCCACUUAGUUUCUUUUGUUGAGCUUUCAUAUACUUAUAGCUCUAGUGCAUCCGUUGCAUGGCAAUCCCUACUCACUCACAUUGAUAUCUAUUGAUGGGCAUCUCCAUAGCCCGUUGAUACGCCUAGUUGAUGUGAGACUAUCUUCUCCUUUUUGUCUUCUCCACAACCACCAUUCUAUUCCACAUAUAGUGCUAUGUCCAUGGCUCACGCUCAUGUAUUGCGUGAAGAUUGAAAAAGUUUGAGAACAUCAAAAGUAUGAAACAAUUGCUUGGCUUGUCAUCGGGGUUGUGCAUGAUUUAAAUAUUUUGUGUGGUGAAGAUAGAGCAUAGCCAGACUAUAUGAUUUUGUAGGGAUAACAUUCUUUGGCCAUGUUAUUUUGAGAAGACAUAAUUGCUUAGUUAGUAUGCUUGAAGUAUUACUAUUUUUAUGUCAAUAUUAAACUUUUGUCUUGAAUCUUUCGGAUCUGAAUAUUCAUACCACAAUUAAGAAGAAUUACAUUGAAAAUUAUGCCAAGUAGCAUUCCACAUCAAAAAUUCUGUUUUUAUCAUUUACCUACUCGAGGACGAGCAGGAAUUAAGCUUGGGGAUGCUUGAUACGUCUCCAACGUAUCUAUAAUUUUUUAUUGUUCCAUGCUAUAUUAUAUUCUGUUUUGGAGAUUAUUGGGCUUUAUUAUACACUUUUAUAUUAUUUUUGGGACUAAUCUAUUAACCGGAGGCCCAGCCCAGAAUUGCUGUUUUUUGCCUAUUUCAGAGUUUCGCAGAAAAAGAAUAUCAAACGGAGUCCAAACGGAAUGAAACCUUCGGGAACGUGAUUUUCAGAACGAACAUGAUCCAGAGGACUUGGACCCUACAUCAAGACAUCAACCAGGAGGGCACGAGGUAGGGGGGCACGCCCUCCACCCUCGUGGGCCCCCUGUUGCUCGACCGACGUACUCCUUCCUCCUAUAUAUACCACGUACCCCCAAACUACCAGAUACGGAGCCAAAAACCUAAUCCCACCGCCGCAACCUUCUGUACCCGUGAGAUCCCAUCUUGGGGCAUGUUCCGGAGCUCCGCCGGAGGGGGCAUCGAUCACGGAGGGCUUCGACAUCAACACCAUAGCCUCUCCGAUGAUGUGUGAGUAGUUUACCUCAGACCUUCGGGUCCAUAGUUAUUACCUAGAUGGCUUCUUCUCUCUUUUUGGAUCUCAAUACAAUGUUCUCCCCCUCUCUCAUGGAGAUCUGUUUGAUGUAAUCUUCUUUUGCGGUGUGUUUGUUGAGACCGAUGAAUUGUGGGUUUAUGAUCAAGUUUAUCUAUGAACAAUAUCUGAAUCUUCUCUGAAUUCAUUUAUGUAUGAUUGGUUAUCUUUGCAAGUCUCUUCGAAUUAUCAGUUUGGUUUGGCCUACUAGAUUGAUCUUUCUUGCAAUGGGAGAAGUUCUUAGCUUUGGGUUCAAUCUUGUGGUGUCCUUUCCAAGUGACAGUAGGGGCAGCAAGGCACGUAUUGUAUUGUUGCCAUCAAGGAUAACAAGAUGGGGUUUAUAUCAUAUUGCAUGAGUUUAUCCCUCUACAUCAUGUCAUCUUGCUUAAAGUGUUACUCUGUUCUUAUGAACUUAAUACUCUAGAUGCAUGCUGUAUAGCGGCCGAUGUGUGGAGUAAUAGUAGUAGAUGCAGGCAGGAGUCGGUCUACUUGUCUCGGGCGUGAUGCCUAUAUACAUGAUCAUACCUAGAUAUUCUCAUAACUAUGCUCAAUUCUAUCAAUUGCUCAACAGUAAUUUGUUCACCCACCGUAAUAUUUCUGCUCAUGAGAGAAGCCACUAGUGAAACCUAUGGCCCCCGGGUCUAUUUUCCAUCAUAUUAAUUUCCCAACAACAAGCUAUUUCUGACGCCGUUUUUACUUUACUUUCUCUACUUUGCAUCUUUAUCGUAAAAAUACCAAAAAUAUUAUCUUAUCAUUUCUAUCAGAUCUCACUCUCGUAAGUGACCGUUUAGGGAUUGACAACCCCUUAUCGCGUUGGUUGCGAGGAUUUAUUUGUUUGUGUAGGUGCGAGGACUCGUGCGUGGCUCCUACUGGAUUGAUACCUUGGUUCUCAAAAACUGAGGGAAAUACUUACGCUACUUUGAUGCAUCACCCUUUCCUCUUCAAGGGAAAACCAACAUCGUGCUCAAGAGGUAGCAGGGCACCACCCGGGGCGGCCAGAGGCGCGAGGCAGGGCGCGGGAGUUGAGCUUCGAUGCGACGACGGCGAGUAGUGAGGCUGCGGGAGCUGGACGAGCCCAUCUCUUUAGUGGGAGAGCGAGCGAGCCAGUGGUCUCGCUAGACCUGUACGAGAUCGAGGAGUACGAUACACGGCUUGGGCGCGAGCAGGGCUAACGGUGGCGACAUGAACGGCGGCGGCAAGCUCGUGGGCGCGGCGGCGGGGCUAGCCACGAUAGUAAAACAGAGGGGGAAGCAGAGGGGAGCGUGCGUUGGUGCUCACAGCGUUGACGAGAAGGCUCGAGGACGACCGAGGAGCUCGAGGUGGGCUCGGGGAGGACCGGAGCGGUGGUGUUCGCCGGGGAUCGUCGACGGCCGAGGCAGAGGGGAACAAGGCGAUGGUGGCACUGUAGGGGUUCCCGAUGCCGAUCCGGUGCUGUAGACGACGGCGACGAGCCCGGGGGUUCUUCUGGACGCCUUGGAAUGGCUAGCGGUGGCUGGUCGCCACGGGGAUGAGGAAGGUGCGAUGAUGGCCGGGACGGUUGUGCGCUCGGGAGAGAGUGGCGGCGAGAGGAGGAGAGGAGAGAGGGAGUAGGGCGCUAGGGUUCGUCAAGGAGGGAGGAGGGCGUCGGGGCCGCCUUAUAGACGACGGGUAAUCGCGGGAUGGCCGCCACGCACUCACAGUCGCGGCCAUGGUGGUCGGAUGCGUGCCACCACCUCUCGUGAACAGGGAGGAGCAGGAGGGUGGGGUAGGUGGGCCGGCCUAGUGGACAAGUGGGCUGAUGCCUAGGGGAGGCCUUUUCUCCUUUUUCUAUAUUUUUUGUUGUUGUUUUGUUUUUAGUUUUCUUUUACUGUUUUAUUUUAUUUUAGUGCACUAAAACACUUUACAAAAUGUUGGUUCACCACCAUAAUUACCUCUGGAAUAUUUGCCACAGUUUGUACAUUUUAGUUUUGACAUUUGAAAACUUUUGAUGUUUGCCGUUAAUUAAAUUUUGAAUUUGAAUAGGUUUGAACUAACGCGGGUCUAUCAACAGUAACCGAGUUGACAUGGCAUCAUUAACCGAUUUUUACUGUAGCUUAAUUAUCCGGGCGUUACACCUGUCUUUAGAUAGUUGGCAAUAUAAGGAUUCUCAAUGCAAUUUACCGCACAAAACAUAUAAAUUUUCUCUAGAUCAAAAUCAAGUCUCUUGAGAUUAAAUUUUGGAAUACCCUUAGUUAUACGUUUCAUUUCUUCAUACCCCAAGAGAAGACUAGGCUCUUUAUGAUGCUCAAGGGUAAUCAAGUUAUCACAAUUUUUGGACACGAUUUGAUCAUGAAACAAUUUUCAUUGGAGAUUUAAAUGACCAUGUUCAUUGCAAAGUUCACAAGGAUGGCGAAAAAAAUUAAAUCUUUCAGCACAAUCAUCUAGCCUCUCUUGCAACAUUCUCGUUUCCAAAUAUUUAUGCUUCUUACAAAAUCUAUCUUCCCUCAUUGGUGUGCAUUUGCACUCCCAAUUCACUCCGCAAAAAUUGACAUGUUUAUAAGAAACAUUUUUGUCAUGACUUGUGCAAUCAUCAUUAGCUUUUUGGAUAUUCAAAGAAUUCAAACAAACAACAUUGCAAUCAUGCUCAUCAUUCAAAUAUUUUGUGCCAAACAUUUUAUUGACUUCUUCUAACAAUUGAGCACAAUUUUCCGAUCCAUCAUUUUCAAGAAAGAUAUUAUAAAGAUGAUCAAUAAUAUGAUGCAACCUCAAUUCCAUUUUUAUGUAGUUUUCUUUUAUAAACCAAACUAGUGAUAAUACAAGAAACUUAAAGAUUCAAUUGCAAGAUCUAAAGAUAUACCUUCAAGCACUCACCUCCCCGGCAACGGCGCCAGAAAAGAGCUUGAUGUCUACUACGCAACUUUAUUCUUGUAGACUCGUGUUGGGCCUCCAAGCGCAUAGUUUUGUAGGACAGUAGCAAUUUUCCCUCAAGUGGGUGACCUAAGGUUUAUCAAUCCGUGGGAGGCAUCGGAUGAAGAUGGUCUCUCUCAAACAACCCUGCAACCAAAUACAAGAAAUCUCAUGUGUCCCCAACACACCCAAUACAAUGGCAAAUUGUAUAGGUGCACUAGUUCGGCGAAGAGAUGGUGAUAAUAGUGUAAUAUUGAUGGUAGAAAUAUAUUUUUAUAAUCUGAAUAAAUAAAAACAGCAAGGUAGCAAAUAGUAAACGGGCACAAAAACGAUAUUGCAAUGCUUAGAAACAAGGCCUAGGGUCCGUACUUUCGCUAGUGCAAUCUCUCAACAAUGCUAAUAUAAUCAGAUCAUAUAACCAUCCCUCAAAGUGCGAUGAAGAAUCACUCCAAAGUUCCUAUCUAGCAUAGAACAUAAGAAUAAAUUGUUUGUAGGGUACGAAACCACCUCAAAGCUAUUCUUUCCGUUCAAUCUAUUCAAGAGUUCGUACUAAAAUAACACAAAGCUAUUCUUUCCAUUUGAUCUAUCCUAGAGUUCGUACUAAAAUAACACCAAAGCAAAUUCAGAUUCAUAAUACUCAAUCCAACACAAAGAACUUCAAAGAGUGCCCCAAGAUUUCUACUGGAGAAACAAAGACAAGAACGUGCAUCAACCCCUAUGCAUAGAUUACCCCAAUGUCACCUCGGGAAUCCGCGAGUGGAGUGCCAAAACAUAUAUCAAGUGAAUCAAUACGAUACCCCAUUGUCACCACGAGUAUUCAAUUGCAAGACAUAUAUCAAGUGUUCUCAAAUCCAUAAAAGUAUUCAAUCCGAUAACAACGAAAUCUCAAAGGGAAAACUCAAUUCAUCACAACAAGAUAGAGAGGGGAAAGCACCAUAUGAUCCGACUAUAUUAACAAAGCCCGUGAUACAUCAAGAUCAUGACAUCUCAAGAAUACGAGAGAGAGAGAGAGAGAGAGAUUAAACACAUAGCUACUGGUACAAACCCUCAGCCCCGAGGGUGGACUACUCCCUCCUCAUCGUGGUGGCCGCCGGGAUGAUGAAGAUGGCCACCGGAGAUGAUUCCCCCCUCCGGCAGGGUGCCGGAACGGGGUCUAGAUUGGUUUUCGGUGGCUACAGAGCCUUGCGGCGGCGGAACUUCUGAUCUAGGGUUAUUUCUGAUGGUUUCUCUAUUUGUAGGAUUUUUGGGCGUCGGUUUCACGGUAAGAUGGACCUCGAGGUGAGCACAACCCACCGGGGCAUGGACGGCCCACCAGGCGCGCCCUGGUGGGUUUUGCCCUCCUCAUGGCUCUUCUGGCCCUCCCACAAAGCUUCGGGGGUCUCUUUUGUUCCAAAAAAUCGUCAAAAAGUUUCCUCCAAUUCCGAGAAUUUUUAUUUCUGCACAAAAAACAAUACCACGGUAGUUCUGCUGAAAACUGCGUCAGUCUGGGUUAGUUCAAGCGAAGGCCCCAUCCAAAAGGAGUUUUUUUCCAACAUCCUUCAAAUGAACCCAAUUUUUUUUCAUAGUGUUCUACCAUCAUGACUAGGAUGCAUGAGAAAUUUUGUGGCUUUUUGCCACUUUAUGUAUUUUCUACAAAUUUUCCGGUGAAAGUACCAUAUAGCACUCACCGGACGUGACGCAACAUGUUUUUGGUGUCCAAAUACGUUAAAUUUUUGGAUUGAGUGUGGGGUGGGCAUACCAACUCACUUGCAAAAUUUGAGGCCAUUCUGAAGAUGGCAAAAAAUUGACCUCGUUCUCCAGAGACCGUUCGGGUAGGAGUAAAGGCCGAGUCUGAAAGGACUUUUUUUCGACAUCCUUCAAAUGAACCCAAUUUUUUUUCGUAGUGUUCUACCAUCAUGACUAGGAUGCAUGACAAGUUUCGUGGCUUUUUGCCACUUCAUGAAUUUUCUACAAUUUUUUCGGUGAAAACACAACAUAGCACCACCCGGACGUGACGCAACAUGCUUUUGGUCUCCAAAUACAUUAAAUUUUUGGAUUGAGUGUGGGGGUGGGUAUACAAACGGCCAUUCUGAAGAUGGCAAAAAAUUGACCUCGUUCUCCGGAGACCGUUCGGGUAGGAGUAAAGGCCCCGUCUGAAAGGACUUUUUUUUGACAUCAUUCAAAUGAACACAAAUUUUUUUCAUAGUGUCCUACCAACAUGACUAGUAUGCAUGUCAAGUUUCGUGUCUUUUUCCCACUCUAUGAAUUUUCUCAAUUUUUCCGGUGAAAAUACCAUAUGGCACUCACCGGACGUGACGCAACAUGUUUUUGGUGUCCAAAUACGUUAAAUUUUUGGAUUGAGUGUGGGGGUGGGCAUACCAACUCACAUGCAAAAUUUGAGGCCAUUAUGAGGAUUGCAAAAAAUUAACCUCGUUCUCUGGAGACUGUUCGGGUAGGAGUAAAGGCCCCGUCCGAAAGGACUUUUUUUCGACAUCCUUCAAAUGAACCCAAAUUUUUUCAUAGUGUCCUACCAACAUGACUAGUACGCAUGACAAGUUUCGUGGCUUUUUGCCACUCUAUGAAUUUUCUACAAUUUUCCGGUGAAAAUACCAUAUAGCACUCACCGGACGUGACGCAACAUGCUUUUGGUGUCCAAAUACGUUAAAUUGUUGGAUUGAGUGUGGGGGACGAACUCACUUGCAAAACUUGAGGCCAUUUUGAAGAUGGCAAAAAAUUGACCUCGUUCUCCGGAGACCGUUCGGGUAGGAGUAAAGGCCCGUCCGAAAGGAAUUUUUUUUCAACAUCAUUCAAAUGAUCCCAAUUUAUUUUCAUAGUGUCCUACCAACAUGACUAGUAUGCAUGACAAGUUUCGUGGCUUUUUCCCACUCUAUGAAUUUUCUACAAUUUUUGCGGUGAAAAUACCACCAUAUAGUACUCCCCGGACGUGAUGCAACAUGCUUUUUGCGGUGAAAAUUUCACAUUGUUUACCGGAGACCAUUCGGGUAUGAGCAAACCGGCCGUUUUGUCUCAGUUUUAUUUUACCACUUGUCAUCCCAUAAUGUUCAAAUGCGCGUAUUUCCAUUUAAUUUUCGAAGCUUUAUUGCACGACUAAUAUCAAAUUAAACAUAAGAAUAUAUAUUUUUCCAAAUAAACCAUUCCGAGUUCAUUCAUAGUUGAAGAUAUUUUACAUAACUUAGAACAAAAUUUAAAUCUAAACCUAAAACUAAACUACUCCUUGUCGCUGGCGCCGGUGAGGUCGACAACCGGCGCCAUACCUCCGGCACCUCCUUCGCCGUCGUCGCCGCCGUCGCCGCUGGAGAUGUCGUCCCACCAGUCGUCGUCCUCUAGGGCCUGUUGCGCCUGCACCGCCGGUAAGGCAGCCUGCCGGUCCCCCUCCUCGCGUGCCACCGCCGCCUCGUCUGCCGACUGGGCCAGCGCCGCAAGUAGCCCCGGCCUGUCGUCGAGGUCGCCGUCUUACGCGAGCGCAGGCUGCUCCGGAGAGAUCGGGACCAGCGCCGAGGCAGGAGGCGCCUGCUGUGCCGGGGCACUUGGGCCGGGAGCGGUUGGGCCGUGGCGGUGGCGGCGAUGAGAAGAGCCGGCCUCGCCGGUAAUGUCUCCGACGGGGAGGCCGGCUGCCGCGUUCUUGAACGCGUCGAGGACGAUAUCGAAGUCCUUGCCGCGCCAGAAGUUGUGGCAGGCCUUCCUGUUGUACUGGCCGCUAGGGAAUGCGCGGAGCUGCUCCCUCGUCGGUGGCGGGCCGAGGGUGGGGACGCCGUCUGCCAAUUCGCCAUGGCCCCGGCACCUUGGAAGCCGGCGGCACCAUCAGGCGGAACCGGGCGAGGUCCUUGGUGUCGCCGAUGGUGAGGCUCAACGGCCAGACGCUGCCUGGCCACGCGCCUUCGUCGGAGUCGCUCGAAGACAUCGCCGGGGUGCGGCUUGUCGAUGGUGUGAGAAGAGAGGUGCUGCCGUGGAGUGGAGAAGAGAGAGCCUGCCGUGGAGAAGAGAUGGGCGGGUCGGCCCUUUUCUAGCCGGCGGGUGGAGGGAGAGGGGCGGGCGAGCCAUCGGUGGCGCACGCCACGAGGGGUAGGCGGGCGGCCCGACGCGGGCGGCAGGAGAGGCAGCGGUGGCGUGCGCGGCAGCGGUGGCGUGUGAAGGCGAGCGGGCGGCAGGCGCGGCAGNNNNNNNNNNNNNNNNNNNNNNNNNNNNNNNNNNNNNNNNNNNNNNNNNNNNNNNNNNNNNNNNNNNNNNNNNNNNNNNNNNNNNNNNNNNNNNNNNNNNNNNNNNNNNNNNNNNNNNNNNNNNNNNNNNNNNNNNNNNNNNNNNNNNNNNNNNNNNNNNNNNNNNNNNNNNNNNNNNNNNNNNNNNNNNNNNNNNNNNNNNNNNNNNNNNNNNNNNNNNNNNNNNNNNNNNNNNNNNNNNNNNNNNNNNNNNNNNNNNNNNNNNNNNNNNNNNNNNNNNNNNNNNNNNNNNNNNNNNNNNNNNNNNNNNNNNGCGGGCGGGCCAGUCGCGGCAGCGGCGGCAACCGAGCGGUCGCGUCAUCGGCCAGCCCGAGGCAGAAUGCGGGCGGCAGGCAGCGGUCGCCGCACCAGCGGCAGUGGAGGGCGCGGCCUUCGAGGGCAGAAGGCGGGCGCUCCGAGGGGAGGCAGUGGCCGGCGGGCUGCAGGAGACUGGGCGCGAGCAGUCGGCGCAUGCAAGCACGCCGCAAUUACUGGGGCAGUUACCGCACGAGGAUACGGCCGUCCGCGCCACGUCCACACGCACGCCGCCACCGGUCAAUGCUGACUUUUGUAAAAAAAGGACGCUCUGCAUCUGACACAGUGGGUCCAUGAAUGCUAAGCGGCUCGGCUCGGCUCGCAUCCACACGGCUGCGAAGCGGCUCGGCUCGCCCCGCAGCCCCGUAUACAGUGGCGCGCAGGGGUAUCGUCGUGGACGCGCGGGGGUAGAUUUUUUACAUAAGACGAUCUUGCCCCUGACAGCGAAGGGGUAUGGGCAAAUCUCAGCCCUUGAUGUGUUUAAGGGGGGUGUACCGAAGCAGAAGUGCAUGACAAUAUGUUCCAUUCUCCUCCCCAUUGUUCGCACACGAACACGUCACCGUGUACCCUCGACGCCGGGGGUGAUGCACCGCAGCUCACGUUGAAGGUGACCCGCCGGAAGCGGUACGCAAGACAAUCCGGCGGGCGCUUUUGUACACCCGAAACCCCACACGCCUGGGAGGGACCCCGUCAGGGCGCGCGGCGGCUAUGGGCUGCCCUAGGUCGACCUAAUGGCCCCUAGGGCCUCGAGGUUCGCCGCCCUGCAACAAGAAGAACGAACGAAGAACGAGGAGAAGAAGAACUAGGGUUAAGGAUAAAAGAUAAAAAGUGGUAUAUGAUUGUUUGAUUGUGUGUUGUUCAAUCGGUCGUCACCUCUUACAUAUAUAUGAGGCGGCUGGACUUUCCGUACAAGAAAAGGACUCAAAUCCCUUCCAAAACAUCAAAAGUUAACCUAACUCGGACUACGAGGGCCGGAACUUCCGGGCUAAAAUUAUAUCAAGUAGCCCUUUUGCACCGCUCCUGCAGGAAGGCAAAACAAGCAUAACUUAAAGAUUUUCAACACAUAGAGAGGAAACUUGAUAUUAUUGCAACUCCUACAAGCAUAUAUUCCUCCCUCAUAAUAAUUUUCAGUAGCAUCAUGAAUGAAUUCAACAAUAUAACUAUCACAUAAAGCAUUCUUUUCAUGAUCUACAAGCAUAGAAAUUUUAUUACUCUCCACAUAAGCAAAAUUCUUCUCAUCAAUAGUAGUGGGAGCAAACUCAACGAAAUAACUAUCAUGUGAAGCAUAAUCCAACUGAAAAUUAAAAUCAUGACACAAGUUUUAUGGUUAUGUUUAUUCUUUAUAGCAUACAUGUCAUCACAAUAAUCAUCAUAAAUAGGAGGCAUGCUUUCAUCAUAAUAAAUUUGCUCAUCAAAACUUGGGGGACAAAAAAUAUCAUCUUCAUCAAACAUAGCAUCCCCAAGCUUGUGUUGCAUAUCAUUAGCAUCAUGGGUAUUCAAAGAAUUCAUACUAACAACAUUGCAAUCAUGCUAAUCAUUCAAAUAUUUAGUGCCAAACAUUUUAAUGCAUUUUUCCUCUAGCAAUUGAGCACACUUAUCGGAAUCCUUAUUUUCACGGAAGACAUUAAAAAGAUGAAGCAUAUGAGGCAACCACAAUUCCAUUUUUUGGUAGUUUCUUUUAUAGACUAAACUAGUGAUAAAACAAGAAACAAAAAGAUUCGAUUGCAAGAUCUAAAGAUAUACCUUCAAGCACUCACCUCCCCGGCAACGGCGCCAGAAAAGAGCUUGAUGUCUACUACGCAACCUUAUUCUUGUAGACGUUGUUGGGCCUCCAAGUGCAGAGGUUUGUAGGACAGUAGCAAAUUUCCCUCAAGUGGAUGACCUAAGGUUUAUCAAUCCGUGGAAGGCGUAGGAUGAAGAUGGUCUCUCUCAAGCAACCCUGCAACCAAAUAACAAAGCGUCUCUUGUGUCCCCAACACACCCAAUACAAUGGUAAAUUGUAUAGGUGCACUAGUUCGGCAAAGAGAUGGUGAUACAAGUGCAAUAUGGAUGAUAGAUAUGAGUAUUUGUAAUCUGAAAACAGCAAGGUAGCAAGCGAUAAAAGUGAGCGUAAACGGUAUUGCAAUGCGUUGAAACAAGGCCUAGGGUUCAUACUUUCACUAGUGCAAGUUCUCUCAACCAUAAUAACAUAAUUGGAUCAUAUAACUAUCCCUCAUCAUGCAACAGAGAGUCACUCCAAAGUCAAUAAUAGCGGAGAACAAACGAAGAGAUUAUGGUAGGGUACGAAAUCACCUCAAAGUUAUCCUUUUUGAUCGAUCUAUUCAAGAGUCCGUAGUAAAAUAACACGAAGCUAUUCUUUCCGUUUGAUCUAUCCUAGAGUUCGUACUAGAAUAACACCUUAAGACACAAAUCAACCAAAACCCUAAUGUCACCUAGAUACUCCAAUGUCACCUCAAGUAUCCGUGGGUAUGAUUAUACGAUAUGCAUCACACAAUCUCAGAUUCAUCUAUUCAACCAACACAAAGAACUUCAAAGAGUGCCCCAAAGUUUCUACCGGAGAGUCAAGACGAAAACGUGUGCCAACCCCUAUGCAUAAGUUCACGAGGUCACGGAACCCGCAAGUUGAUCACGAAAACAUACAUCAAUUGAAUCAUGUGAUAUCCCAUUGUCACCACAGAUAAGCACAUCCAAGACAUACAUCAAGUGUUCUCAAAUCCUUAAAGACUCAAUCCGAUAAGAUAACUUCAAAGGGAAAACUCAAUCCAUUACAAGAGAGUAGAGGGGGAGAAACAUCAUAAGAUCCAACUAUAAUAGCAAAGCUCGCGAUAAAUCAAGAUCGUACCACCUCAAGAACACGAGAGAGAGAGAGAGAGAGAGAGAGAGAUCAAACACAUAGCUACUGGUACAUACCCUCAGCCCCGAGAGUGAACUACUCCCUCCUCGUCAUGGAGAGCGCCGGGAUGAUGAAGAUGGCCACCGGUGAGGGAUCCCCCCUCCGGCAGGGUGCCGGAACAGGGUCCCGAUUGGUUUUUGGUGGCUACAGAGGCUUGCGGCGGCCGAACUCCCGAUCUAUUGUGCACCCCGAUGUUUUUAGGGUAUAUGGACAUAUAUAGGCGAAAGAAGUCAGUCAGGGGAGCCACGAGGGUGGGGGCGCGCCUAGGGGGUAGGGCGCGCCUCCCUGCCUCGUGGCUUCCUCGAAGCUUCCCUGACGUCUACUCCAAGUCUCCUGGAUUGCUUCCAUUCCAAAAGUAACUCUCCCGAAGGUUUCAUUCCAUUUGGACUCCGUUUGAUACUCAUUUUCUUCGAAACACUGAAAUAGGCAAGAAAACAGCAAUUUGGGCUGGGCCUCCGGUUAAUAGGUUAGUCCCAAAAAUAAUAUAAAAGUGUUUAGUAAAGCCCAUAAACAUCCAAAAUAGAUAAUAUAAUAGCAUGAAUACUUCAUAAAUUAUAGAUACGUUGGAGACGUAUCAACAUCCCCAAGCUUAAUUCCUGCUCGUCCUCGAGAAGGUAAAUGAUAAAAAGAAAUAAUUUAUGAAGUGAGAAUGCUAGAUGGUGCACAAGUUUGAUCAAUGAUAAUUUUAAUCACCUUUUCUAGCAUCAUUAUAUGUCAUAACAGUAGCUCAACUCAUAAAACUUUUCUUGAUCAAGUAACAAGCUAUUCACAUGUUAGAGCAUAGACCAUAAACUUUCUUGAAAACUAACAAACUAUGUUCUCAGUCAUCAAACAAUUGCAAUUCAUCUUAUUUUCAGGAAGGGUCUAUGUAAGAGCUUUGAUUUAGCAAAUCCCACAUACUCAACUAUCAUAUAGUCUUCCAUGAUUGCUACCACUCAAAGCGUAUUUUUAGAACAAAUAGCAUUCAUCGAACACAUAGAAAGAUAGGGGCUUAAUGUUUCGCCUCCCAACCUUUUACCUCAAGGGUAAUGUCAACAAUAAUAAUUCAUGAUCGAAUAUAUUUGAAUGGCCAUAUAUGCUUAGAUCUUUCCAUCACAUGAUGCUUGCCAACUAAAGAGUAGGUUGGAAUGAAUACUACUGACUCUUGCAUAAAAGUAAAAGAUAGGCCCUUCGCAGAGGGAAGCAGGGAUUUGCAGAGGUGCCAAAGCUCGAAGCUAAAACAGAGAUGAAAAUAAUUUUGAGAGGUAUGCUUUCAUUGUCAACAUAACGACCAAGAGUUCCCAAUAUCUUCCAUACUAGAUACAUUAUAGGCAGUUCCCAAACAGAAAGGUAAAGAUUUUACUCCCCCUCCACCAACAAUCACACUCCACGGCUUGUCCAAAACAACGGGUGACGUCCAACUAUCAACAAUCCUGGGGGAGUUUGUUUAAAUUAUUUGCGAAUUUGUUUUUGAUCAUUUGAUCAUAGGACUGGGCAUCCCAGUUACCAGCCAUUUUCUCGUGAAUGAUGAGCGGAGUCCACUCAUCGUGAGAAUAACCCACCUAGCAUGGAAGAUACUGACAGCCCCUAGUCACUACAUGAGCGAUUUGGGCAUACAAAACAAAUUAUUAUUUGAAGGUUUAGAGUUUGGCACAUGCAAAUUUACUUGGAACGGCAGGUAAAUACCGCAUAUAGGUAGAUAUGGUGGACACUCAUGGAAUAAACUUGGUUCAAGGAAUUUGGAUGCACAAGCAGUAUUCCUGCUUAGUACAGAUAUUUUGGCUAGCAAAGGAUUCUAAAUAGCAAGCACCACAUGUUAGAGGAUCCAUAACAAUAUAACUUCUAUACAAAUAUACCCAAGCAUAACUCAUUAUGUUGUCUUCCUUGUCCAACUUCAAAUAAUUUGCUCAGGUUUGAAAAUAAUUAAUGGGGCUCACAAUCAUAGAAGAUGUCUAAGAUAGUAUAUUUAUAUGUGAAAUCUCUCUUCCUUCAAUAUUCUUUCAUGAAUUGUUCAAGUGACCAAUACAAUGUUUGCUAACCUUCAAUAAAUUUACCACCUCUACCUCUUAUAUGUGAAGGCAUUACUCCCCAUGGGAAAGGCAUAUGAAACAUAUAUAAUUUCAGUUUUAUGACAUUCAAAUCAUUCAACCAUUUAAUCAUAGGAUAUAAGUGAAGCACACGAGUAAAUGACAAACUACUCCAAAAAGAUAUAAGUGAAGAUCAAUGAAUAGUUAAAUAAUUAUGUAGCUUUGUGAAGACUCUCUCUCAUUUAAGAAUUUCAGAUCUUGGGAUAUUAUUCAAACAGCAAGCAAAACAAAAUAAAACGACAUUUUAAGGAUAGCACUCAUCAUGUGAAGAAGCAAAAACUUAGGCUCAACCGAUACUAACCGAUAAUUGUUGAAGAAGAAAGGUGGGAUGCCUACCGGGGCAUCCCCAAGCUUAGAUGCUUGAGACUUCUUGAAAUAUUAUCUUGGGGUGCCUUGGGCAUCCCCAAGCUUGAGCUUUUGUGUCUCCUUAAUUCCUCUCAUAUCACGGUUUCCUAAAUCUCAAAAGCUUCAUCCACACCAAACUCAACAAGAACUCGUGAGAUAAGUUAGUAUAAACCAAUGCAAAAACCUUAUCAUUUUCUACUGUAACAAAUCACUAAAAUUAUUAUUCAAAAUUUCAUAAUAAAUGCCUCUGCAUAUUUAAUACUCCUAUCCUCAAAUAGAAUCAUUAAACAAGCAAACAUAUGCAAACAAUGCAAACAUAACAGCAAUCUGCCAAAACAGUACAGUCUGUAAAGAAUGCAAGAUUCAUCAUACUUCCCUGACUCCAAAUAUUAUGAAAUUCUACCACACUGUAGAAAAUUUAUCAGAGCUCAAUAUGCAAAAAGUUUCAACAUUUUAUCAUAUUCUGACUUUUCUAGGGAAUUUUUGCAACAGCGGUAAACUUUCUAUUUUGAAACAGCAACAUGUAUACUUGCAAAAUAAGCAUGGUAAAGGCUAUCCUUGACAUUUUUAUUGAAAAUAGAGAUGCAAAACAUUAUUAUAAAUAACAUCAAGCAAAUACUAACAAAAUACAAUGACUCUCCAAGCAAAACACAUAUCAUGUGGUGAAUAAAAAUAUAGCUCCAAGUAAAGUUACCGAUGAACGAAAACGAAAGAGGGGAUGCCAUACGGGGCAUCCCCAAGCUUAGGCUCUUGGUUCUCCUUGAAUAUUAACUUGGGGUGCCUUGGGCAUCCCCAAUCUUAGGCUCUUGACACUCCUUAUUCCAUAGUCCAUCGAAUCUUUACCCAAAACUUGAGAACUUCACAACACAAAACUUAACAGAAAACUCGUAAGCUCCGUUAGUAUAAGAAAAUAAAUCACCACUUAGGUACUGUUGUAAACUCAUUCUAAAUUCAUAUUGGUGUAAUAUCUACUGUAUUCCAACUUCUAUAUGGUUCAUACCCUCUGUCGUGGAAUUGUCACGGCAGAUGUCCUUGGGCUAGGACUUAAUCGUGGAGCCAUCGCAACUAGGAAGCUUGAAGGGGUUAUGCGGGACAAGGAACACGAGGGUUUAUACUGGUUCGGCCCCUUACGGUGAAGGUAAAAGCCUACGUCCAGUUCGAGGUGUUAUUGAUUAGGGUUACGAUCGCCAGGGAACUAAACACUUAUCCCGGCUCUCGGAGAGAUUGCUGUCGUCCUUGAACCGCUGCCGGGUCCUCCCUUUAUAUAGGGAGGCUGACGCCCAGCAGCCCUUAGAGUCCCGGCCGGCUCAUAAGAGCGUCCGGCUCGGGCUCUAAUCAAUACUUGCCUUACACUACAAGUCUACUAUAACAAUGAUUAUAACUACGGGCUUUAAGCCAUAUCCGGGUCUCAGCCCAUCUCUGGCCCAUUAUCUUGAACCUUAGCUCCGGGCUUCUGGUAAUGACCCUUAGGGUAACCCGGCCAUCCUGGCGGGUGACUCCAAGGUCUAUAUCCUCAACAUUAGGCCCCAGAUUGACUUGAGCCGGCUCGGGUCAAUCUUCAGCUCUGCAGAAAAAAAUCCCCGGCUUCUAUUCAUGUAAAGGUCAUAACCCGGAGUGACGUCAUCCUCUGGACUCCGGGUAAUCCGCCGUGACGUCAUCCUCCAUUAAGUCCGUUUUUUACUCCGCCAGAUCCGCAACGGAUCUUUGCUUUUACUGUCCUUCCGAGAAUCGAGGCGCCGUGAGGGGGAGAUAACCACGCCGUGGCCUCCUUGAAUCCCGCGCCUACUUAUGACUCACCUUAUAAAUAGGCCGGCCCGGCACUCUCUCCUCACACUCUCCUUCUUCUUCCUUGCGUUGUCGUUCCUCUGCCCGAGCUUCUGCCGCCGCCGUCGCCGUCGCGCCCCUGAUCUUCAUCGACCCGGCUGCUGCAUCACCCUGACCCGGACCAGAUAACGCCGGCGACCUCCUCUCUUCCUCAACUCCGGUGAGUCUUCUCUGCCUUGCUAGAAUGGAUCUGCGGUAGGGUUCCUUCAGUUCUUCGUGUUCGUCACCAUUGCCCACAAACUCGGUAGUUCUUGUUGCCACCGUAGUUGGUUGAUCCUUAACCUCGCGUAGAGCCACUGCGGUAGAGGUUUGAGACCCAUUUCAUCUGUAAGAAACCCUCUUUUUACUGCAUAAGAACUGUGUUCAACCUCAAAAACUUCUCCUGCCUCUGUUUUUUAGGUCUAGAAAACUUUCUCUGCUCCGACUACUUUGAUCCAAAAAAGUUACUGUAAUAUGUGAAAUCUGUUUACCACACUUAGUAAAAACUGCAGUCCUUGAAUCUUGGCGGCUUAUAUUUCCGACUUAGAGAAAACACGCGCCGUAGAACUUUCCGGUUUAAAGAGAAUCAUGCUCUGUAGUAUCUUCCGACUUAACCGCAGUAAGCCGUAGACGACCAACUUAUCCUGAAAGCCCCGACGGCUUAGAUAACCCACCGUAUCAAGACAUACCAUUAAUCCCCUUCAUAAGCCGUCAUUGUAACUUGAAUGAUAUACUCCGGCUUAUAAUUAACCCGGACACUUUUCUCUUCCUCGUAGACCACCAACCGUCACCAUGCCUCCCAAGGCUCCCAUCACUUGCAACUGGAUGAAAUCCAGCGUCACCGAAGAGACCCUGGCCAACUUCGUUAAAUCCGGAUAUCUGCCUAAGAAGGAAGUGAUGUCCUACCGUGCCCCUGACCCGUCCGAAGAAAGGCCACAGCCGAGAGACGGGGAGGUAGUGAUCUUUGCCGACCAUAUGAGCCGGGGCUUCGCACCGCCCGGCUCAAAAUUCUUCCGGGACGUGCUCAACUCCUUUGAUCUUCGGCCUCAGGAUAUAGGACCCAAUUCCAUAUCCAACAUCUGCAACUUCCAAGUUUUUUGUGAAGUAUAUCUUGGAGAAGAGCCGAGUCUGCUGCUCUUCAGAGAGCUGUUCUAUUUGAACCGCCAAACCGAGUGCGCAAACGGUCCAAGUCUGGAGUUAGGCGGCAUCUCCAUCCAACGGCGCAGGGAUUGUCUGUUCCCUUAUGCAGAACCGCCAAGUCACCCCAAGGACUGGAACAUGACUUGGUUCUACUGCCAAGACACGUCCCCGGCUGAUGAGAGCCCGCUGCCCGGCUUUCGCCCAACGCGCCUGGAGCCAACUCAUCCAUUAUCCGACAAACUGACUGCCGCAGAACGCCAGCCUCUGCUUCCAACGAUCAACAAGAUCAAAGCCCUGCUAGGCAAUGGUCUGAACGGAAUUGACCUGGUCCGGGUCUGGAUCUCAUGGCGGGUGAUCCCAUUGAGCCGCCGCCCCGGCUUACUGUGUGAGUACACCGGGCGAAAGGAUGACCCGCAGAGGCACAGUCGCAAUGAUCUUCCAGAAGACGUUGCUGAAGAAGAGACCAAGGCUCUUUUAAACGAGAGCCUGGCAGACUGUGGAAGAAUCGGGCUAGCCCCGUUCUGCAAGACCAAUCCAGCCCCAGCGGUAAGCCGCUGACUUUAACCUUUCCAUUUUGUUUUACCUGUCAUCUUACUAAGAGCUCAUUACUGUAUUUCUCAGGCUGAUGAUAAAUUCUAGCGGGUCAAGUAUGAUCACGAGGCGGCCAAGAAGGCCAGGAAGGCGAAGAAAGCCGCCAAGAGAGCCGCCCCUCGCAAAAAGGGAAACAGACCCACUGCUUCGGAGCUGCUGCAAUUUAGCGAUAGCUCCGAAUCAGAGGUAACCCUUAAAUCUUUUAAAUUCUUGCAGUAUAUGUUGUCUGAUGCUGUCCGCCUUAUCAACACUUGCUUAUUGACAGGAUGACACCGGCGCCAGUAACCCGGUGGUCGAAGAGGUAACAUCACUUUCCUCCGGCUCGGAGCCUUUACCACAGCUGAAAGUCCGAAGGGUAACCCGGAAAGUAAGCUUUUCCCAUCGAUUAGCUCACCGAGACCCUCAAUUUCUUUUGAAGCAGCAGGUUCACGAGAGCCGGCGUCACACCCGGGCCCGCAAGGACACCGACCUCUCCACUGGGUUACCCGACGCAACGAGGAAACGCCGCACUGAGGUUUUUUCUCACCUGUACCCUUUUCAUCCGUUGGCGGGUGUCAUCCGUCAGCCACUCAACUCUUCUGACUCCAAUUACCAGGAGACCUCCCCCUCCUCGGGUGACUCCAUGCAGUCAAGUCUGCCAGCCUUCAAGACUGCCCCCGGGUAAUAACAAUCUCCUUACAUUAUCUGUCUGUACUUACCCUUUGUAUGCCUAACACUUCUGCCUUUUCAGUGCCCAGGCAAAGCUCACCAAAAGAGUAAAGAAGACCAGGUCAGCCGGAGUGCCCGACUUGCCUGAGCCGGAGACGACGGCUCAAGAACCGCCAGUCGCCUCCACCCCUGAAGCCACCAUUCCCAUGGAUACGGCGCCUGAAGCCCCACCAGCUAAUGACCCGGACGUGGUAAUUACCCGGACGGAGUUUGUUGAGCCGGGAAGGCCGACCGCGCUGGCCAAAUGCUCCGCAAGGGGGGAGUUGCUACAACCCCACCGGGUGAAUCUGGAUCUCUCCAGCUACACCGACUUAAGUAUUGGAGAACUCGUCUCAGGCUAUAUCAGCCAGGUUCACAAGAGCCGGGACGCCGAGAUCGCCAUGGUCAACCAGAUCCAACACAAAUCUGAGGUAACCUUCUGUUGUUCUCUUACUUUCCGCAUAGUGAUCCUUGCCAUUCUAGCCCCCAAGUCUAGGACUUAUACUUGAAUAUGUUGUAGACUUUAGAUUCCGGCUUACUGAACUGAGCCGGCCGUACAUAGAUAGAUACGUUCAAUAUGCAUUAGCCCCCAAGUGCCAAGUGUCUUUGCUUGGAAAGCGCUUGGGACUUUAUAGGAUGACUGUUAAUAACCCGGAAAUAUAUGCAGGCUGUUGGCAAGAAAUUAGAGUCAGACCUGGCGGAUCUCAAGAGCCGGCUGAAGGCACAAGAGAUGGAGACCCGGAAGGCAAAUGCCAAGUUUGUCUCCAGCAUCGCCGCUCAGGAAAAGUUGAAGACUGAAUUCGACGCUGAGCGGAAGGCCUGGGCUGAGGAGAAAACUGCACUGGUGACCCGGGCAGAACAGGCGGAGAAGGCCCUUACUGAGAAGACCGCUGAGCUCUCCGGUCUAAAGCGCCAAGUGUCCCAAAUGGUAGCUGCCAUCUUCGGUAAGUCGCCUCACCGGCUUUCAUUUACAUUGGAAUGUUUACAUCUCUUAACUCAUCCUUACCACCGGGUCAUCUGAUGUUGUUAAACAGGUUCCAGAAGCGCCAACUUGAACCAGAGCGUGGUCACCAAGUUAAAGGCCGUGUACACCCUGGUGGAACAGCUCUACACCGGGUCACAGCGGGCUUUAGCUGUGGUGGCCCUGUCGAAUGAAGUGCCGACUCAUCUGGCCGAAGUCCUGCGCCGGCUCGCAGUUCUGCCGCAGCGGAUCCAGGAGCUACGACGAGCAUCCGCGAGAUCCGGAGCAAUCGCCGCACUGAGCCGGGCCAAAGCCUUCUUGCCGGAGCUAGACCCGGCAGACAUCGCCCUGGGUUAUCCCAGCCUGAAAGAAGACGGCUCAGCGUUCGACCAGAAGGACUUCGCGGCUUGUGUGAAAGCUGUGCGCCCGGUGGCCACCAUCAUCGGGAACGACACCGAUUUAACCAAGUAUCAGCCGGGAUACAACGCGGAGAAUUAGAGGAUUCCAACCCCUCGCUAUGAAGCCAUCAAUCUGAUUCCUCCGGCUCGCCAGCACACCUUUGCCCCGGAGAUUAACCCGGACGGGUUAAUUGACGAAGAAGCUCAGUUCGAAGCUCUCAGCGGCAUCAACUGGAAGUCGUCGACCUUCGAAGCCUUGGGAUCAGCCGAAGCAGAAGAUGAGCCGGGGACUUCAACUCAGCAGGCGUCAUAAACCGGCUAGCGGCUCACCAAACAACGCCCAUCCUUGAAACUUUGAAAGAUUUUUGUAAUAGAGUAGGUGCAACAAUUUAUCUCUGUCGUGCCAUCGUGCACGUAAUGAAUGCUGAAAUCCUUUGAAGUCAUUCUUUUGAUGCUCCUCCGGGUCGGAAUUAUCCCUUUGUCCUUCUCAACCUUAAAGAGUGCCUUUAAAUAUCUGCAUAGAAAGGCAAAUUACAAGUCGCAAAGCGGCUUACCGCCCUGAGAAUCAGGUGUUUGAGAUGGAUAACCCGGGAUACGAACCAAAAAAGAUCGGUCCUUAACUAUACUCGAACAUAGCUGUGAUGACACACUUAACAGCCUGUAAGCAUACUUCCGGUUUAAAUAGCCCGGGUAGCACGGUUGGUACCUUAACUCGAAUUUAUUUGUCUUGAUGACAUCCAUGAUGCUCAACUAACAAGAUAAACCAAAAUUAAGCCGGCAAGUGAAACCCGGCAGUACAUACUUUGACAUGAUCAAAGCAAGUUUGUGGUAAAAUAUAAAAACUUAAGGGCUUCCGGUUCGAAUACGACCAGAAACACGGUCCAAAGGGGUUAAGCUAAGAUUCGGAUACGAUCAUAUAGCCCCCAGUGGGUUUGGCGAUGCCAAUCAAGAGGGUAUCGACAGCUAUGUUCUCUUUGGUUCGAAUACGACCCAUGUUUGAACAGGAAGCCCCCAAGUGAUUCUGAAAAUUUGUUUAACGACGCUGAUUCGAAUACGAUCCACGUCGGUUCUCAGAGGGGUUACACUAUGAUUCAAAUAUGACCAGAGGCAACUUCCCAAUGAGCUCGGCACUUUGCCAAUCAAAUGGGUAUCGACAGCUAUGUUCUCUUUGGUUCGAAUACGACCCAUGUGUGAACAGGAAGCCCCCAAGCGACUUUACUGCUUACAGCUAGAUUCGAAGAUGAUCACAAGCCGGAUCUUCUGUAAGUCAGCAUGUAACAACACACUUUUUUGGAAGAGAGCAAAGGACAGAGGUCCUGCUUUAUUGCUAUAUCAUAAUAUAUACAUGGCUGAGAUAAGUAUGUACAUCACAAGAGUCGGAAGCUCAAGUGUAGUAAGGCCGAAGCUGAGCUAUGUUCCACGGCCGACGGGUCUCCUCCUCAGAUUUACGUGAGUCCUUAUGCUCCCGGAUAUCAAUGAGGUAAUAUGACCCGUUGUGCAAGUUCUUACUGACCACAAAAGGCCCUUCCCAAGGUGGGGAUAACUUGUGUGCAUCUGUUUGAUCCUGGAUGAGCCGGAGCACCAGGUCGCCCUCCUGGAAGACCCGGGAUUUGACCCGGCGGCUAUGAUAACGGCGCAGGUCUUGUUGGUAAAUCGCUGAACGGGCGGCUGCCACAUCACGCUGUUCGUCCAGCAAGUCCAGAGCAUCUCGGCGCACCUGUUCAUUAUCCGUCUCAACAUAAGCCGCCACACGAGGUGAAUCAUGACGGAUGUCGCUGGGGAGAACUGCUUCUGCUCCAUAAACCAUGAAGAAAGGCGUGAAGCCUGUAGACCUGUUAGGAGUAGUGUUGAUGCUCCAUAAAACGGAGGGCAACUCCUCCACCCAACAACCUGGCGUCCGUUGCAAAGGGACCAAGAGCCGGGGUUUAAUGCCCUUCAGAAUCUCCUGGUUAGCUCUCUCAGCUUGACCAUUGGAUUGGGGGUGUGCCACUGAAGAGACAUCAAGCCGGAUAUGCUCUCUUUGACAAAACUCCUCCAUAGCGCCUUUGGACAGAUUAGUGCCGUUGUCUGUUACGAUGCUGUGUGGAAAGCCGAAGCGGAAGAUCACCUUUUUCAUAAAUUGAACCGCCGUGGCUGCAUCGCACUUGCUAACUGGCUCAGCUUCCACCCACUUCGUGAAUUUGUCCACUGCCACCAAGAGGUGGGUCUUCUUAUCCUUGGACCGUUUAAAAGGCCCGACCAUAUCAAGCCCCCAGACCGCAAAGGGCCAAGUGAUCGGGAUCAUCCUCAAUUCCUGAGCCGGCACAUGAGCCCGUCGAGAGAACCUUUGGCAGCCAUCACAUUUACUGACCAAGUCCUCUGCAUCAGCGUGAGCCGUCAGCCAAUAAAAACCAUGACGGAAAGCCUUGGCCACAAGAGAUUUUGAACCGGCAUGAUGGCCACAAUCCCCUUCAUGGAUCUCGCGCAAGAUCUCUUGACCUUCCUCAGGGGAGAUACAACGCUGGAAUGCCCCUGAAACACUGCGAUGAUGCAACUCGCCAUCGAUAACAAUCAUGGACUUAGCCCGCCGGGUUAUUUGCCUGGCCAGAAUUUCAUCCUCAGGCACCUCUCCCCGGGUUAUAUAAGCCAGAUAUGGCAUUGUCCAGUCUGGUGUGAUAUGAAGAGCCGCCACCAGUCGUGCCUCCGGGUCAGGGAUGGCCAAGUCCUCCUCUGUAGGCAACUUAACCGAAGGGUUAUAUAGGACAUCCAGGAAAGUGUUAGGCGGCACCGGCUUUCGCUGAGAGCCGAGCCGGCUUAAAGCAUCAGCCGCCUCAUUCUUCCUGCGGUCAAUGUGCUCCACUUGAUAUCCCUGAAAGUGCCCGGCAAUGGCAUCAACCUCGCGGCGAUAAGCCGCCAUUAGAGGAUCCUUAGAAUCCCAGGUGCCUGAUACUUGUUGAGCCACCAAGUCUGAGUCACCAAAACACCUCAGCCGGCUUAAGCUCAUCUCCUUAGCCACCCGAAGACCGUGGAGCAAAGCCUCGUACUCAGCCGCAUUAUUAGUGCAAGGAAACAUCAACCGUAGCACAUAAUGGAACUUGUCACCUUUAGGGGAAGCCAAGACCACACCAGCCCCCGAGCCCUCCAGCUGCCUGGACCCAUCAAAGUGAAUAGUCCAAUAAGUGUUAUCCGGCUUUUGCUCGGGUACUUGUGACUCUGUCCAAUCAUUGAUGAAAUCUAUCAAGGCCUGAGACUUAACAGCAGUGCGUGGCACAUAUUUGAGGUCAUGAGGUCCAAGUUCUAUAGCCCACUUAGCAAUUCUCCCUGUAGCCUCUCUGUUCUGGAUAAUAUCACCGAGAGGGGCGGAACUGACCAUAGUGAUGGGAUGACCUUGAAAGUAAUGCUUAAGCUUCCGGCUCGCCAUAAAUACCCCAUAUACGAGCUUCUGCCAAUGCGGAUACCGCUGCUUGGACUCAAUGAGCACCUCACUGACAUAAUAAACCGGCCGCUGAACCGGAUGUUCCUUACCUGCCUCCUUGCGCUCCACCACAAUAGCCACGCUGACAGCUCAUGCGUUUGCCGCUACAUACAGUAGCAAGGGCUCCUUAUCAACCGGAGCAGCAAGGACGGGGGGCUCUGCCAGUUGCUUUUUCAAAUCCUCGAAGGCGGUAUUAGCUGCAUCAUUCCAGACAAAGUUAUCAGUUUUCUUCAUCAAUUGAUAUAAAGGCAUAGCCUUCUCACCCAAACGGCUUAUAAACCGGCUUAACGCAGCGAUGCGACCCGCCAAACGCUGAACGUCAUUUAUACAUGCCGGCUGAGCUAGAGAAGUGAUAGCUUUGAUCUUCUCUGGGUUAGCCUCAAUGCCCCUGUCAGAAACCAAGAAGCCCAAUAGUUUGCCUGCAGGAACACCAAAAACACAUUUGGCCGGGUUAAGCAUCAUCUUAUAGACCCGGAGAUUGUCGAAGGUUUCCCUUAAGUCAUCUAUCAGGGUUUCCUCCUUGAUGGAUUUAACCACAAUGUCGUCCACGUAAGCGUGAACAUUGCGCCCGAUCUGCUUAUGAAGGCAAUUCUGCACACAACGCUGGUAAGUCGCCUGUGCACACUUGAGUCCAAAGGGCAUAGACACAUAGCAGAAGGCUCCAAAGGAGUGAUGAACGCCGUCUUCUCCUGGUCCUUAACUGCCAUCUUAAUCUGAUGAUACCCGGAAUAAGCAUCCAAGAAACUUAAGCAUGCACAACCUGCCGUGGCGUCAAUGAUUUGAUCGAUACGGGGGAGAGCAAAAGGAUCAGCCGGACACGCCUUGUUCAAGUCCGUGUAGUCCACACACAUCCGCCAGGUGCCGUUCUUUUUAAGUACGAGCACCGGGUUAGCCAACCACUCUGGGUGAAAAACCUCAACAAUGAACCCGGCCGCCAAAAGCCGGGCCACUUCUUCACCGAUAGCCUUCCGCCUCUCUUCGUUAAACCGUCGAAGGAACUGUCUGACCGGCUUAAAUUUUGGAUCCACAUUGAGAGUGUGCUCAGCGAGUUCUCUAGGUACACCUGGCAUGUCAGAAGGUUUCCAUGCAAAGAUGUCCCUAUUCUCACGGAUGAACUCGAUGAGCGCGCCUUCCUAUUUCGGGUCCAGAUUUGCACUGAUGCUGAACUGCUGAGACGAGUCACCUGGAACAAAAUCAACAAGUUUAGUCUCAUCGGCCGAUUUAAACUUCAUUGCUGGUUCAUUCUCCGUGGUUGGCUUUUUCAGAGAGGUCAUAUCUGUUGGGUCAACAUUGUCUUUAUAAAAUUUCAACUCUUCUGUGGCACAAACAGACUCUGCAUAAGCCGCGUCACCUUCCUCACACUCCAGAGCCACCUUCCGGCUGCCGUGAACUGUAAUGGUCCCAUUGUGACCCGGCAUCUUGAGCUGUAAGUACACAUAACACGGUCGUGCCAUGAACUUGGCGUAAGCCGGCCGUCCGAAUAUAGCAUGGUAUGGACUUCUUAUCUUGACCACCUCAAAGGUCAACUUCUCCACCCUGUAGUUGUUCUCAUCACCAAAAGCCACUUCCAAUUCGAUCUUGCCGACUGGAUAAGCCGAUUUACCGGGUACCACACCAUGGAAGAUAGUAUUUGACUGGCUGAGGUUCUUAUCAACUAGCCCCAUACGACGGAAAGUCUCAUAAUAGAGGAUGUUGAUACUGCUGCCUCCAUCCAUGAGUACCUUUGUGAAUUUAUAGCCUCCCACCUGAGGAGCCACUACUAAGGCCAGGUGGCCCGGGUUAUCCACCCGGGGAGGGUGAUCCUCCCUACUCCACACUAUGGGCUGCUCCGACCACCGUAAGUAGCGUGGAACCGCCGGCUCAACAGAAUUAACAGCCCUCUUGUGAAGCUUCUCGUCUCGUUUGCACAAACUAGUGGUGAACACGUGAUACUGUCCACCGCUAAGUUGCUUCGGGUUGGUCUGAUAACCCCCCUGUUGCUGUUGAUUGAAGCCCCCUUGACCGUUCUGAGGACCGGAAUUUGACCCGCCACCCGGGCCAUGAGAGCCGCCAGCGCCGGAGCCGCCUGCGCCUGGGCCGCCGCCCGGGCCAUUGUAGUUUUUAAAGGCCUUCAUGAUAGCACAAUCCUUCCACAGAUGAGUCGCUGGCUUCUCUCUAGAGCCAUGUCUCGGACAAGGUUCAUUCAACAGCUGCUCCAGAGAAGGUCCUGACCCGCCGCCUCGGGGAGGGGGCCUCCCCUUGCGUCGCUGGUUGUUGCCUUGGGUGUUGGCUACGAACUCCAGGCUGCCAUCGGCCUUGCGCUUGCCUCCUCCUUGAUUCCCCGGGUUAAACUGAGGGCUCUUUCCAUUGUCGUUCUUCUUUCCCUUCCCUGUCCUUUCAUCAUCUGAAGGGGGAUCCUUGGUACCAUCGGAAUCAGCGUAUUUGACAAGAGCCGCCAUUAGUGUACCCAUAUCCGUGCAGUCACGUUUAAGCCGCCCAAGCUUCAUCUUUAGGGGCACAAAACGACAAUUCUGUUCUAACAUCAAGACUGCAGAGCCGGCGUCCAUCUUAUCUGAUGAAUGUAUGAUCUCCUUGACCCGGCGAACCCAAUGGGUCGUGGACUCGCCCUCCUGCUGCUUACAGUUAGUCAAAUCCACAAUUGACAUAGACUGCCUACAGGUAUCCUUGAAGUUUUGAAUGAACCGGGCCUUCAGCUCGGUCCAAGACCCAAUGGAGUUCGGUGGCAGCCCUUUUAACCACGUGCGGGCAGUUCCAUCUAACAUCAUGGUGAAAUAUUUGGCCAUGGCCGCCUCGCUGACCUCUAGCAGUUCCAUGGCCAUCUCAUAACUCUCAAUCCAGGCCGCAGGCUGUAAGUCAGCUGUAUAGUUAGGCACCUUCCUAGGGCCCUUGAAAUCCUUAGGUAAACGUUCAUUACGGAUGGCCGGCACCAAACAAGGGACACCCCCGGUCCUGGUAGAAAUACCCACAUCAACGGACGCCGUUGGAUAAGCCGUCAAUUGCGGCACCUGCUCCGCCUCUUGCCGUGCUUGGUCUGCGGCGUAGAAGGUUCCAACAUGAGCCGGGCCAUGGCGUCGGACAUUACUUGAGCCGGUCGCCGAGACCAUGUGCCGGCUGUAGCUCGGGCUCUGGCCUGGGCGAGGAGUUGAGUGGAUCCUGUCCCGGCUGUAGGAGUACGCCUCUUGCUGCGCUAGGGCCGUCUGCAGGAGUUCCCUGACCCGGCGGGUUUCCACGGCUGCCGGAGAAUUGCCGUCAACGGGAAGAGCCGCCAGUCGUGCUGCCGCUGCUACCAUGUUCUCCAGCGGGUUAUCGUAACGACCCGGGGGUAUUGGCACAUACUGAGGCGGGGCAGGGGGCGCCUGGGGAGGCCCCAUUACUAGUGGCUGAAUAAGGGGUCCCGACCCGGGCGCAAUGACACCUGGUGGGUUACUGGAUCCCGCACCCGGCGUGUUGAAUAGAUUGCGCGGAUCGUAAACCGGCGGGAGUCGAGACUGGGCCUUCUGAUGCCUCCUUCUCAUGAACUCGUUGGCCGCGUUCUGAUCCAUCGUGAGUUGGAAGGACUGCGCCUGAAUCAACUGAGCCCGGGCGUCGAGAGCCGCCCGCUCCGCCGCCAGCCUGAUCCCUUCUGCUGCAAGAUCCUCUUUUGCUUUCAUCAGAUCCAAUUUUAACUGUGCCACCUCCGCGUCAUGCUGGGCUUGAUCUGCCGGGUCAACCGUGGUAGUUAACAGGGCCGUCAUCUUAUCUGUGAGAUCCAUCAGCACCUGAGCCGGGGAAGGCUCCGGAUUUUCUGAUCCGGUAGCGGGGUUCUAAACAGGCUGCGCACCAGCCAUAAAAACUCCGACCUGACUUGGCGGCUCAAAAAGGUCCGGAAUACUGUUGCCAUCGGAAUAACUCAUGAGCCUGCCAUCUUGAAGUUGGUACAACGAGUUUGACUCAUCAGCGGCCGACUCGCCGUCAGAGCCGGCGGCCGCCUCAUCCCCAGACCUAGAUGGAUCGGAGGGCCUUCCAUGGAUGCAUCCCACAAAAGCGCGUUUUAAGGCAGGCCGGGCCCGGGCGGAUCGGGCGCGCUGAGCCGUUUCGAUGAGAUCGGCGCAGAGACCCGGCUCGGGGCCCGGCUCAUCCAUCUUGCCAAUGAAGACAUGAAUUCCGCCAAAGGGGACCCGGUACCCGUACUCCAGUGAGCCGGCGUCGGGGCCCCAGUCCGCGUCGUCGAUGUAGAGCCUGCCGCGACGACUCUUGGUCAUCUGGCCCACAGCGUAUCCCUUGAGCCCUUCGAAGCUGCCCUUCAAGAACUCAAAUCCACCGUGCGCUGGCCCCACGGUGGGCGCCAACUGUCGUGGAAUUGUCACGGCAGAUGUCCUUGGGCUAGGACUUAAUCGUGGAGCCAUCGCAACUAGGAAGCUUGAAGGGGUUAUGCGGGACAAGGAACACGAGGGUUUAUACUGGUUCGGCCCCUUACGGUGAAGGUAAAAGCCUACGUCCAGUUCGAGGUGUUAUUGAUUAGGGUUACGAUCGCCAGGGAACUAAACACUUAUCCCGGCUCUCGGAGAGAUUGCUGUCGUCCUUGAACCGCUGCCGGGUCCUCCCUUUAUAUAGGGAGGCUGACGCCCAGCAGCCCUUAGAGUCCCGGCCGGCUCAUAAGAGCGUCCGGCUCGGGCUCUAAUCAAUACUUGCCUUACACUACAAGUCUACUAUAACAAUGAUUAUAACUACGGGCUUUAAGCCAUAUCCGGGUCUCAGCCCAUCUCUGGCCCAUUAUCUUGAACCUUAGCUCCGGGCUUCUGGUAAUGACCCUUAGGGUAACCCGGCCAUCCUGGCGGGUGACUCCAAGGUCUAUAUCCUCAACACCCUCCGAUACUACUCAUAGAUUCAUCAAAAUAAGCAAACAACACAUAGAAAACAGAAUCUGUCAAAAACAGAACAGUCUGUAGUAAUCUGUAUCAAACAUAUACUUCUGUAACUCCAAAAAUUCUGAAAUAAAUUGGUGGACCUGAGGAAUUUGUCUAUUAAUCUUCUGCAAAAAUAAUAAACUUAAAAUCACUCUUCUGUAAAAAAAUGACAGCUAAACUCGUGAGCGCAAAAUUUCUGUUUUUUACAGCAAGAUCACAUUAACUUCCACCCAAGUCUUCCCAAAGGUUCCACUUGGCACAAACACUAAUUUAAAACAUGAAAACACAUAUUAACAGAAGCUAGAUGAAUUAUUUAUUACUAAACAGAACCAAAAAUCAAGAAACAAAAAUAAAAUUGGGUUGCCUCCCAACAAGUGCUAUCGUUUAACGCCCCUAGCUAGGCAUGAUGAUUUCAAUGAUGCUCACAUAAAAGAUAAGAAUUGAAAUAUAAAGAGAGCAUCAUGAAUAAUAUUACUAGCACAUUUAAUUCUAACCCACUUCCUAUGCAUAGGGAUUUUGUGAGCAAACAACUUAUGGGAACAAUAAUCAACUAGCAUAGGAAGGCAAAACAAGCAUAACUUCAAGAUUUUCAACACAUAGAGAGGAAACUUGAUAUUAUUGCAACUCCUACAAGCAUAUAUUCCUCCCUCAUAAUAAUUUUCAGAAGCAUUCUGAAUGAAUUCAACAAUAUAACUAUCACAUGAAGCAUUCUUUUCAUGAUCUACAAGCAUAGAAAUUUUAUUACUCUCCACAUAAGCAAAAUUCUUCUCAUCAAUAGUAGUGGGAGCAAACUCAACAAAAUAACUAUCAUGUGAAGCAUAAUACAAUUGAAAAUUAAAAUAAUGAUGACAAGUUUCAUGGUUAUCUUUAUUCUUUAUAGCAUACGUGUCACCACAAUAAUCAUCAUAAAUAGGAGGCAUGCUUUCAUCAUAAAAAAUUUGCUCAUCAAAACUUGGGGGACAAAAAAUAUCAUCUUCAUCAAACAUAGCUUCCCCAAGCUUGUGGCUUUGCAUAUCAUUAGCAUCAUGGGUAUUCCAAGAAUUCAUACUAACAACAUUGCAAUCAUGCUCAUCAUUCAAAUAUUUAGUGCCAAACAUUUUAAUGCAUUCUUCCUCUAGCAAUUGAGCACAAUUAUCGGAAUCCUUAUUUUCACGGAAGACAUUAAAAAGAUGAAGCAUAUGAGGCAACCUCAAUUCCAUUUUUUUGGUAGUUUUCUUUUAUAGACUAAACUGGUGAUAAAACAAGAAACAAAAAGAUUCGAUUGCAAGAUCUAAAGAUAUACCUUCAAGCACUCACCUCCCCGGCAACGGCGCCAGAAAAGAGCUUGAUGUCUACUACGCAACCUUCUUCUUGUAGACGUUGUUGGGCCUCCAAGUGCAGAGGUUUGUAGGACAGUCGCAAAUUUCCCUCAAGUGGAUGACCUAAGGUUUAUCAAUCCGUGGAAGGCGUAGGAUGAAGAUGGUCUCUCUCAAGCAACCCUGCAACCAAAUAACAAAGGGUCUCUUGUGUCCCCAACACACCCAAUACAAUGGUAAAUUGUAUAGGUGCACUAGUUCGGCGAAGAGAUGGUGAUACAAGUGCAAUAUGGAUGAUAGAUAGGAGUAUUAGUAAUCUGAAAACAGCAAGGUAGAAAGCGAUAAAAGUGAGCGUAAACGGUAUUGCAAUGCGUUGAAACAAGGCCUAGGGUUCAUACUUUCACUAGUGCAAGUUCUCUCAACAAUAAUAACAUAAUUGGAUCAUAUAACUAUCCCUCAACAUGCAACAAAGAGUCACUCCAAAGUCACUAAUAGCGGAGAACAAACAAAGAGAUUAUGGUGCUACCUCUUGAGCACGGUGUUGGUUUUCCCUUGAAGAGGAAAGGGUGAUGCAGCAAAGUAGCGUAAGUAUUUCCCUCAGUUUUUGAGAACCAAGGUAUCAAUCCAGUAGGAGGCUACGCGCGAGUCCCUCGCACCUACACAAAACAAAUAAAUCCUCGCAACCAACGCGGUAAGGGGUUGUCAAUCCCUUCACGGUCACUUACGAGAGUGAGAUCUGAUAGAUAUGGUAGGAUAAUAUUUUUGGUAUUUUUGUGAUAAAGAUGCAAAGUAAAAUAAAAGCAAAGUAAAAAAGCAAAGGAAAUGACUAAGUGUUGGAAGAUUAAUAUGAUGAAGAUAGACCCGGGGGCCAUAGGUUUCACUAGUGGCUUCUCUCAAGAGCAUAAGUAUUUUAUGGUGGGUGAACAAAUUACUGUUGAGCAAUUGACAGAAUUGAGCAUAGUUAUGAGAAUAUCUAGGUAUGAUCAUGUAUAUAGGCAUCACGUCCGAGACAAGUAGACCGACUCCUGCCUGCAUCUACUACUAUUACUCCACACAUCGACCGCUAUCCAGCAUGCAUCUAGAGUAUUAAGUUCAUAAGAACGGAGUUACGCCUUAAGCAAGAUGACAUGAUGUAGAGGGAUAAAUUCAUGCAAUAUGAUAAAAAAAAACCCAUCUUGUUAUCCUCGAUGGCAACAAUACAAUACGUGCCUUGCUGCCCCUGUUGUCACUGGGAAAGGACACCGCAAGAUUUAACCCAAAGCUAAGCACUUCUCCCAUUGCAAGAAAGAUCAAUCUAGUAGGCCAAACCAAACUGAUAAUUCAAAGAGACUUGCAAAGAUAACCAAUCAUACAUAAAAGAAUUCAGAGAAGAUUCAAAUAUUGUUCAUAGAUAAACUGGAUCAUAAACCCACAAUUCAUCGGUCUCAACAAACACACCGCAAAAGAAGAUUACAUCGAAUAGAUCUCCGCGAGAGAGGGGGAGAACAUUGUAUUGAGAUCCAAAAAGAGAGAAGAAGCCAUCUAGCUAAUAACUAUGGACCCCAAGGUCUGAGGUAAACUACUCACACUUCAUCGGAGGGGCUAUGGUGUUGAUGUAGAAGCCCUCUGUGAUCGAUGCCCCCUACGGCGGAGCUCCGGAACAGGCCCCAAGAUGGGAUCGCGUGGGUACAGAAGGUUGCGGCGGUGGAAUUAGGUUUUUGGCUCCGUAUCUGAUUGUUUGGGGGUACGUAGGUAUAUAUAAGAGGAAGGAGUACGUCGGUGGAGCAACAGGGGGCCCACGAGGGUGGAGGGCGCGCCCUGGGGGGGUAGGCGCGCCCCCCUACCUCGUGGCCUCCUCCUUUGUUUCUUGACGUAGGGUCCAAGUCUCCUGGAUCUUAUUCGUUCUGAAAAUCACAUUCCCGAAUGUUUCAUUCCGUUUGGACUCCGUUUGAUAUUCCUUUUCUGCGAAACUCUGAAAUAGGCAAAAAAACAGCAAUUCUGGGCUGGGCCUCCGGUUAAUAGGUUAGUCCCAAAAAUAAUAUAAAAGUGAAUAAUAAAGCCCAAUAAUGUCCAAAACAGUAGAUAAUAUAGCAUGGAGCAAUCAAAAAUUAUAGAUACGUUAGAGACGUAUCAAGCAUCCCCAAGCUUAAUUCCUGCACGUCCUCGAGUAGGUAAAUGAUAAAAACAGAAUUUUUGAUGCGGAGUGCUACUUGGCAUAAUUUCAAUGUAAUUCUUCUCAAUUGUGGUAUGAAUAUUCAGAUCCGAAAGAUUCAAGACAAAAGUUUAAUAUUGACAUAAAAAUAAUAAUACUUCAAGCAUACUAACAAAGCAAUUAUGUCUUCUCAAAAUAACAUGGCCAAAGAAAGUUAUCCCUACAAAAUCAUAUAGUCUGGCUAUGCUCUAUCUUCACCGCACAAAGUAUUUAAAUCAUGCACAACCCCGAUGACAAGCCAAGCAAUUGUUUCAUACUUUUGACGUUCUCAAACUUUUUCAAUCUUCACGCAAUACAUGAGCGUGAGCCAUGGACAUAGCACUAUAUGUGGAAUAGAAUGGUGGUUGUGGAGAAGACAAAAAAGAGAAGAUGGUCUCACAUCAACUAGGCGUCUCAACGGGCUAUGGAGAUGCCCAUCAAUAGAUAUCAAUGUGAGUGAGUAGGGAUUGACAUGCAACGGAUGCACUAGAGCUAUAAGUAUAUGAAAGCUCAACAAAAGAAACUAAGUGGGUGUGCAUCCAACUCGCUUGCUCACGAAGACCUAGGGCAUUCUGAGGAAGCCCAUCAUUGGAAUAUACAAGCCAAGUUCUAUAAUGAAAAAUUCCCACUAGUAUAUGAAAGUGACAAAAUGAGAGACUCUCUAUCAUGAAGAUCAUGGUGCUACUUUGAAGCACAAGUGUGGUAAAUGGAUAGUAACAUUGUCCCUUAUCUCUUUUUCUCUCAUUUUUUAUUUGGGCCUUUUCUCUCUUUUUUUAUGGCCUCUUUUUUUAUUAUUAUUAUUUUUCGUCCGGAGUCUCAUCCCGACUUGUGGGGGAAUCAUAGUCUCCAUCAUUCUUUUCCUCACUUGGGACAAUGCUCUAAUAAUGAAGAUCAUCACACUUUUAUUUUCUUACAACUCAACAAUUACAACUCGAUACUUAGAACAAAAUAUGACUCUAUAUGAAUGCCUCCGGCGGUGUACCGGGAUAUGCAAUGAAUCAAGAGUGACAUGUAUGAAAGAAUUAUGAACGGUGGCUUUGCCACAAAUACGAUGCCAACUACAUGAUCAUGAAAAGCAAUAUGACAAUGAUGGAGUGUGUCAUAAUAAACGGAACGGUGGAAAGUUGCAUGGCAAUAUAUCUCGGAAUGGCUAUGGAAAUACCAUGAUAGGUAGGUAUGGUGGCUGUUUUGAGGAAGGUUUAUGGUGGGUGUAUGAUACCGGCGAAAAGUGUGCGGUAUUAGAGAGGCUAGAAAUGGUGGAAGGAAGAAGAGUGCGUAUAAUCCAUGGACUCAACAUUAGUCAUAAAGAACUAAUAUACUUAUUGCAAAAAUCUACAAGUGAUCAAAGCAAAGUAUUACGCGCAUGCUCCUAGGGGGGAUAUAUUGGUAGAAAAAGACCAUCGCUCGUCCCCGACCGCCACUCAUAAGGAAUACAAUCAAUAAAUAAAUCGUGCUCCGACUUCAUCACAUAACGUUCACCAUACGUGCAUGCUACGGGAAUCACAAACUUUAACACAAGUAUUUCUCAAAUUCACAACUACUCAACUAGAAUGACUCUAAUAUCACCAUCUUCAUAUCUCAAAACUAUCAAGCAUCAAACUUUUCAUAGUAUUCAACACACUCAUAAGAAAGUUUUUACUAAUCUUGAAUACCAAGCAUAUUAGGAUUAUUUAAGCAAAUUACCAUGCUUUUUAAGACUCUCAAAAUAAUCUAAGUGAAUCAUGAGAGAUCAAUAGUUUCUAUAAAACAAAUCCACCACCGUGCUCUAAAAGAUAUAAGUGAAGUACUAGAGCAAAACUAUAUAACUCAAAGAUACAAGCGAAGCACAUAGAGUAUUCUACCAAAUUCCAAAUCAUGUAUGGCUCUCUCAAAAGGUGUGUACAUCAAGGAUGAUUGUGGUAAACUAAAAAGCAAAGACUCAAAUCAUACAAGACGCUCCAAGCAAAACACAUAUCAUGUGGUGAAUAAAAAUAUAGCUCCAAGUAAAGUUACCGAUGGAAGUAGACGAAAGAGGGGAUGCCUUCCGGGGCAUCCCCAAGCUUUGGCUUUAUGGUGUCCUUAGAUUAUCUUGGGGGUUCCAUGGGCAUCCCCAAGCUUAGGUUCUUGCCACUCCUUGUUCCAUAAUCCAUCAAAUCUUUCACCCAAAACUUGAGAACUUCACAACACAAAACUUAACAGAAAAUCUCGUGAGCCCCGUUAGCGAAAGAAAACAAAAGACCACUUCAAAGGUACUGUAAUGAACUCAUUCUUUAUUUAUAUUGGUGUUAAACCUACUGUAUUCCAACUUCUCUAUGGUUUAUAAACUAUUUUACUAGCCAUAGAUUCAUCAAAAUAAGCAAACAACACACGAAAAACAGAAUCUGUCAAAAACAGAACAGUCUGUAGUAAUCUGUAACUAACGCAAACUUAUGGAACUCCAAAAAAUCAGCCAAGGACGACCUAGACAAUUUGUUUAUUGAUCAGCAGCAAUUGGAAUCAGUAUUUUAUCACGUUCUGGUGAUUUUUAACAAUUAUUUUCGUGAACAGAAAGUUUCUGGAAAUUUCUGCAAGAUCAAAUAACUAUCAUCCAAGAAGGUCCUAUAGGUUUAACUUGGCACAAACACUAAUUAAAACAUAAAAACACAUCUAACCAGAGGCUAGAACUAAUAUUUAUUCCUAAACAGAAGCAAAAAGCAAAAAAAACUAAAAAUAAAAUUGGGUUGCCUCCCAACAAGCGCUAUCGUUUAACGCCCCUAGCUAGGCAUAAAGGCAAGGAUAGAUCUAGGUAUUGCCAUCUUUGGUAGGCAAUCCAUAAGUGGCUCUCAUGAUAGAUUCAUAUGGUAAUUUUAUUUUCUUCCUAGGAAAGUGUUCCAUGCCUUUCUUUAAUGGAAAUUGGAAUCUAAUAUUCCCUUCCUUCGUAUCAAUAAUUGCACUAAUCGUUCUAAGGAAAGGUCUACCAAGAAUAAUAGGACAUGAAGGAUUGCAAUCUAUAUCAAGAACGAUAAAGUCUACGGGCACAUAGUUCCUAUUUGCAACAAUAAGAACAUCAUUAAUUCUUCCCAUAGGUUUCUUAAUAGUGGAAUCCGCAAGGUGCAAGUUUAGAGAGCAAUCAUCAAAAUCACGGAAACCUAGCAAAUCACACAAAGUUUUGGGAAUAGUGGAAACACUAGCACCCAAAUCACAUAGAGCAUAGAACUCACGAUCCUUAAUCUUAAUUUUAAUAGUAGGUUCCCACUCAUCAUAAAGUUUUCUAGGGAUAGAAACUUCCAACUCAAGCUUUUCUUCAUAAGAUUGCAUCAAGGCAUCAACGAUAUGUUUGGUAAAAGCUUUAUUUUGACUAUAAGCAUGAGGAGAAUUUAGCACAGAUUGCAACAAGGAAAUACAAUCUAUCAAAGAGAAAUUUUCAUAAUUAAAUUCCUUGAAAUCCAAAAUAGUGGGUUUAUCAACAUCUAACGUUUUGAUUUCUUCAAUCCCACUUUUAUCAAUUUUAGCAUCAAGAUCUAAAAACUCCGAAUUUUUGGAACGCCUUCUAGGUAAAGGUGGAUCAUAUUCAGUCACAUCAUUAUCAAGAUUCAUAUUGCAAAACAAAGAUUUAAUAGGGGACACAUCAAUAACUUUUAGAUCUUCAUCUUUAUUUUCAUAGAAAUUUGAAGAACACGCUUUCAUAAAGCAAUCUUUCUUAGCACGCAUCCUAGCGGUUCUUUCUUUGCACUCAUCAAUGGAAAUUCUCAUGGAUUUGAGAGACUCAUUGAUAUCAUGCUUAGGAGGAAUAGAUCUAAGUUUUAAAGAAUCAACAUCAAGAGAAAUUCUAUCAACGUUCCUUGCCCAUUCAUCAACUUUAAGUAAUUUCUCUUCAAGCAAAGCAUUGAAAUUCUUUUGUGAAUUCAUAAACUCUUUAACACUAGUCUCAAAUUCAGAGGGCAUCUUAUUAAAAUUUCCAUAAGAAUUGUUGUAGGAAUUACCAUAAUUAUUAGAGGGAUUACUAGGAUAAGGCCUAGCAUUAAAGUUUCCUCUAUACGCGUUGUUACCAAAAUUAUUCCUACCAACAAAAUUCACAUCCAUAGAUUCAUUAUUAUUCUCAACCAAAGUAGACAAAGGCAUAUCAUUAGGAUCAGAAGAAACACUCUUAGUAGCAAAUAAUUUCAUAAGUUCAUCCAUCUUUCCACUCAAAACAUUAAUUUCUUCUAUCGCAUGCACUUUUUUAUUAGUAGAUCUUUCAGUGUGCCAUUGAGAAUAAUUAACCAUAAUAUUAUCUAGGAGUUUAAUAGCUUCUCCUAAAGUGAUUUCCAUAAAAGUGCCUCCCGCGGCCGAAUCUAAAAGAUUUCUAGAAGCAAAAUUCAAUCCGGCAUAAAAAAAUUGUAUAAUCAUCCACAAAUUCAAACCAUGAGUAGGGCAAUUACGUAUCAUUAAUUUCAUUCUCUCCCAAGCUUGUGCAACAUGUUCAUGAUCAAGUUGCUUAAAAUUCAUAAUAUCAUUUCUAAGAGAGAUGAUCUUAGCGGGAGGAAAAUACUAAGAGAAAAAAGCAUCUUUGCACUUGUUCCAAGAAUCAAUACUAUUUUUAGGCAAAGACGAAAACCAAGCUUUAGCACGAUCUCUAAGCGAAAAAGGAAAUAGCUUCAAUUUAACAAUAUCAUUAUCAACAUCUUUCUUCUUUUGCAUAUCACACAAAUCAACGAAGCUAUUUAGAUGAGUAGCGGCAUCUUCACUAGGAAGGCCGGCGAAUUGAUCAUUCAUGAUAAGAUUCAACAAAGCAGCAUUGAUUUCACAAGAUUCAGUAUUGGUAAGAGGAGCAAUCGGAGUGCUAAGGAAAUCAUUAUUGUUGGUAUUGGUAAAGUCACAUAAUUUGGUAUUAUCUUGAGCCAUCGUGACAAACAAGCAAUCCAACACAUGAGCAAACAAAAAGCAAGCGAAAAAGAGGCAAACGGAAAAGAGAGGGCAAAUAAAACGGCAAGGGUGAAGUGGGGGAGAGGAAAACGAGAGGCAAAUGGCAAAUAAUGUAAUGCGGGAGAUAAGGGAUUGUGAUGGGUACUUGGUAUGUUGACUUUUGCGUAGACCUCCCCGGCAACGGCGCCAGAAAUCCUUCUUGCUACCUCUUGAGCACUGCGUUGGUUUUCCCUUGAAGAGGAAAGGUUAAUGCAGCAAAGUAGCGUAAGUAUUUCCCUCAGUUUUUGAGAACCAAGGUAUCAAUCUAGUAGGAGGCUACGCGCGAGUCCCUCGCACCUACACAAAACAAAUAAAUCCUUGCAACCAACGCGAUAAGGGGUUGUUAAUCCCUUCACGGUCACUUACGAGAGUGAGAUCUGAUAGAUAUGAUAGGAUAAUAUUUUUGGUGUUUUUGUGAUAAAGAUGCAAAGUAAAAUAAAAGCAAAGUAAAAAAGCAAAGGAAAUAACUAAGUGUUGGAAGAUUAAUAUGAUGAAGAUAGACCCGGGGGCCAUAGGUUUCACUAGUGGCUUCUCUCAAGAGCAUAAGUAUUUUACGGUGGGUGAACAAAUUACUGUUGAGCAAUUGACAGAGUUGAGCAUAGUUAUGAGAAUAUCUAGGUAUGAUCAUGUAUAUAGGCAUCACGUCCGAGACAAGUAGACCGACUCCUGCCUGCAUCUACUACUAUUACUCCACACAUCGACCGCUAUCCAGCAUGCAUCUAGAGUAUUAAGUUCAUAAGAACAGAGUAACGCCUUAAGCAAGAUGACAUGAUGUAGAGGGAUAAAUUCAUGCAAUAUGAUAAAAAAACCAUCUUGUUAUCCUCGAUGGCAACAAUACAAUACGUGCCUUGCUGCCCCUGUUGUCACUGGGAAAGGACACCGCAAGAUUUAACCCAAAGCUAAGCACUUCUCCCAUUGCAAGAAAGAUCAAUCUAGUAGGCCAAACCAAACUGGUAAUUCGAAGAGACUUGCAAAGAUAACCAAUCAUACAUAAAAGAAUUCAGAGAAGAUUCAAAUAUUGUUCAUAGAUAAACUGGAUCAUAAACCCACAAUUCAUCGGUCUCAACAAACACACCACAAAAGAAGACUACAUCGAAUAGAUCUCCACGAGAGAGGGGGAGAACAUUGUAUUGAGAUCCAAAAAGAGAGAAGAAGUCAUCUAGCUAAUAACUAUGGACCCGAAGGUCUGAGGUAAACUACUCACACUUCAUCGGAGGGGCUAUGGUGUUGAUGUAGAAGCCCUCCGUGAUCGAUGCCCCCUCCGGCGGAGCUCCAGAACAGGCCCCAAGAUGGGAUCUCGUGGGUACAGAAGGUUGCGGCGGUGGAAUUAAGUUUUUGGCUCCGUAUCUGAUCGUUUGGGGGUACGUAGGUAUAUAUAGGAGGAAGGAGUAUGUCGGUGGAGCAAUAGGGGGCCCACGAGGGUGGAGUGCGCGCCCUAGGGGGGUAGGCGCGCCCCCCUACUUCGUGGCCUCCUUCUUUGUUUCUUGACGUAGGGUCCAAGUCUCCUGGAUCUUAUUCGUUCUGAAAAUCACGUUCCCGAAGGUUUCAUUCCGUUUGGACUCCAUUUGAUAUUCCUUUUCUGUGAAACUCUGAAAUAGGCAAAAAAACAGCAAUUCUGGGCUGGGCCUCUGGUUAAUAGGUUAGUCCCAAAAAUGAUAUAAAAGUGAAUAAUAAAGCCCAAUAAUGUCCAAAACAGUAGAUAGUAUAGCAUGGAGCAAUCAAAAAUUAUAGAUACGUUGGAGACGUAUCAUAUGGUAGGGUACGAAACCACCUCAAAGUUAUCCUUUCUGAUCGAUCUAUUCAAGAGUCCGUAGUAAAAUAACACGAAGCUAUUCUUUCCGUUCGAUCUAUCCUAGAGUUCGUACUAGAAUAACACCUUAAGACACAAAUCAACCAAAACCCUAAUGUCACCUAGAUACUCCAAUGUCACCUCAAGUAUCCGUGGGUAUGAUUAUACAAUAUGCAUCACACAAUCUCAGAUUCAUCUAUUCAACCAACACAAAGAACUUCAAAGAGUGCCCCAAAGUUUCUACCGGAGAGUCAAGACGAAAACGUGUGCCAACCCCUAUGCAUAAGUUCAUGAGGUCACGGAACCCGCAAGUUGAUCACCAAAACAUACAUCAAGUGAAUCACGUGAUAUCCCAAUGUCACCACAGAUAAGCACAUGCAAGACAUACAUCAAGUGUUCUCAAAUCCUUAAAGACUCAAUCCGAUAAGAUAAUUUCAAAUGGAAAACUCAAUCCAUUACAAGAGAGUAGAGGGGGAGAAAUAUCAUAAGGUCCAACUAUAAUAGCAAAGCUCGCGAUACAUCAAGAUCGUACUACCUCAAGAACACGAGAGAGAGAGAGAGAGAGAGAGAGAUCAAACACAUAGCUACUGGUACAUACCCUCAGCCCCGAGGGUGAACUACUCCCUCCUCGUCAUGGAGAGCGCCGGGAUGAUGAAGAUGGCCACCGGUGAGGGAUCCCCCCUCCGGCAGGGUGCUGGAACAGGGUCCCGAUUGGUUUUUGGUGGCUACAGAGGCUUGCGGUGGCGGAACUCCCGAUCUAUUGUGCUCCCCGAUGUUUUUAGGGUAUAUGGACAUAUAUAGGCGAAAGAAGUCGAUCAGGGGAGCCACGAGGGGCCCACGAGGGUGGGGGCGCGCCCAGAGGAGUAGGGCGCGCCUCCCUGCCUCGUGGCUUCCUCGAAGCUUCCCUAACGUCUACUCCAAGUCUCCUGAAUUGCUUACGUUCCAAAAAUAACUCUCCCGAAGGUUUCAUUCCGUUUGGACUCCGUUUGAUAUUCCUUUUCUUCGGAACACUGAAAUAGGCAAGAAAACAGCAAUUUGGGCUGGGCCUCCGGUUAAUAGGUUAGUCCCAAAAAUAAUAUAAAAGUGUUUAGUAAAGCCCAUAAACAUCCAAAACAGAUAAUAUAAUAGCAUGAAUACUUCAUAAAUUAUAGAUACGUUGGAGACGUAUCAGCUGUAACUUUUACAUACGAACUUCGAUUGAGACGAUUUUUAUAUCAAAAUCAGCCAUUUCGACGAGACGAAGACAAUUCGUGUAGAACCUUUUCUCAUAUGAGGCCAUAUUUGGGUGGUAAUCGGCCGAAUAGUGUUCUGGAUAGUAAAUCUCAAUACUUUGAACACAAUUUCGGCCUUAGAGAUGAGACCGGAUGGCUAUGGCCCAAAUAUCAAAGUUUCUCCUUUUGAUGAUACGGAACUUCCUCACUUUGAGCACUUUUCCAUUUGAGGCCAUCUUAAUUAUGUUUUUGACCAUGCCAAAAUCUGGUGUCAACACCCAUCGGGCAAGCCGAAGCUCGAGCCUCCAGCCUCCACUUGCACUGAGAUGGCUGGCCACCUCGUCGACUCUCCAGACAAUUGCACAUGAUUCAAAUGUCCAUAACGAUGGAAGGUGGUGACUAUCAUCAGGAUUAUUUGGUAGCACAGAUGUAAAAUCGUGAAGCAAUACAACUAUAUAAGUACUGAAUAAAUUAUGCCCAAUUGAAUCCACGGUCGAAAGUUUCAGGAAGAAUGGAAAAGUUUCAGGAAGAAGAGGUGACUAUCAGACUGAUCGGAUCCGAAACCACCCCCGACGCCCCCGCAUCGCUCCCAUGAGGGACGAGUCGGGCGGAACCCUAGCGCAGUUGCAACCCCUUCCCCCUCCGAUCUUGCUCCCCCCCAAGUCAAAGGCCGUGAGGCUGACGGCGGCGGUGGGUCCUCAUCCUCCUUGUGCGGUUGACUGCAGUGGGGGCCCCAUACUUUCUCGUGUUGCGGGAUCUCCGUUCGGAGCUUCAUGGUGGCCCUGGACGACGUGGUUCAUCCGACGGAGAUGGGCGUCGGGGCGACGACCCCGGAUCUCUUCGGCGACCUCGACUGCCGUUGUGGCCGCGAGGACGGCACGACGACUGGUUCGGGGUGCUCGGUGCGGCUCGGUUACUCAUCUCCGUGUGGUGCGGAUGGUGGCGGUGGUGCCCGCUGAGAUCUCCGGCCUGCUGUAGGGAACCGGCGGGUGGCGCGGUCCUUGGGUUCUUUUUGCUCUAAGAUGGUGUUCUGCCGGUUGCCGACCCUCAUGGAUCUGGCCAUUGACGAGUUCCGGAAUGCUCCCCCGGAGAUCUUCAUUGGGUGCUUGACGCCUGUAGAUUGCUGGAUCGAAUGGGAUUCGGUCGUGUGCGGCCCUAUUUCAGCCCGAGUGGCUUCAGGAGGGUGUGACACGAAGCUUGGGUAUAUGUUGACAUUAUGGGACACUUCGGUAUUUCGAUUUCCAUAGUGAAGACAAUGGCGGAGAACGUCAUGGUGGUUGAGGUCUCAGGCCUUGUAAUGGCGGAUCGGGUCUUCAUGGUGAUGAGGACUUUGCUUGGUGAUUCGUGACUCGUAACAGCGGCAUCGGCAAGUGGGGGUGGCAGCACAUGAGGAGUAUAGAUCUUAGCUUUCAGGGUGAAAACCCAAGGCCUGUCCUUAAUUGGUUGUGCUUGGCUGACAUUGAAGGCAUUGUUUUGAGAGUGCGGAUCUUCUCCAGGGUGAAAACCUAAGAUUUAGGAUCGAGCGAUGACGAUGCUUGUGCACUGUUUCCUUUUUUUAAGGCGUCGCUUUUGGAGAAUUUGGACUUCGGGUGUUAGUUUAGGUGGUGGUUCAUGCUGCAGCUACAAGGAAUUGAUCACUGUGGCGGGAUUUUUUUCCUUCUUCUUUUUGUUUUUUGGUUGUGUGCAUCCGUAAUGUCUUUACCACAUUGCAUUGUUGCAGGGGCUGGGUGUAAUUUGUAUCUCCGCAAUAUUACUAUAUUCCCCUUGUCGAAAAAGAGGAGGUGACCAUCAUAAGUCUGGAAGGUGCCUCUUGCAUAACUAGUGGAUUGAUGACACUGUGUUUAGGGUCAUGUUUAAUUGCCCCAACCUCUCAAGUUGGGUGUAGUCAUAUGAAACGAUCUAGUAGCUCCACAACGAACUCAGGCAUUCCAGUUUAUAAGGGGCAACAAACAAUUACAAUUGACUACCUGAGAUGGCUAGGAAAGAACACGAGGGCUCCAAAAAUUCUUGGCCUGCCAAGCCCACAAAAGUGAGGCUCCACAGCGAAUUUGUUUCAUCAACAUCCAAAGCACCAUAAGCUUGCUUUCUCUCCCCUAACAGACUAAGAAAGCCAGAAAUUUAAUAGAAUGUUCAUCUCUCCAGCAAUAUCGUAGAAAUGAAGGUGUACCCCAAAGGGGGGCGACCACUCUUGUAUAGUAGACUAGAAGAUCUCACACCACUACUCCUAGUGAGGCACUAUGUGAUCUCUUGCAAUACAUUAUAGCACCCAUGCUCGAACAUGAUGAUAUAGUUACAUCACAACUCUGCAAAUGGGUACUAGAGUAUGCACAAUACUGAGACUGGGUCUAGGAGCCUCGCAUACGGGUGUAACGGGACAUUCACCAUAACACAGGCACUAUAGGCUGCUGUUCUUGAAAGAAAAGAAAAAGGCACUAUAGGCUACAAAACAGUGCCAGCCGGCUGCUCAAGCACUCCAGUUGACAGGAGAGCUCCGGGAUUCAACUUCCCGGGUGGAUGUAAAAGCAAGCCCUGCAAUUUCAGCUGCCCCGACCAUAGAAGCAAAGCGUUUCUUCCCACAUGAAAGCGCUGUGGGCAGGGCGACACAAUAGCUCCAUAUUCCCAACGCCUCACAAUCUCACAAUAGCAAAUGCCGGCCUUUGCCGUGGCCUCCACGAACGAAAACCGCGCUUCGUUUUCCUGGCAUAGGCCGUCUCUUCAGGCUGCUCUUUUAUAGACCAAAAGAUAUCGACCAUGUGAAUCCAUGCAAUUACUAGGCACACGCCGACUGCAAGUUCAUCAGAGUACGCAUACCUACCAACCUUUGAUUUUGAGCAUCUUGUGAUAAAAUGCAAAAGAUCAGGCCAGUUUACUUGCAAAGAUUUCAUAAACCAACGCACGCACUGAAGGUUCAUCAACACAUCACUGCCUCGGUAACCAAUAAUUGAGGUACUAUCAUCCUUUUGCAUUCAUUUUUCCCCAGAGACAGCAUUACACCCGGACAAUAAAACUCUACGUCAACCAUGUAACCAACUCCUUGGCCCAAACGGCCAACAACAGCAACGACGGAAGUCCUAGCAUCCUUGUACCAUAUAUCCCACUAAGCUGAAACCUGUGACCGCACCAAUCGCUACGGGCCACAGGGGGUAAAAGGCUAACAAGAACAAAGGGGAUUUACAUUGCACAGCAGCACAGGAUAAUUAGCAGCACCCCUUCUAGAAUCAG